GCAACAACCUCUGCUUGCGCUGCCAGUUGCCGGAGCGGCGCCGAGACCCGAGAAAGCUGGCGAGCCGCCAAAGCGCCCUCUGCCGCCUCGGCCUCCUUCCCCUCCGUUGGCCAUCACCCGAUCGGAGCGCAUGCGGGCGCAGUCGCGUGGGGGGUGGUCGGUCGGUCGUUGGCGGAACGCAUCGGCGUCACGUACCAUCGCGACCGUCUGGCACCCGAGUGUAAGCAUUGACCAUUCAUUGAUGGUGGGCAGCCUUUUUUUUUCACGUUUCGGGGCCGCAGCGGAUGCCGGUGGCGCCCUGCGCACAGCACUCCAGCAGCAGCAGCAGCAGCAGGAUCGCUUGCGCUCCAAGGGAAGGCUUUGCCAGGAGAGAUGCCGGGCCGUGCCUGCCGUGCCGGGACGGCCUUGGGUAACCAAGGCAUGUGUCGGGUUCACUUGUGCUGGGGCCCCGGCUUCGAACUGUCCUGCACCGGAUUACUUUUUCUCCAACGCUUGUUUAGCGUUUCGGUGCUCCAAUCUCAAAUCUCUCGAACGGAGGUGCCGAUGGAUUUGAGAGUUUUGAGGUUGGGAGGCUCUUCGAGGUCGAGGCAUCCCACGUCGUACUCCAUCGACCAUCCGAAGUUGCCGUGCGCCCGUGCUACGAUACGAUCACGACGUCCUAGUGGUGCCCCGAAUCUGAGCGAAUGUCUCGGUUCCAUGAACGUAGCAGCUCUCGUGCGCAAGGGAACGAGCUAGCACUGUUGACGUGGCCGGUGAUUGGGAUCCAAACAAGGCUGAAGCUAUCGUGUGUACUGCACGACGAUGUUACUAGAUGUCUAGAUCACCUGUGUACACGUACAAACGAAUUAUCAGCCGGUAUUAAUUGCCAGCGAUUUUGGCCGCCGUAGUCUGGACUUUGGACACACGGCACAUGAUGAAACCGCAUGUGUGUACUUAUACCGUUAUACGCUACUGCAGUCCUGGUAUGGACGUACAGUACUGGUGCUACCGAAUUUAUUUUAUGCAGCGACGACACACGCUCCCAAAAAAUUUUACAAAAUUUUUUAAAUUCUUUGUCACAUUAAAUCUUACAGCAUAUAUAUAAAACAUUAAAUAUAAAUAAAAGAAAAAAAACUAAUUAUACAGAUUAUUUGUAAUUUGCGAGCCAAAUCUUUUAAAUCUAGUUAGUCUAUAAUUGGACAAUAUCUGUCAAAUAUAAACGAAUUUGCUACCAUGUCUGUUUUAUCAUUUUUUUUCAAACUAAACAAGGCCAAAACUGUCCUCCUGAGAAAAACGUGACACCUUACACAUUAUAAAAAAAAACGCCCAAACGCUACGGGGACAACCAACGGAAUGUAAACAAACAUGAGUAUCUUUUCACAGUUGUGAAAUGAUAUGAUCCUUCAAAGCGCAAUCGCUCUCACCUUUUUGCAUCCAAGGCCUUGUUUAGUUCCGAAAAAUUUUAGGAAAUCGACACUGUAGCACUUUCGUUUGUAUUUGACAAAUAUUAUCUAAUCAUGGACUAACUAGGCUUAAAAGAUUCGUUUUGUCAAUUUCGACCAAACUGUGCAAUUAGUUUUUAUUUUUGUUUAUAUUUAAUAUUCCAUGCAUGUGUCUAAAGAUUCGAUGUGACGGGGAAUGUGAAAAAUUUUGCAAAUUUUUCAAGAAAGUAAACAAGGCCCAAGAAUUGAGGAAUCUGGCGAUUUUUUUAAGGCAGAAAAUCGGCGGGCACGAUGGAACACCAACGAUACGAAAACGCCGUAGAUACGAAAGGACGUCCAGCAGCUAGAGAUUGCGAGCUGUCUCGUCCAUGAUGAUGCCGGGGCAAAAGCGCAGCGCAUCUCUGUCCGUCCGCACGUGAACAGAGGUUUUGGUGCGUCCGGUCAAAAAGGUGACAAAAGUCGAAAACAAUCAAACAAACAGCCAACUGAAGAGUACUGCAGCCAACUCGCGUCCCGCUGUAACUACGGCAAAGAGCCAAGCAAGCCGUAGCCCGUAUGUACUACGAGAAGUAUUAACUCGCCGAUGGAUCAGGCGGUUUUGUUAAUCGGAGUUUCAGUUCACGACAGGACAUUGCAACUCAUCAUGCCAUGCGUGACCAGCUUCAAGCAUUCUAUUUAGUACUGGUAGCAAUCAAGGGCAUGUUCAAACGAACACGGACUCAGCCUCAACAUUUUGAAGAGUUUAUUACUCUAUUUAUGCUUCUUAAUAGAGGCAAGGGCAGAUCCUGGAAACGUGGCAAAAGGAUAGACGGAUCUGGUGGUUCAAUUCAACGUUAGGCGAGCAUUGUAACCGUGGAACAUGUGGACGUUUUAUUCCAUCUGCAUUCUGCAUUACACGGAUACGCACACCCCAGUCACCAGGACAGCAAAAAUGAGCAGCGCUACAGCAGAUCAGAUGCGAGAGCCUCCCAGAAAAGGCGAUCCGGGACCGCGCGCAGGCGCUGGACUUGGAUCGAACCGACGCCGGCUGCCGCCCCGCUGUUGGGUUACUUUUCGGAGGCGUGCCAGCCCGCCGCCAGCAGCGUGGCCGGUGGCCGGGUCCGGCCGGCGGGACAAUAAUUCAGCAGUUCGAUCCGGCGACCGGCAGACGCCGACCCCGCCGGCCCCCCAAGACACUUGCCGCGCGCCGCACGCGGCAAGACCGAGCCGCCGUGCCGGCUGGUGGUGCCGCUCUACGGCUGUCAGGCACAGCUGCUCGAGGCGGUGCGGGCCUUGUCGAGUUCUCUCGGGUCUCGGCUGUCAGGCCUAACCGCGUGGGACGGUCGGACGGACGGGACAGGGCUCUUCCGAGGAGGAGCUGCCCUUGCUCCUGCAGUGUUGUAGCACGGGCGGCUCUAUGGCCGUGGUGGGCUGCUGGCACACCGGUACGGCCAGUAAAAGCGCCGUGCUCCACACUUUGGACUUGGGUAACCGGACAGCUCAAUUACUCAAGAAUGAUUGCACGAACAACUGCUGAUCGAUAAUAGAUUACUCCUACCUGGCUGGCUGGUGAGAUCUCGUUUCCGGGUUCAAGGAACCAUCGACGUGGACUGUGUCACGUUCAGUGCGGCGGGAUAUCAAGACGGUGCCACACUGCCACUGCACUCCAACCAACCCGUUUCCGAAAUGCAACAGCCCCGUUGAUUACGAGAGUGCGGGGCGGGAUAUCAUAGUGAAGCUUCAUAGUAAAUGGUUUAGGAGAGUUAUUCUGUCCAUGCACAUAGUACUGUAUGUUUUGAGCCGUUAACAGUAGAAGAUGGCCGUACGCCAACGACAGCGAAGGUGUUUGCGUCGUUAAACAGCAGAAAAUGUCCCUGCGCUAGCGACAGCAAAGGUUGUAGUAGGUUGUUUUAGUAGCUGGAAUUUGGCCCAUACUGUAGCGUGGAUGAGCGGCUGGGCCAAAACCUACUUUCCAGUGGACGUGAAGUGAACUGUGAACACCGAACACAUCCGGAUGUGCUUGCCAGUUGCAAUAAACACAAAGGAAGUGGCUGAAAUCUGGACCUGUGAUACGCUGCGCCCAGAGUUCUGAAGAACAGAGCAAUAGGUCAUGGAUUCACUUCUUCAGACUUUCAUACAGAAGCAUUCGUGGUAUCCGCAAUAAGAACAGAAGUCACUUAUUCAGACUUUCAGACAAAAGCAUUUGUGGUAACAACAGAACUGGCACCACCAUCCAAAGACCAAAGUCAAGACACCUGGAUUUAUCAGCAUCGAUUCAGGAGCCCAGGAGAUUUUCUCAGCAUCGAUGCAGUCAACACUUGUUCAGUCGAGACCAAUCUGUUCAGACACUUCGAUUUAUUCAGUAUCGAUUGAUUCAGAACUGGUAGUGGUAGCACCCCAUCCAUAGUCAAGACACUUCGAUUUAGCCAGGAGUUUAUCUUCUCGUGCACACUAGUAUACAAAAAAGAUCAUACACUUAUAGCAUACACAUAAGAGAAGAGACAUCUCUUGGACGCUAAAUAAUAAUACACAAAAAGUUCAGAGAAAGACAUCGCUUGUUCUUCAAUCACAGCAUUGAAGAACUACGAUCAUAUAUAUAUUAUAUAUAAUAACAACUCUAUCUAUAUAUAAUAACUCAAGACUAGUAACGACGCAUACGAGUAUACUAUCCUCACUACCUAAGAGUCUCUCUAUGGCGUGGGGCUACAAAAAGCACUAAACUUGUACCCUGAAACUAAUAGAUACACGCGCGAACAGAAGGGCAAACUGAAAACCUUUGAUGUGAUAUAUGUACAUCUAGACCUCGGAGCGCAAGCUCUCAAACGACGCCGACAGGUUGACGGCGAUGCCCUCCAGGUUCUUGCCCCGGAGGCGCGACCUUGCAACCCUGCGUUGCUUGGGCGCGCCGGGGCCGUCCUCGUCGUCGCCGGUUUCCUCGUCUCUAAAAACAGACUUCGCCGACGGCGUUGAAAACUUGAAAUGCAGCUCCCUAGCAACAAUUGUCUGCAGAGAGGGGAUUCGAAUAAACAAAUGUUAGAGUUCGACUGGAGCCAAGAUGUAUUCCGGAUCAGGACUCAGGAGAGGACUGAAGUCAAAGGAUCAAAAUUCUUACCGCUUCGUUGACUGGUUUUGACACCAGGAGGAGCUGCCUCAGAUCACUGUGAUUCACCUUGCACAAGAUUUUAAUCUGCAAAGUUUUGACCAAACUGAGAUAAGCAAACAUACACAAGAGAACCCAAUUCUGAAUUGAAUCAUAGUAGACUGGAGUGACAAAGAGUGACAGUCAGUUUUUUUAUAUUGGAAUGGAUCGUUCGACGGGCGGAAAGAAUAGAAGGAACUGGGGAUAAGAAUAGAUCCAAGAGCAAUUACCAGAACAUCUUGCGGCAGCGACUCAAUGAGGUUGACAGCGUCGUCCAUGUGGAACCGGACACUGCGCUGCUUGCGCAGGGUGCGCACCGGCGAGUGCGGGCUCCGGGAGCCUGGAGUCGGCGAGACGGCGACUCUCUUCCUCCCGAAGAUUCUUGUGCUGCUCCUGCAGUUUGAGAAGCUCAAGCUCGUGGCAAGAUAGCCCUUCUUCGCGUCGCCCUGUCCAAUUGCCAUUUCUCCUUUUGUUUGUUAUAAACUCUGUCUGGCGAUUCAAGAUCACUUAUCCAAUCGGAAAUCUUGUAAUGAAGAUUAUCUGCAUGAGAUUGAAGAUGAGAAUCAACAUCCUGAAAAUAAAAUAACUAGAUUCACAGAUUUCCAUAAAAAAAAGCGAAACCGAAAGGAUAAUUGGGGAAGGCAAACAGAGCCAGCCGCCAACACAAGCCGAACCGCAAUUGAGAAUCAACAGCAAGAUCAUGAAUCAAUCAAUCAGCUCUAAUCCAAUCCCCCCCACCCACCCCCGUCUCAGCACAAGCAAUCAGAGUAUCAUCAGACUACCAAAAAACAGAAUAGAACGCCAGAAGGGGCGGAUGCACGGGGGUUGCCCCGGCCGCACUCGCAAAGUCGCGAGCACUCGCCCCCUCGGCCCCUCCCCCUCCGACGCCUGCUGCCCAGGCCCGGCGCCAGGCCAUCCCCUGCUCAGGCCCUGCUUUACGUGUAUGAAAGAAUCGAACGCCAAAUCGAAAUAGGGUUUCGAGAUCGGGAGGAAAAUUUCACCUGUUCUUCCGCUCUUCAAUCCCAAACUCCGCCGUCCUCAACUCGAUAGCGAUGAUCAAACAGCAACCUGGGAUGUUUCGCCCUAAUGCUAAGCAACCAAACCAAAACCUGCGGCGAAUGCUGGAGCACCAAACCUUAACGAGGUAAAUUAGGAAACAGCUGCCUCCCCUUCUCCGUUUUUAUAGCAGCCCCCGCAUUUGCUCCUCUGCAGGUGAGAACCUGCCUAGAAAAGUCCUCCGCGCAGGGGCCUUUCUAGAAAAUUACAGGAACCGCCAGAAUCCAAGGCUGGUUCGUGCACGGGAUAUUUUUCACCUCCCACUCUCACGCGGCGCUGACGCCGCGACGAGUCUCUGACACGCGGGGCCGUGAGUCUUGGGCCCAGCAGUCGGUGUCUGCGGGUCGCGAGAGGUGGUGUUGGUGCGGCGCGGGAUUUACGGGAGUAUUUUUUUUCGAAAUCGACACGGGUUGGCGCGCAGCUCGUGCGGGGCGAGGACCGCGUUGGAUCGGACGGCGCAGGGAGCUAGCGGAGCGGGUACGUGGCACGAUCGCGGUGGCUCUGAAACUAGCCGUUGGGCCGCGGGUGGUGGGACGUGGUCGUGGCCCGGCGGCGGCGGCGACUGGGUGGGGUUUGGUGACGUGGUGGCUGACCGGCGGAGAUUGGAUCGCCACGCAAAUAAAGGGAACGAUGCCCCCACGCGAGCAAGUCGGUGGAGGUCGGUCUGUCGCCGCCCCCCGGCCGGUUUAUCGCCGCGUGUAUUUCGAGUUGUUCUUCGUAUAUUCUAUAUCACUUUUGUUUAAAAAAAAUCUCCGAUUUCCAUGGGACAACUGGCCUUGAGUUGCGAUGCGCUGUUGUUUCGGAAUGCUCCGCGGCGGUGAAACGGGGAGCAAAGCGCGGUGCGCGGCGGCUGCACGCGGCGUUGGAUUGGGACGCAAGUAUACUCUGCGGCUCUGUCCACAGCUCGGUAUGUGGACUGGAUUAAGAGCAUCUUGGAGAAUUAGCCAAAUUAUAUACUAUAAAAGUAAAUUUAGCUAUUGUUAAAAGAAAAAACGUUUCAUUCUACCUUAUUGGCUUUUUAAAUUUGGAUAGCCUGUCUAACUAGUCAUCCUUUAUAGAGUCUGUUGAAAUACUCUAAUAUUUUUUUAUCAAAUCUAUUUUAAAGAGUAGCUAAAUUAGUAAAUUUAACUAGUUUUUUUAGAAAAUCUUUUAGAGAUGCCCUAACGAGGAAAUUCAGAGGAUGCAUCGUUUCUCGUUGUCCAUGUGUUUUGGCUUUGAUUAACGAGAGGCUUGAUGCAUUUGUUGUCAUUAUUACUUCUGCCUAGAUAAGAAAAUCCGUUAUACGUACCGAUUACUUUCGGAAAGAAAAUAUUCGAGUGUUCAUGCGUUUGUAUUUUAAUUCUGAGACACUUUCUUGUUGCGAGUGUAGUUUGAGAGCGUUGCAUUUUGACCACGUCUGCGGUAAUACACACACGAGUCAAAGACAACACGAGGACUGCGUCAAAUAAAAACUUCGGCCUCCGUGUCCUAGUGGGGUAGUGGCCUAGUGGGGUUGGGCCGUUGGGGUGCCUCCGUGUCCGUAGGGCGGCCGUUCGGAGGAUAGCUUCGACCAAUCUUCCGUCGCGGGCGGCGGCUCGCUCUAGGGCCGGCGCUGCCGUUCCGAGCAGCCCAAGAAGCAUCGCUCUUUCUGUCCUGACUUUUGCUUAGCAACGAAGCGUGGAAGUGCGUGCACGGAAAAUCACGAUAGCCACACGAAGCAGCCCGCGGGAGCCUCCGCGACCGCGCUGUGUGCGCGCGCAUCACAUCGGGGGCGCGGCCCAGCUGCGAGGGACUGGGAGGAUGUCGGGGAGCACGUCGGCCUCUGUCGCUCGACGGACUCGCUGCGGCGCGAAAGCGGAUUAGGGCACUCCUAACAUUGUAGUUUCUAUACAUAUUAAUAUUAAUUUCUAUAGACACUAUGUAUAAAAACUAUGCUUUCAAUGGAUAGUUUCUAUACAAUAAUUUGUUAUCCAAUCAUAUUCAUUUUCUCUCCAUUCUCAACCAAUCAUAUCACUUUAUGUCUUGGAUUUCGCGUAGACAUGGUUUCUAAGUUAGACCUAGUUUCUAUGAUUUUUGCUCUCUCUUCAAUAACUACCUUACCACAUCAGCAAAAUGUUUAGUUGGCACCAUAAUUAAUGUCUAUAGAAACUAUGAUGAUUUCUGCAUUGGGAGUGCUCUUAGGGCACUCCCAAUGGUUAUUAAUGAUAAUUUCUAUCUGUAUUAAAUAAGAUGACACCUAAGCAAAAUACUGACAUGGAAACUGUUUCUUAGGAGAGAAACGACGUCUACACUUGACCCGAUGCGCAUAGAAAUCACGAUCUCGGCGUUGGGGAGAAACUACCGGUUUCUACAGCAUGCUAGCCGCGCUCGCUCGUACGCCACCAAGGGAGCUCACCGGAGCUGCCGCGUUGACCCGCGCCUGCGCGUACCGCCGCUAGAAAUCGUUGGAGCUGCCUCGUUCGCCGCUGCGCUGUCUGUCGAGGUCGCCUCGCUUGCGCGCACCGUCGACCUGUCCACGGAACUCGCCGGAGCCGCCUCGCUCGCGUGCCCCGCCGCGCUGGAACACGGGGAGUAGCCAGAGCCGCAGUGCGGAGCUCGCUCGCGCGCGCCGCUACCCUCGCUUGCCGCCCGCGCUCGCUUGUGCCCCGGCCCGCAAUGUCGCGCUCUCCUGCGCUAGCCAUGCUCGCUUGCAUCCCGCGAGUGCUUGCUCGCACUGCCACGUUCGCCAGCCGCUACGUGCGCUCAACCGUGCUGCUGUGAGUGGCUUGCCGGGCGCCGCGAGCUCUCUUAUGCGGGCAGGCAGGAUAUUUAUGUGUGGCCUUGCUGUAGCUCGCGUGUUGGCACACAAUACUGGGAGAAGAGUCACAUGCGGGCGUUGUCCGGUGGCGUCUACGGUGGCGGCGCACAUGCAAGCGCCCGAGAGCCCAGGCUGCUGGUGAUGUAGUACACAGCUAGGCUUUCUGUUCGCUGCUCUGCUCCUCAUGUUGCCUUUGCUCCUCUUCAGAUUGAUGUUGGGAGAGAUGCAAGAGGAGAGAGACUAUCAAAUAAAGAAAGACUGAAAGAGACAUAAGCACAAUAUUUAUUACAUAAAGACACUCUCAUUGUGUAGUGUAGUUUCUAUUGAUUAAAUUUUGAUGACGUGGUACUCUUGGACAUUGUGUAUGGUUUCCACGGUUGGGACUGCCCUUAGUGCGGCGCAAAGGUUUUAGCCGCGUCGUGUGUUCCAAGGGAAAACGAAACUUGUAGCUCUAUCAUCUUGUGGUCUGAUUAUUCUUUUUAAUUUUAUUUAAAGUCACGGUCUGAUUAUUCUCUUCGAAUUUCAAAACCACAUAUUUUCUAUUUACAUUUUUUAAGUUGGUUUGUUUUGAAGCUGAUUUUAUCGUUUUUGGUAAAAAUGGGUGAAUAUUAAAUGAGAUUUUCAAAUUAUAGAAACUAUCUUUAAGUUUCUAAAAAUUAUGAUAAAGCAUUCCAGAGAUAAAUUGAGAUAUGAAAAGCCAAAUAAAUAUCUAGAGCUCUCAAAAAUAUAAAGAAUCAAAAUAAAAUUAGACUUAGCUCUAGCAAAAUGAAACCGGCACAAAUGCAUUUAGCCGGUGCAUGUAUGUGCCAUGCAUGAUGGUUGCAUCUCAUAUUUUUGUCAUGAAAGAGAUUUAUAACAACAUGCUUUCACAUCAGUUAGAUUGUUCUAGGAGUUUACCACAUUCUUAGAUUUUUUUUUUCAUUUUUCUAGUGGUCAACCAACUUUUUAUGAAGAUUUUUCAUGUCCCAUUAUACCUCUAGAUUUUUUUUCUCUCAAAAAUUUUAGAAACAUUUUUCAUGUUUUAAAAUUUCAUCUAGGAUUUAUUGAUUUUUAUUUAACUAAAAAGAACAAAACCACCUUCAAAACUAGUUCAAUCAAGUGAAGGGGAGAGGUAACCUUCAAAACACCUAAAAAAUAAGAGUUUACAAAGUAAGAUGUCUAGUUCAAAAAACAAAAUAAGAAAAAAAAACACUUCAAAAACCUUCAAAACACUUCAAAAAAGUAAGAUGUUUUACAAAGUAAGAAAAAACACAGCACACAAAUAGUUAAGGAGAUAAAAUGGACCUUUUACUUUUUUUUAGAAAUAAAAUGGACCUUUACUGUUUCUGUAGCUUCCGGGAUCAGCUGCGUUCAAGUUUCUGCCUAGUCCCAUGUUAGGCAUGGCGUAAUUCAUGGGCCGUGAUCCGUGGAGACAGUGAAAUAAGACUUUCAAGAUUUCAAACCAUUUGCUGACCUGAAGUUCUGAACAAGAACAACCGCGCCCUUCACUCCUUCAUCCAGUAACGAUACAGGAUCCUUGCAUCUCGACGAAUGAAAAAUUCUCUUUUAGUUUUUUUUUUGGAGAACAGCUAGAGCAUCAUUAAUCAAAAGAUCAGGGUUACAAUCAAUGUUUUUGAUAUUCCUUAAUCUAGGUGGGGCUACAUGCCACUCCACCACCUGAGAAUUAGUGGAUACCAAACGAUCACUCUGAGAGUCUGAGUAGGAGUCGGGGGGAAAAAACGGCACCAUCGGUUUGCAGCGUUGCAGGAUCUGGACGCAAGUAGCUUGAUCCGCUCGCUAUAGUGUAUCGUCACUGUCCUGGACAUUAUCGUGUGCCUGUUGCAUUGCAUGAGUAACGAGCUAAACGGCCCUGCAUGAGUGCAUGUGCCGAUCUGGCACGACGCCAGCUGCUGCGGUGCCGCCACGUCGUUUGCGAUAGCACCGCGUGAGUUUGAUUCGUUUCCUGUCCGGGCCCGCCAGUGUGCUCGGCUGCUCGCUCACUCUAGAUGCAACAGAGGCACGAUAAGGAACGCGUCUCGGCAAGCCGCAGCAACGUCGUCCCGGGGACUCGAUCAGGGAGAGAGCCGCGAUCGAUACGAGUCGAGCAAGCAGACAGGCAACGUCUUUGGCAUCUUUGGGAAACCGGAUCGCCGUCACGCUGGUCAGAAGCAGAUGAUUCUCUCCGGUUUGCAGUAUAGGCCGCCGGAUUGGCGUGGCGACACAUCCACAUGACGGGAUAUGAUCGGGAUCAGCCGCGGUUGCUGGUAUUGUAGAUCUACCAGUCUAGAUGGUUUGAUGGCUGACGAGGACAGGGGAUAUCGUACGCGAGGCAGGAAGGUUCAUGAGGGAGGACGGUAGGUACUUCCCGAAUGGGUGCGGCCGAAACUGACGGCGCAGAAGACUGCUGUUAGCAGCAAGCAACUCCAACAGCUUAGGCCCUGUUUAGUUUUUCACCGGGCCUUGUUUAGUUCCCAAAAAAUUUUGUAAAAUUUUUCAGAUUUCCCGUCACAUCGAAUCUUUAAACGUAUACAUGAAGUAUCAAAUAUAAAUAAAAAUAAAAACUAAUUACACAUUUUGGUCGAAAUUGACGAGACAAAUCUUUUGAGCCUAGUUAGUCUAGGAUUGGACAAUAUUUGUCAAAUACAAACGAAAUUGGUACUAUUCAUAUUUUGCAAAAAAUUUUGCAAGUAGUUAGCAAAAAUUUUCAAGAUUCCCCGUCACAUCGCAUCUUUGGUUACAUGCAUGGAGCAUUAAAUAUAAACGGAAAUAAAAAAUAAUUGUAUAGUUUACAUGUAAUUUGUGAGAUAAAUUUUUUAAGCCUAGUUACUUCGUAAUUGAACAACGUUUGUCAAAUAAAAACGAAAGUGCUACAGUAAUAAAAAAAACCAAAUUUUUUGCGAACUAAACAAGGCCCAAAAAAAUUGUGGAGACUAAAGGUAGUCUUUAACAGAUGUACUAUUUAGUUUUAUAAAAUAGAAAGUUGGUUAUUCUUUGAUUUUCGCUGCCUAUAUAUAGCCAACCACCGACACAUCAAGCUUUACGAUUUUGUAAAAUAGGAAGACUGUUGUGAAUCUUUUUUUAAAAAAGUUUUCUAAUUUACAAAAUGACUAAAUAAUAGAAUUUGGCUAGUAAUUUUAGUUAGGGUACUGUAGUUGCUUAUGCUCGGCGUUGCGGUAUGCGGUGUGCGCGUUGCGGUAUGCCAGUAUGCCACAAUGAUAUCUGCAUGCAUGCAGCGGCAGAUGAGAGAACGGCCGAUGUGCGCCGCUGGAGCCAACAACCCGGCGGCGCGGGGCCCGCCUUAUAAAGAGGACGACGCACCUCCGCGUCAGCGUCAUCCGCCCGUGCGCUCGUGUUGAUAUAGGUCUUGUUUAGUUCGCAAAAUUUUUUGUUUUUGGCUACUGUAACAUUUUGUUUUUAUUUGACAAACAUUGUCCAAUCAUGAAGUAACUAGGCUCAAAAGAUUCAUCUCACAAAUUACAGGUAAACUGUGCAGUUAGUUUUUAUUUUCAUCUAUAUUUAAUGCUCCAUGCAUGCGACCAAAGAUUCGAUGUGACGGAGAAUCUUGAAAAUUUUUGCGAACUAAACAAGGCCAUAGUACUCCUACUACUGGAAUGCAUACACGGCCGCCGGAUGCAUGCACGGCCGAGCUGGCCUGGCGGGCGCCGGCGCGCCGAAACCACUCUAGCUUUGAUGCUGUGGACUGUGGUCACUGGCCUCAUCUCAAAUAAAACCUGUGAACGGCUCAAUGACAGGCAACAUCGAUCGGGAGCAUUGGAUGCACAGAGGGUCUUGUUUAGUUCCAAAAAAGAUUUUAUAAAAUGGACAACGUAGUAUUUCCGUUUAUAUUUGAUAAAUAUUAUCUAAUUAUAGAUAUACUAGACUUAAAAGAUUCGUUUUAUUUUUAUCUACAUUUAAUAUUGCAAACAUGCGCCGCGACACUAGCACUUUCGUUUGUUUGUGGUAAUUAUUGUCCAACCAUAGAUAACUAGGCUCAAAGAUUUAUCUCGUAAAUUCUGACUAAAUUAUAUAAUUAGUUUUUAUUUUCAUUUAUAUUUAAUAUUGUAUAUAUAUGUUUAAAAAUUCGAUGUGUCGAAGAAUCUGGAAAAAAUUUAGAUAUUGAGGUGGAAGUACCCAGGAAGCGCGUGCUGAAGCUGAACGAAUCGGAGGUGGGCCAGGACCCAGGUGGGUUGGAGGAGGGGGCGCGUCCGUCACACCUAAGGCCUUGUUUGGAUGUUGUCGUAUUUACUCCAAUCCAUGUGUGUUGGUGUGGAUUGGGAUGGAAUUUAGUUCAAGUUCCACUCUAAUCCACCUCAACACAUGUGGAUUGAUGUAAAUACGACUACAUCCAAACAAGGCCUAAAUGCAAACCACGGCACGGGCACAUUGGUGCGCGCUAGGUAGCAAGCGGCAAACCGGUGAGGUAGCGGCCGCCGCUUCCGCGAACGUGACCCUGCAGGGAAGGGUGUUUUCCAUGUGCGUGCUAGACCGAUCGAGCCGAUGACACGAGCAAUCCUAGCAGGGAAGGGUGUUUUCCGUUGCGCGUCAUCAUCACAUCAUCGGCAGCAAGUAUUUUAACGUCCCGAAUACUACGUCCUCAUUGGCGGCCACGGGAAUCUAUGUACGUACACGGAUGAUCGAGAGCAAAUAAACCUCAUCUUCCUCACAUACCGUUGCUCACAGCAGUCACAGGGUAUGACAGCGCUCUACUGUCUGUAGCGCAUUUCUUCGCAACCACCAUUGCAUGCAAUUAAAUUACAGUAUCAAGUACUGCUAGUAGCGGAGCAUCCGAUCGACCCAAUCCAAGGACCGUGCGUUAUUACCCUUUGAUUUGAUCAAGGACGCUGUGCCUACGUAUAGCUGUCCUCCUCCUUUCGCAGUCGUCCAAAAUCAGAACCCAGAGGCAAUAGUACGUAAUACACAUCACAUAUAUAUCCAGAAUACAGCUACUAGUAUGUACUCCGAGAUCUGGGGUAGACUAGAGUACACCAAUUAUGCAGCGCCUUUUUGUCCUGUCACGUACACGGCCAACGAUGUGGAACGCGACCGGUAUAGGAGUAUCUCGCAUAUACGGAUGGUACAGUCCCUAUCCAUCUGCCGUGGCGCACUGUUGGCGUUCAUAUUAUUGAGUACACUAGGACAGGCGAGCGGAAAUGCGUCCAGCAGUUCUUGUACUUGUACACAAGCAAUUUGGUAUGUUGAAACUAGUUCUUCAGUCCAAGUUAAGGUAAAUUAAACAAAGCUUAACUCACGACCUUUUCUGUUUUCUAAACUCAUCAGUCACCGCACCUGUCAAACGACCGUUGAUUACUUGAUUAGCAAUCGCAACUCACAGUCUCACAGAAUAAUAAAAUAGCUAAAAGUGAACCUCUGUCCGGGCCAAGUUAGAACUUCAUCAGAAGGCUAACAAGGUCAGUAAAAUGAAAUGAAACUUAGAUGAGUUACAGUGGAGAGUUUUAUAGCGUUGUUUCUAAGGUUAUCAUGUCAAUGAAAUGAAACUUGGAUGAAACACUCACUCUUAAAGAAAAGUUUUAUUCCAUGGUUUCAUAGAUAUUUAAUUUCUAGAUGAAAUCCAUUUCUUUUCUCUCUUCUUAAAUACACUGUUAUGUCAUCCAAAAUGUCUAUCUGACAACCUAUUUAAUGUGAAAAUGAAACUCAGAUAAAACUCCCACUAGUCAAUCGCAAAGACAUGACCUGGCCAUAGCACAAAUGGCAAAUGUAUAUAACACAACUGCUGGCGGUCAAUCGUCAUUGCUGAUUGUCGCUGAUCACACAAGUGGGAUUAUAACAUCAUCAUAAAUUGAUUGAUCAACGUUGCUAAUAUAUGUUCCACUGAGCAUUGGAAGAUACACCAAGAUCACAUUUGGAGUUCAAAGGGGGUAUUGAACUAACAACUUACACUGUGCAUGUUGAGGUGUUUUAGUUUUGUCAUCAUAAGGUAAACUUUUCUCAUUUUUUUUGUCAAGUCUAUAAAAAAUUAUAUUAACACCUAUAAUUUAAUAUCAAAUAAAUUUAAUACUAAAAAAUAUUUUACGGUGGAAUUUGCUGAAACCAAUAUAAUAUAAAUUUUCUACAAAUUAACUUAAUCAAACUUUAAAAAAUAAAUUUUUAAAUGGAACAGACAAAAUUCUAAGAUGCUCGAUCGCCUCCUAGGAGAUAGUUCAUCUAGCCGUGUAAUGAAUCCAAGGAAAGACGAUUAUUGAAUCUGAUUGUGUUUUAGGAUAUGCUAUCUUGUGUAUGUAAUAACAGACUGCCUUGAGCAUUUCUUAGCGUGAGGCUUUAAAGUGUAGUCAUGGUCCUCCGGGACUGAGGCGUCCUUGUUCUGAGAUAGACCGCCUCCGCCGUGAACAACAUUCUAAAAAUAUUAGCCAUAUGUACUAUGUAGGGUCGAUCUCAAAGCAUGGACGCCACUAGUGAAGCCCUUCCCGGAGAGCUCAUGGCUACUCCUCUACUUUCCCUGCCACGUUGAACACCGCCACCAUCGCCCUUCAUUCCCUUCCUCUCUUUGUUACGCAGGCCUAGACCUGAAACGACGUCCUCCAAAUGCGUAAGGGGUUUUAUGAGAAGUUGUUAUGACCCCUAGCAUGUAGCUGCCUAUAUAUGUUGCAUGGCCACGUCUGAUGCUGGUGAUGGUGUGACGAGUUUGGAACCGUUGGUGUACCACAACUGUAGAUUAGAGAAUGUUUCAAAAGAUUGAGGACCCAACCUGCACUUAUUCUAUAAAAUUUAUCUUUUAUACCUCCUCCAUACCCGUAAAGAAAGUCAUAUAGGACAAUGAAACGGUCUCCAAAACCUAAUUUUGACUUCUUAUUUUUAUAAAAAUAUUUAUCAAAAAGUCGUAUAUGUAUAUUUUUAUGAAAGUAUUUUUUAAGACAAAUCUAUUAUAUGGUUUUCAUAUUUCUAAACUGAAUAACUUAAAAGUUAUCCAUGAUUUAUAUGCUCAAUAUUUAACCUAAAUUUUAUCAAAACGACUUUCUUUAUAAGUAUGGAGUGAAUAUAUUCUUUUAUCAUUAAAAUAAGUUUAAUUGACUUUCAUGAUUGAUUUAAGAAUUAGAUAAAAGACCAGAAAAUUAUAUUGUAACUACAGAAGUGUUUACGUACCAAAUAUGGGUCACCGUCUAAAAUAUUUUGUGUCGUAGCAUGCUCGGUUCUAAAAUAGCAUGAUCCUAGUCGCUCUACCGUUAGGCAGUUAUGCUUUUAAUUCUUCAGAGUUGCUGCAUCCGUGUAGAAAAGAAUGUAAUUCUAAUUUUUCAAAAAGUUAAACAGCGCUUCAAGUUUGACUUCAUUUAUAUAAAAACUACUAUCAUUCAUAAUAUAAAAUAAGAAUGAUAAAUUAGUUAUAGAAUAUAUUUUUAUAAUAAAAUUUAUUUGGAGACGUAAAUGUUAAUAUCAAAGUAAAUUAUACGGCCGGUCCUUAAAGUAUUACGUAGUUUUCAUUUAGGUCCUCUAACUACGAAAUCGCACGUCUCACUCCCUAAUGUAUUUAAGUGAUCUCAUCUAGAUCCCCAAACUACGAAAUCGCACGUCUGACUCCCUAAUGUAUUUAAGUGAUCUCAUAUAGGUCCAAAAUAUACAGAAGGAGGGUUAGAAGCUGACAUGGUCAUCCAUAUAGAUAUGAUUUAAGCACAUGACCCCUGAUUUAAGCCCACGUGUGCAGCCGCUGGCUCGUUCCUGAUCACCAUCACAGCGCCCGCAGCAUACGACCUUGUCAUGUAGGCAGCAAUGGCGGCCGGUUACACUGCCGAGCGGGGUAAGGUAGAUAUGAGAGAAGAGAGGCUUGGUUUGCGGUUAUCCGGUAUUACGCUCACUCGUGUGACCAGCCGCUAUUGCCGUUUACAUGACCAGAUCGUAUGCCGUGGGCGCUGUGAUGGUGAGCAGAGACGAGCCAGCGGCUGUACCCGUGGACUUAAAUCAGGGAUCAUGUGCUUAAAUCAUAUCCAUGUGGAUGAUCAUGUUAGCUUCUAACCCUCUUUAUGUGUAUUUUGGAUCUAUAUGAGAUCACUUAAAUACAUUAGGGAGUCAGACGUACGAUUUUGUAGUUUGGGGACCUAGAUGAGAUCACCUAAAUACAUUAGGGAGUCAGACGAGCGAUUUCAUAGUUUGAAGACCUAGAUAAAACCCACAUAAUACUUUAAGGACCGACCGUGCAAUUUAUUUGGAGACGUAAAUUUUAUUAUUAUUUACUACAAAUAUAGUCAAACUUGAGUUACUUUAUCUGACAUAUUCUUUGCUGGAUGGAGUAAGUACUACGACGCACGUCAGCACGUGCCAGCGCGUUCUUCGUUUACCACGGCACACCGGUAAGGAGUAAGAACGCGAAUCCAUCGAAGGCACUCACGUUCGGCUGUUCUUCCUGUAUCCAAGCUGCAACAACCUACAGAUCGAAAAGCAUAUAGAACCAGCAAAGCAAGGUGAACUGGCAAAUCCAACCCUGUCCGUUACCAAAAUUACAGCUUAACACCCCUGAACAAGCUAGUAGCUGCGAAGCUACUGUGGUCCUGUCCAUAUAAAUACUGCAUCCGGCAUCGUCUCUGACCUGCAACUUACGAGCACCCAAGAGCAUAGACAAGCACUCACACACACUAUCGCGGCAAUGGCCGACACGGCCGACGCCCCGCUCCUGACGAGCCACCACAAGCAGGCCAAGCUGGCCAACAAGGCGCCGUCCAUCGACGACACCAUCGAGACGUACAUCGGCGCGACCGGUUCCAUGCAGCUGCUGAAGGCCGUCCUGCUGGCAUUCGCGUGGGCCUUCGACGCGCAGCAGGUGUUCAUCUCCGUGUUCACGGACGCGGAGCCGGAGUGGCACUGCACGGGCGCCUCGGCGUCCUGCUCGCCGGCCGCACCCCCGGCCUCGCCGUGCGCGCUCCCUUCUGGCGCGUGGGCGUGGGACCGGCCGGCCGAGACGACGGUGGUCUCCGAGUGGGCGCUCAAGUGCGGCGGCCCGGCCCUCGUGUCGCUCCCGGCGUCGUCGUUCUUCGCCGGCUGCCUGGCGGGAGGGUUCCUGCUCACCACGCUCGCGGACUCGCUCCUCGGGCGCAAGAAGAUGCUGCUCACGUCCCUGGUGUCCAUGUCCGUCGCCGGCGUGCUCACCGCGUUCGCGCCGAACGUGUGGGCGUACGCCGCGCUGCGGUUCGUGUCCGGGUUCGGCCGCUCCAUGGUGGGCACGUGCACGCUCGUCCUGUCCACGGAGCUCGUCGGCAAGAGGUGGCGCGACACGGUGAGCGUGGCCGGCUUCAUCUUCUUCACCGUCGGCUUCCUGUCCCUCCCGGCGCUCGGCUACACGUUCCGCGAGGCGUCGUGGCGGAACAUGUACCUGUGGACGUCCGUGCCUUCGCUCUGCUACUCCGUCCUGCUCUACUUCCUCGCCCAGGAGUCGCCGCGGUGGCUGCUGGUGCGCGGCCGGAAGCAGGACGCCAUGGAGACGCUGCAGCAGAUCGCCUCGCUCAAUGGCAACAGCAUCACGUCCAGCUUCUCCAUGCUGCACGCGUGCAACAUGCAGGAGGACGACGGGGCCUCCGGCGGAGCCGGGGGCGUGUUCUCCACGAUGCGGUCGAUGUGGGAGCGGCCGUGGGCGCUACGGAGGCUGGCGGCGAUCAUGACGACCGGCUUCGGCGUCGGCAUGGUCUACUACGGCAUGCCGCUCAACGUCGGCAGCCUGGGAACCAACAUCUACCUGAGCGUCACGUACAACGCUUUGGCUGAGCUGCCGUCGGCCAUCCUGUCGUUGAUCUUCAUCGGCAGGAUCAACCGGCGGAGCUCGGUCGUCGCGCUCACCGUGGCGGCCGGUGCCUUGAGCCUCGCGUGCGUCGUCAUCCCGGAGGGCUCGGCGGCGCGAAUGGCGGCCGAGUUGCUCUCCUUCUUCUCAACCAUCACCGCGUUCAACCUCAUCCUGAUCUACUCCAUCGAGCUGUUCCCGACGUCCGUGCGCAACUCGGCGGUGGGGCUGGUGCGGCAGGCGCUGGUGCUGGGCGGCGUGGUGGCACCCAUGCUCGUCGCGCUCGGCCGCGAGCGGAGCUUCUGGUCCUUCGGUGUGUUCGGGCUCUGCAUCGGAUGCCUGGGGCUCUUCGCCGCCUGCCUCCCGGAGACCAGGGGGCGGAGCAUGUCGGACACCAUGGAGGAGGAGGAGCACAAGGAGGCUGCCGCCGCGGCUUGCACCGGCGCAACCGACAUCAUCGCCACCAAGGAUGAUAGCGACCUCGUGUAGCAAACGUCCGUGUGGUCAAUCACGAAGCUGUCAGGCUGCCUCUAUCCAGUCUUGUACCGCUGCCGCCAAGUUGAUGCAUAUAAUUCAGUUUCAGAAACAGUUGUUGAGUGUCUGCAUGUAGCUAAAAUCAGGGGCCACAUUCACAAAAGCAGAACUCGAUCCAUAUCGAUCGGUGAAGCUGAAGCACAUGUUCAAGCCACAUUGACAAAUUAAGUCAAUGCGGAAAUGUUGGCAGAAAAAAAAAAUCCACUGCCACUGACGGUAUAAAACAUGCCAAGCUAACACAAGUGUAGUCCGAACUUACAAAUUUUUAGAUAGUUUAUAUGCUUACUAAAUCACGUAAACACUAGAGACAGAAACCAUAUCCCAAUAGAAGUUUUUUUAAAAAAUGUUUAAUAAUGUAUAAACUCACCUAUCAUCUAUCUAUGACAUUUUUUCAUAUCUUGAUUUCUGUAUACACAUAAUUUCUUGUCUAAGAAACUAUUUCGUCCUCUCUCUCUCUCUCAACUACAAUAUCGCAUCAUUAUUUUGCUUAGUUUCUAAGUUGAGAGUGUCCUAGUCAUCCUCAUAUAUGAUGAGAGCCAAACCUGACCUAAACCAACCCAUAUGCCACAACACGGUAAUGGUUUAUUUCUCACAUAUUUGCUCCAACUUAUGCAUCGUUGCUUAAGAAGUGAGAGGAGCAAAGUUGGUGAAGCAAAAAAAAGUGUUCACUAGCUCCUAUGUGACUUUGCGAAAGAGAUCAAAAAAAGUGUUGGUCACAAUAUGUGAAUGAUGUUGCUAUAGUACAAGUGAUAGUUGGAGUCAAAGUUGGUUACAGCCAUACCACAGGACGUCAGAGCCUCAACAAAUGGUAUCUCUAUGGGUCCGAGAAAAAUACGUCUCUAUCUUGCCACAGUUAUGCUUGCCUCCUAGGAGUACAUAUAUUUAUUUAGGUUUGCCUUAUUGCCUAUCAAAACUUUAGUCUAGUCUUCUCUAGACCUCUAGCUAGAGGUGGACUAACCCAUAGGGAGAGGUCAGGUGGCCACCCUACCUCCCUUAUGGGUGCCCCCAGCAUACUUCCGUGUGGCGGUGUCGGUCCACCUCGUACAACCAACUGAUGACACGUGAUGUCUGAGCGCUUGAGCUCGAGUCGAGGUUGAAGGCAAUGGACAAGAGUGGCUACAUGAGCCUCAUUUAGGCUUAGAGCAGACCGCCUUGCCUAGGCUAUAUCACAUUCUUUUUCUCUUGACGCCCUAAAACCCUUCCUCACUUCUAACAUCAGGGGAGAGCUAGGCACUACGAUGACUAAGUUAGUUCUAGUCAUCAUCACUCCAUCAAUUAAAUCAACCAUUAAAUGGUUAAUUUAGAAGGAUUUGACAAAUUCUGUUAAGGUCAGCUGAUUGUAACUCCGUCCCUAAUUAACUUCACCCCAAUGCAACACACUAUACCCAUGCUUUCUCUCUAAACUCAUGUUAGUUUUGUCUUCACGUCCUCACUCUCAUCCCACUCGUAUUUCUCAUCAUAUAGGUGGUUCCCGCCAACACAUCCAUGUCGCACUAAACCACUAAGGGCUUAUUUGAUCUCAUGCAUGGUCUAAAGUUUAGCUACUAAAGUUUAGGCCACUUUAGUUCUUGAGGCUCUAAACAUGUGAUUAAAGUUUAGCCAACCUCGCCUUAAAAGCCAUUAGUUCUUUAGACCAUAAACGUGAGCUAAUUAAUGAAAUAUAAAGUUUAUCCCUUAACUUUAGCCAACCAAAUCCCAGUAAAUGAAAUCCAAAUGGAAUGUAACCCUCUCCUUUGCUCCCCACCAUUAGUCUUGCCCACUAUACUAUCUUAUGCUCACUGCCAACUUAUCGCCUACGCCCCGGUGGGUGUGGUUCAAGUUUGUUCGUCGGGCCCUACGUGCCUUCAUUUAGAUAUUUAUUAGUUUGAGCAACAACUAACAACUAUCACCUUCCAACCACACAUCGUCAUACUCAUCAUAUGCAUAUGCAGUUUGAAUUAAAGUAAAAUCUAUGCAAACUAGCUAGAGUAGGGCUCAUCUAGUGUCAGGUGCUCUCUAUAUUUUAAAUUAUAAGAUAUUCUAGAUAAAUUAUUUUUACUAUAUAUCUAAACAUAGUAGACAAUUAAAUGCAUCAAAAAUUAUGUAUCUAGAAAAAAACAAAAUAUUCUAUAAUAAUUUAGAAUUAAUGCAGGAAUACUAUACGUUUAAAAUUGAACGACGACUAACGGUUAGGUCCCCGAUAUAUCAAUCCCAGACUCAAUCUAUUUUGUAUUCAAAUGAUCAUGAUCUGCACUUUUUCCUUUUCUAUUCUAUAUUGUAUCUACAUGAGUUUUUACUAUAUACUCCUAUCAGACUUGGUUUGCCCUUUUCGCUUUUUCUAUAUAUGGUCCAAUAGGUUUCCUCCUCCGAAUAAGCCAGGGCUCAAUUUUGGACUAUUCAGAAUUCCAGAUUGACAGCAUCAGUGAGACCGAGAGUACAGACUCCGUACUUUCAUAGGGAGUGUCGUUGUUCAACGGCCUGUGUAGGCUGUAGCUGUUACGGAGUAUUAUUGUUUUUUUAAAUCCUGGCUGAGUCAGUGGUGACCCGGUGAUGCCAAAUUGCCAGUCGAGAGAUCCUAAUGUGAAGCGCAUUGUUUCAGUUUGUUCUGGAUCACAACUUGCGUGACGUCGCUGGCUCAUCAAAUAGUACUGAUAGGUGAUUAGCAAUUUAGUGCUAAAAUAGGCUAUCAUGAUCUGGCAGGGGGCCAGGAACAUGGUGCCCGUACAUGAGAUGCUUGUGUUGUGUGGAGGCAUUUUGUCAAAAAUCAGAAUCACGUCAUCUUCUCCUGCAUGCUGCCAUGGAACAUGUGUGACAGUGUGAGUGAGCGUGCAUGCAUGAUGCUUGCAGUUGUGCCGUGGGUCUAUCCCUUCAUUUUCAGAUAUAUCUUCAGGUUUCCUUGCAAAAGAAAAUAUCUCUUGAGUCUUGACCAUGUCACGUAACAGUAGGUCUAUAUAGACACAAGUUAGGCAGGAACUUUGGACUCGCAUGCGGCAAGCAGAACAUCAAGGCAACACAGAAGAUCCUGGAGCACUAAUUAUGCUUGCAUAAUCUCUCGGUGACGUGUGAAUGACCCGGGAACUGACAAAAGACGUUUUGGCCUUGUUUAGUUCGUAAAAUUUUGGUUUUUUGGCUACUGUAGCAAUUUCGUUUUUAUUUGACAAACAUUGUCCAAUCACGGAGUAACUAGGCUCAAAAGAUUCAUCUCACAAAUUUCAGGUAAACUGUGUGAUUAGUUUUUAUUUUUAUCUUUAUUUCAUGCUCCAUACAUGCGACCAAAGAUUCGAUGUGACGGGAAAUCUUGAAAAUUUUUGCGAACUAAACAAGGCCUUUGUUUGGGGUGUGGGAUGAGCCUUCAGAUCGAUUCGGACGGGCCUUGGUGCCUUGCUGCCACCAUCCGGCGCCCUCUGCUGUACAGUACUACGAUAUGACCAGGCCGAGUCAGCAGAUCACGCUUUCACCAAUCCGCGAGGAUCCAUCAAUUAUGGGACCGAGGCCUUGUUGAGUUCGUAAAAACUUGUGAAAAACGGCACCGUAGCACUUUCGUUUUUAUUUGACAAACAUUGUUCAAUUAUAGAGUAACUAGGCUCAAAAGAUUCAUCUCGCGGUUUACAGAUGAACUGUGCAAAUAGUUUUUUUUUUCAUGUAUAUUUAAUGCUCCAUGCAUGUGACGCAAGAUUCGAUGUGACGGGGAAUCUUGAAAAUUUUUGCGAACUAAACAAGGCCUGAAAAAGGCGUGUUCUUGGUUGAGACGUCUUGAAUCUCAUCUUUCUUUCUGUUAGAACAAGGCUAAUAAUAUAGCCAACUGGCUAUAAAGUUUCUUUACAGUUUUCUUGUAGCUCACUUAUAUAAUAAUUAGCUCAUCAUUAUCUCCUCUUCUCUCUCCUCCACCUCAAUAUUUAGCCGGCUUAUAGUCUACUAUAAUACUUGCUCUUAAAAUAACGACGUCCAACAAUCCAAGCCAUCCCAAUCUUUGAUUAACACGCGUGUGCCGGCAACAAUACAGAUGCACGAUGUCUUUCUUGUGAAGCACCACCGUCUGCAAGCGGCAGCGGGACAGGCCUAGAGUUAGGUUUUGAGCUUGGGAUGGCUGGGACGAUGGCUCGCUCAAUGACAGUGGCGAUUCAAGGGCCACGAGGCGUAGCAACAAUGCAUUGCUGGUCGGACGGUUGAGGACAACUCGUGGACAAGAUUGGCGGCGGGGGCGACCAAGUACAACGUUAGUAGAGGGCACGGCUGCAACAGCGGCGGAGGAGGAGGGAGGUGGGCAAUGAGAUCGUCAGCAUGCUCGUCGAUGACCUAGAAAGCAGAAGAGGCUUGCAAGGGAAGGCGUAGUUGGAACUUGGAAAGGUAACGAAAACAUAUACUAUUAUAUAGUUGGAACUUGGAAGGCGUAGUUGGAACUUGGAAAGGUAACGAAGACAUGUGUGCUCUGAUAUCAAAAUGGUAUCAUAAUACUUUAAGUUUGAGCAUUUUUUUUUUGUAUUUUAACCAAAGAAAUGUGAUGUUCACAACAUUGUGUCUAUAGUCAGUCGUCUCUAUUAAAGGAGUGUUCAUAAAGCAUGAGCAUUUAGGACAUAAUUCAAGUCGAUCCUUGGAGAGGUUGCGCGUAGCAGAUCUUGCGUGGUAAGAACCUCUGGUUCAACCGAGACACCGGAGGGACGUAGAGCUCGAUCUCUCGUCUCGGCCACGGACUUUGCUGUUGAUUUUUUUUUUUUUUUUUUUUUUUAGCACGGCUGCACGCGGGUGCCUUCGGCUUUCGGCCUUUGUUUGGGCUUUGGGCCACCACAUCCACUUUCCAUCGAACGGCUCAUCUAACGGCCCUGAAAUCGUGCAGCCCAGUCUGCGAUUGAAUGAAAGGAGGAAUUCCAGAACGGCCUCCUUCCAACCACCUGAAACUCUGUAUCUAAUUGCUCUGUAAACCCUGAAACUCUGAAUCUAAUUGCUGAGGAUCAAACCAAUCGUCCAUGGAUAGAAUUCCCUCAGAAAGGGGUUCAUCAUCUCAACUUCCAUUGGACUGCCGUGGUCGGUUCAUAAUCGUAUUUAUAUGAUUUUGAACAAAAAUAAAUAUAUAAAAAAUGGAGACGUUUAAAGCCAUUCUGGUGCUUAAAUAAUGAUAAAUGUGUUCCUAUAAUCAAACACAGAUAUAAAUAAUGUACCAAUAUAUCUGUACUAAGAAGGUUUCAAACGGGAAGUAGUGAAUUAUGAAGUUAUAGCUCGUGUCGAGAUCUGUAAUUCCAUAUAAAUCUUUUAUCUAUCUGAACUAAUGAAAAAAGUUUUCUUUUUCAAGAUGCGCUGUGUAGAAAAGAGAUACCUCACCAUUUCAAACGCAUAGAUUUAAAUCUCGCCAUUUCAGUUGGUGAAAAUAGUACAUUUCUAAAAAAAAUUAUUCAGACAAUACUAUUUUUCAAAACACAAAUCAAUUUAUUUUUCUAAAAAAUGUCAUCCACCUUGGUCACCAGUGCAAUCAUGUCAUUGGACCAGCACAACCAGUUCCUAAACCUCCACUUCGAUUUGCGGGAGUAAUAAGUGUAAAAUACACAGGCGGUCCUAAACUUCUCUCUAUGGAUGGUAAAUGGGUUGGAUAAUUGAGGUGUAUCAAACACACUCCUGAGGUAAAACUCGUAGCAUUUUGUCACGGUGCCCUGCACAGGGACUCAGCGACUUGCCUUCAGUAACCUCCUCCAUUCAUUCCUUCAAGGCCUAGUUUCCAAAAAAUUUUGUAAAAUUUUAAAUUUUUUAGAUUCCCCAUCACAUCAAAUCUUAUGACACAUGUAAAAUUUUUAUUUAUAUUUAGUGCCUCAUGCAUGUGUCGUAAGAUUCGAUGUGACAGAAAAUUUCAAAAAAUAAAAUUUUACAAAAAAAAUUAGAAACUAAACAAGGCUUUGGAGGAAUGGACGGAGGAGGUAAGUUACAUUGGGACUUGUUGAAGGCAAGUCAAUAAAUCCCUCUUCGUGGCCCUCAUAUCACCCUAUGGAUGAAAGUUGCAUCCACGCCGAAGCCCACAAGUGAGGACCUCUCAGGUGUGUAAAUAGUAUAGGCAAUAUAUCAUCAUGAUUACAUUAAUAUGUAUAGAAAUAUGAUAACAAAUAAUUGUUUCCCAUCUCUGUAUCACAUGUCUAGUCAUGUAACACAAAUGUAGCAAGUAAUUAAAAUGAAUUAAAAAACUAAUGCCUAGUUAUUCAUGAGUCCAACUGCCACCCCUACUACUUGUCCUAGGGUCUCAUCUCAUGCUCCCUCUAUUUUAAUUCUAAGUUGUUUAGUCUUUCUAUAUGCAUAAUUUUGCUAUGCACCAAGAUAUCCAUCAUGUCUAAAUACACAAUAAAAACAAUAUCUCUAAAAUCUAUAACAACUUAGAAUUCAGAAUGGGGAGAGUAUGAUUUAAACUCUCGAAAUACCAUCUUAGGUCUUGGGCUUGCCAUAUGAUGUCAUCCAAUUUCAAAAUCUCAAAAUGAGAUUCUCCAGGUUCCAUACAAUCUGGCCUCCCAAACUUAUAGAGCUAUGGAGGGCUUACCCAAUGCAUUGGCGGCCCAGGCUUAGUCCGGGUAGUCCUAGGUCUACCCUAGAUUUUGACCAAAAUUACUAGUACUAGUUAGAUUUAGGAAGUCUAAAAUUAAAAAUUCCAAUGUUCUAAAUAUUUCAUCCGUUUUUAGACUUUCCCUCCUCUUGGCUAGUGUUUACUUGCUCUUGGUAUCCACUUGGUCUAAAUUAUGUUUUGGAUUAUACUAUAUUGAAUACACAUAUUUUUGCUAGGCAUACUCUGAGUUCAAAUCCUGGGUCCGCCGCUACACCAACGUACCACUGUGGAGCAUAGCCAGCCGAUUAUUCAUCUUUUUUGAAGCAUUUUUGGAGCACGUGUUGCAGCGAGAAAGGAGCUGCGCGCCUUUGUUGUCCCUAUGAAAAUAAAGCAGAGCACUUGGUAAUAAAGUUGUUCACUUCCGUUAGACCAAGGGAGGUCCCCUCGGAGUUUUGAGAGCUCUUUUUUUGGGUACGAUUAGUACUGCUGCUUUUGGCUGAGUAGCCCGGCCCAAACCAGUGUGCCACGUAACGCUGUGGGACCAGGUGAUGGAGGACGAUGGGAGUCAGCCAGUUGUCCGAGGUGGCAGCGGCGCCACCUCCAGAAUCCAGUUCCGCUCCCCGAUUGGGCGGAGGCAAAUCCAGAAAUCUCCACCUCACAUCCGCCGCUAAUCGCCGCUCGCUUCUCCCCCCCGGCAACAAAACACACUUGUGCUACAAAUAUGUCCACGUAACCCUUCUCCAAGCCUUACCACUCCACGGUUUCAAUCAAAAAAAAGAAAAGAAAAAGCUUAGCUUAGCUUUGCUCGCCAGACAAACCGGAGCAGAGGCAGAGCUGCAGCAGCAGAUGGCGUCGACGAUCAUGGCCGCCACCUCCCGCGUCGUCGCGGCCAAGACGCCGUUCCUCGGCCAGGGCCGCGCCGCCGCCAAUGCCAGCCCCCUCCGGGACGUCGCCGCCGCCGCCAGCGGCCGGAUCACCAUGGUACGUAACGUAACGUAACGUAACGUAACGUAACGUACGCCGAGGUGGUCCAUGGCACACACGUUGUUGGUUUCUCGAUCGAUCCAUCCGGCAAUCAAAUCAAAUCAACUAACAACGAGAGUGAUGCUCGCCUUUUGGAUUGCAGGGCAACGACCUGUGGUACGGCCCGGACCGCGUCAAGUACCUGGGCCCCUUCUCCGCGCAGACGCCGUCGUACCUCACCGGCGAGUUCCCCGGCGACUACGGGUGGGACACCGCCGGGCUGUCGGCGGACCCGGAGGCGUUCGCGCGGAACAGGGCGCUGGAGGUGAUCCACGGGCGGUGGGCGAUGCUGGGGGCGCUGGGCUGUAUCACCCCUGAGGUGCUCGAGAAGUGGGUGCGCGUGGACUUCAAGGAGCCCGUCUGGUUCAAGGCCGGCGCGCAGAUCUUCUCCGAGGGCGGCCUGGACUACCUCGGGAACCCCAACCUGGUGCACGCGCAGAGCAUCCUCGCCGUGCUCGGCUUCCAGGUCAUCCUCAUGGGCCUCGUCGAGGGCUUCCGCAUCAACGGCCUCGACGGCGUCGGCGAGGGCAACAACCUCUACCCCGGCGGCCAGUACUUCGACCCCUUGGGCCUCGCCGACGACCCCGUCACCUUCGCCGAGCUCAAGGUCAAGGAGAUCAAGAACGGCCGCCUCGCCAUGUUCUCCAUGUUCGGAUUCUUCGUCCAGGCCAUCGUCACCGGCAAGGGGCCACUCGAGAACCUGCUCGACCACCUCGAUGACCCCGUCGCCAACAACGCCUGGGUCUACGCCACCAAGUUCGCGCCAGGGUCUUAAGCUAGCCGGACACGGCGGCGGCGUGCCGGGACAUUGUACACUACUCGUUUGUCUUGUGACAUUACAUUUGUACCAUGAACGAAUGCAAAUAUUCUUGUGCUCUCUCAUCAGAACUCAGGAACGUCGUACUGGCCACUAGUUUUGAUCUUCCAUUCCAUCCAAUCCAUGUAUGCUCCGUUUUAGUUGUUAACUGAUUUGUGUCCAUAUAUGUAGAUGUCUCUACUAUUAUUUUUUUUGUUACAAACACAAGCAGUCCGGAAGUAGUGCAGAAUUCAGAGGCUGCUAAUUACAAUAGGCGUAUUUCCAAACUGUGUACUUAGGUAUAUAUCCCUGUGUCAGAUGCGCAUUUGGGGAAUAAGGCUCUGAAAGGGGUCCCAGAGAAGCCGAGGAAAAGACUGCAACAACCUUGUAAUGGAAGAAGAUGACAUCUGGUGGUGGUGGGAGACUGAUAAAACAAGCACUUCCUUGAGUAGUUUGUCAAUUUAUACGAUAUAUCAGCUUCAGGAGGGUGUUCACCAACAGAUGGAUUCUAUAAUGGCGAAUUUCUUCUGGCAAUGGGCCAAAUGAAAAUUUUAAAUAUCAUGUGGUAAAAUGGAGAAAUCUGUGUUUACCUAAAGACUUUGGGGGAUUAGGAAUUAUAUGGAGACUAGGACUAUGAAUGGGGCACUUAUUGGAAAACAGGGAUGGAGAAUGUUGCAGGCUGAUAAAGGGGGCCAAUGUUUCAGUCUGUUACAGAAGAAAUAUCUGGGCAGACAUCCUUUUCUACAAUGUGGGAGGGAGACAGGUUCACAAUUUUGGAAGGGUGUUUUGAAAUAUAGAAAGAUCUUGAAAUUGGGGCUGUCAUACAGGUGAAUAACGACCGAAGCACUAGAUUUCGGGAAGAGAUAUGGGUUGGAAAUACACCUUUAAGGCUGGAUAGAGAUUGUUUAAUAUGUGACUGCUGGGAGGGAGAUGGUUGGAACAUAAACUUUAGAAGGGCUUUAGGGGAGGCUGACAUGCGAGAAUAGGAAAUAUUAACUAAUAUCUUAGAGGAGUAUAGAUCAAAUGGGGAGGAUGCUCAUUUUGUUUGGAUACUGGAUAAGUCAGGAAACUAUACUACAAGAUCAAUGUACAGAAGACCAAUUUUCAAGGGGGGGGGGGGGGGGGGGGGGGGUGUUCUUAUAUAAGGUUGGAGUAGAUUACCAAAUAAGAUCAAGGUGUUUAUAUGGUUGGCUGUUCAAGAUAGACUUCAAACAGGGGUGGAUCUCAAGAGAAGUGAAUGGAAAGGGAACACAAAAUGUUGUCUUUGUGGGGGUGAAUGAGACAACACAUCACAUUUUCUUCCAUUGUCAUAUUGCAAGAGUGGUCUGGUUCUGUUUUAAGGAGGCAGUUUGCAAGAUGUUUUUGACAAUUGGAUUCCUUUGGGAAACAACUAUCAUAUAAAACUUUUCAUGCUGGCUAUUAUCCUUUGGGGUUAGAAAUAAGAUGGGGAUAGAGAAAAAGUUCCCGAAGUCAUCUAACUAAGUUUUUUUUACAAAAUCUUUGGUUUUUCUCAGAAGUGGCAAAUUCUUUUGAAAGAGCAUGAUGCCAAGCACUCGGACGACAAGUUAAAGCAUAUGAGAAGCUGGUUGAUGGACUUCUGGAAGCGAAUUGAAGCCUUGGAAGUAGAAGGGGUGAUUUGAGUUUCUUUUGUGACUAGUGUGUGGAUGGUUUGCUUGCAUUGUGAAGCCUGUUUUUUUGUGCUCCUGUUGUUGUAGUUUGGUAGUAGCUUUGAUAGUGCAGAAUAUGGCGCGAUGCUAGCACAAUUCAGAGUAAAAUGCCUUGCACAUUUCAACAAUUUUCUAACUGUACACAUCUUACAAUACUCUGCUUUCGCAUCUCUAUGCGCUCAUGGUGGAUAAUCUGUAUUUAGUUACCCUUCCACACGUCAGAUUUAUCACUCUACAUACAUGAUGACAUACAUACACUGUCAAGUGACAACUCGGAUCUAAUUUAAUAUACAUGUACAGAACUCUGGCUUCACCUAUUGGCUAAUUUGAUCUUUUUGACACUCAAACACCCGACGGGUAACAGCACCGCCACCAACGAUGGAGGUCAUCAUCUCGCCGGGCCGGGCUUCUGCGAUGAGAGAACCGAGGCUGGUUCUUUGCGCCUGCCCUGGCAUUCUUGGUCACUUUCCUUGACCCAGUGGUGGAAAAAUGUAAUGGUGAUUUUCUUACACGUUUCACUUCGAGCUCUUCUUUCCCCACCAUCUUUUCCGAGAUUUCUCGUCAUGGGUGCCAACCUUAUUAAGGUUUACCUUCGUCUCCUUCAACCGAGAUUUGUAGUCCUUUUUCCAUGUCGCAAAGCGGUCCUUGAGCUUCCGGAGUUCCUCAUCUGGGUUCAUAUUUGGACCAACCUGACCGGACUUGACUGCAACAAGGAAGCCCGCAUCGUCCUCAAACACCUGCCGUCUGUCUUCAAACUCCUUCGCUAGGUGGUUCACAGCAUUUACUCGCCUAUCCGAGUUUCCUGCUGAAACUUUAGCUUCAGGGUUGUGGUUGUGAUGUCUUGAUUCUAUCACUUCAGGUGUAUGGGUCCCAGUGGACAACGUAUCUUCAGAGUCAUACUGGGCAUGUGUUGGAGUAAAAUCAGUCCGAGCGGCUCUAGUGGCCGCAUCAUCAGCAGCUAGGCUCUUCUUAGCAGCAACAAGGCUCAGCUGAAAGAAAUAAAUAGGAUCACAUCCAAAUUCUUCUGAAGGAUGAUUAAAAAGAAAACUCAAGCCACAAAAUUAUAUACCACUAUUUUCUAAUAGAAUAUUUAAUUGCUCUCUCUUUCUUUUCCCUUUUUGUUGAUGGCUCAUGUUGAUUUUCAACUCUACAACCCAACUUGCUUGGGACUAAAAGGCUUUGUUGUUGCUAUGUAUUUUCAACAGAUCAAGCAUCCAGUUUCUAUGCUACAUAGGUAACGUAAAAUUCAAUAUCAGAGCAAUUGUUCUUUAUUCGUUUAACACAUCAGCAUUAGAAAAAUUCUUGAAUAUUUUCAUAUGUCAUCCCAUGAGGAGGUUAUGUUGCAGUCUGUCAUUCUCAAACAGAUGAAUUCAUGUUGCAAGAAUAUAUUGAUCCAUUCUUUGAACAUACAAGCAAACAUACAAAUAAUCAACUAGAUAAUUACCUGCAGAGAAGAGAGCUGUCUCUUCCAUGCCUCUUCCAUAGAUUUCAUUUUGGCCUCAUACUCCGACCAUUUCCUCUCAUACUGUUCCAAUUGCCGUUUUAGCAUUACAUUUUCUUCCUCCUUGUCCAGCAAUGCAGCCUCAGCUUUCGUAAUACGAUCUUGAAGCUCAGUGAUGACUGGUUCGUGGAGAUAAUGCCCAUUCAUUUCCUGCCAUUGGAUGCCAAUGUUAGGAACUACUAUACCUUUUACACUUAUGUAUUAGACAGCUGAACAGAUUCUAUAUAACUUCUUAUACAGUUGGAUAUCACAUUAACAGAAAUUUCAGUAAAGUUAGUAACCAUGCUUAUGCAAAUUCCACCAGAUGAAGAUUGUCUAUUAGCGAUAGCAGAUCUUUCAGAUUAUAUGUACUUCUCAUUCAGUACUGGAUGAAACUAAUAUGCAGCUAGCGCAUUAGAAGAUUGGAACAGAUAAAAGUAUAGAUAUCCUUUGGUAUAGAACUCACAUGGCAAACUCUUGAUUCGGAAUUAGUCUUCCUUGUGUCCCCUUGAACUAUGUUGUGACUGGCCUUUGACUCCUUUUCAUUCUGCAGACACUUGUAUUUCCUUCUGGCCAGGCACCCACGCAUCACUGCAGUAACAUAUGAUGAUUAGAUAGAUGCACUACUCUAGGGUAAUGCUAAUAUGCCCUCUUUUAUUUUAUCAUAUAAAUUACCAGACUGAAGAAUAAUAAUAUGACUCAGUUCAUCAUUAAACAUGUUAGCUGCAAGUCGACGCCUAGUGUACUUCUGUAUAAGAACAGCUGCCCUCCAUCUCUUGACAAGAUUAUCAAAGUGUAUUCUUGCUCUUUCACCGCGUAUAACUGCAGUUUGGAAAACAGGAAGAGUAUGAUAGACGUUCAUAUUAUUAGAAUUCAGGAAUGUUUUGAACAAAAAGAAAUAAAGUGUAUUACAUGAUUGCAAAUUCAUUGCCCCUUUCUUUAGUUGUUGAUAUCCCUGUCGAGAAUGCAAACCCCGGAAGUGCUUCUGAAUACGGAGGGUUCCAUGAAGCAUCUGUCUUUUAGCAUUUUCCAGUGCAGCAACCUACAGAAUAAUCAAGAUUAGAAACCACACUCACAAAAAAAGAGCAGUUGUGAUCGCAAGCUAUACCAAACUAUAAGGGCAAGAGCAAUGUUGGAAGUUCAAAAUAGCAUUAAAGUAGGGCCCACAGAAAACAAGCAUGUGUUGUUUCCAUCUGCAGAAGAUGAGCAUUAAGGUCUGACCACGUUCCAAAAUAUAUCCUUAGCUUCCUGUGAACGAUAAACAUAGAGCGGAGAGAGAAACUAAUUGUUUUUUGGUAUGGUCUACUGCACAAUGUAUCCUAUGCAUCAUAGGAGUGUCUUUAUGGCUUAAGGUCACCUUUUACUCACAUUGUGGCUGCCCUAGAACUUUUGUAUGCUAGUGCAGCUGGUUGAGGGUCUACUCUAGCAUUUAAAAGAUUAGAAUGUGGAAUAGUCGAUUUAUUGUACCUGUCCUGUACGGAAAAACAAUUUUGUGUAGCCAACUUGAUACAUUUCAGGGGGAAUGUUCAACUGUUGCAAAACAGCAAUUGAAACACUAAGUGGAUCUUGAGAUGCAACGGAACGCAAGAGAAGAAACCCGUAUCUGCAUAUUAUUGAACAAAUCGUAAGUCAAGUGGCACACAGUAUCAAACAAAUAAACAAGUACAUUUUUGAAUUCAGAUUCUAUGAAAUAGCAACCUUUCAGCAAACUGUUGGUGAGUGAUCCUAGUUGGAUAGCAUGUUCUUGAUAUCCGGACAACUUCAAGCACCCCACAGCAUUUAAGCUGGUGCAAGACAAGAUCAUGCUCGAAUAACCUGGGAUGUUGUUUGCUGUUUGGUUGAAUGCAUCGAAUAAAAUGUGGGGUUGUACUCUCCAACUGCUGCAUCAGCUUGAACAGUUGAGCCUGAAUACACAACAGAGCAUUGGGAUGGCUAAAUACAACUUUAUAUAAGAAUGGCAUGGAAAGGCAUUAAGGUAUGAAACAAAAGAACUACCAAGAAACUGAAUAAAACUUAUACAACCCAAAGCAUAGAUAUCUAGAGAACCAUUUUCGACAAUAUUAUCUGUAAAGAUAAAAGAAUGAAAGAUUCGAAUCGGUACCUUAAAUUUCGUGACAACACUUUGUUUCUGUGUAUCCAUUACUGAAUGCCAUGACAGACUAGAUUUAUUCUGAGAAUCAGCAACCAUGACAGAGGCAAAAUGUUUUGGAAGUUCACAUUUACAUGAUGAUAGUAGUUGGAUUGACUCAGAGUGCAAUGGAUCUCUGUUCUUCUCCAGGAACCCAGCUGUAUCAUAGGUCACCUGGAAUCAAAAUCAGGACUGUUACCAUGUUGCAUAUAGGAAAGCCUCAACAGUAGAUUAUUAUAACCAACAACUGAAUGGGCAAGCUUGCAGAUCUGGAGGAUGCUGGAGAUUAGAAAUAGCUUAAAGAUAAAACAAGACGAGGAUUGACCAACCUCCCCUGCAUAAUGGCAAAUCUCAAAUGUGCCUUCUUUUUCACCCUUGAAGCAAGAGUUACCACUUAAUUGCUGCUUAAGCUUGUUAGCAAAGGAAAAGUCUGUUGCCUUUGGGAAAGUAGACUCUUCAUCCAAUAAUGACAGUAGCCCUAGAGGUUUCUGCAAUGUAACAAAAAGGUGAGUACAGUAGUACAUAUAAAGAUUUUACAAAUUUAAAUAGUAAAGCUUAUAAUAUAUGACAUGAUAUCAUGAUAAUGGCACAUUUUUCCUCAGUGGUUCCACAAACAUUAAUAAUUACAGUCACUUUCUGAUCUAUGUUCUCUUAUAGUCUUAUCCAUAGAACAAAACAUGGAGUAACUCCACUCAAGGAUAUUCCCAUCUGUUCCAACUUUUGUUCCUCAUUUUAUAUAGGGAGGUGCUCAUUUCUGCUGUAAUAAGCUCAAAAACUAAGGCAUUCUAGUAACUUCGGCAUAACUGAAAAAGGCAAGGCACAACAUAUUUGCUGAUCAAGAUAAUUAGAAGGGCAAUAACCUGUAUAUAUAUACUACAACUACAAGAAAAGGAUUGGAACCAGAAAGCAUAUGAGAAUGGGGCGAAACAGCCAUAGACGCCUAAAAUGCAGGCUCUGUUUCUUCAGCACAUGCCAGGUAAGCAAUUACAUUACAUGCGUUUAUCGAUAUCAGGCUUAAAUACUAUUUAAACUACACAUAGAAACAGUGAAUAUAUGAUCCAUAUGUAACAGGGUUGCAUGAAAAAAAAUGUUGCAUACCUUCUCAAAGAGGGAUAAGCAAUUAGUGUUAUCCACAAAUUCCACGGGGGUCCAAUCAAUUCCAUCUUCCAAGUAUUCCUGGAAGUGGAACAAAGCCAGCAUAAGCAUAUUGAUACACUGACACCGAAGGUCCAAGGAAAAUAUUGCAGGAGCAGAAACAUGGAAACAUGGGAAGGCACUCUACAAUUUUAUGAAAAGAAAGAUAAUGCUGGCUAAUGGAUCCAAAAGCAAACGAGCAGGUCAUGUGCACAGUGUACCAGAACAAAUAAUCAUAACCAGAGUUCAAACAGAAUUGGAGCUAGUAUCAGGGCCUUGUCGGCACAUUAGAAACCAGUUGCUUCUUGUGGUUUUCUAGGUUUUUGUGUUUUCUAUAAUGUCUUUUUUCUGACUUCUCCUUUGAUAAUCACUAAAUGUCAACAUUUUCACAAAGUCUGGUUUCCAUAACAAUAAGUUGGGUAACUGAUCAAGUGAUCAUAACUAACAACCACUUGGAUUUGGAAUCCUGGAGCCAGCUACAAGACAUCCAAGUGAUUUCUGUCCCUAGAAGCACAGAAUCACUCGAAAGGCAAACCACAAAAUAAAUAAUAUUCAGAUCACAUCGGGCCAUUCAUAUCUAACUCAGGUUAGACAUAGCAACUUCAGCAUGUGACCACAUCCCCUAGUUUUGACAAAUGGCAAGGUUUGCAGGGUCGUUUACAUUUAUAGUACACAACAACGUAACCUCAUACUGUUUUGCAGGAAGAAAUCAUGCAUAAUACAAUUCACAUUCAUUCAUAUCUUUGAUGCUAACAUAAAAAAUGCAAGGAACUGUUAGAAUCUUACCUCCUGUUGUAGUUUGAAAAGAUGUCGGUUGAAGUGCUGCUGAAGCCUCUCAUUGGCAUAAUUUAUACAAAAUUGCUCAAAACCAUUCUUCUGUAAUGGUUUAACCAAAUGUUACAACUGAGCAAAUGCCAAGUAAAUCAGUACUAAACAAAAUGCAAAUAUUCCAUACAUUGAAACACUCGAACCCAUAAAUAUCCAAAAUACUUAUGGAUCUCCACGUAAAUUGCCUCCCUGUUCCAAGUGAGUGGUUAAUUUGCUCAACAAUCCAGUCAAAUAAAUUGGCGUAGAUUGACUUUGCUAGUGCAUCUCUUGCAUCAAUGGCCUACAGAAAUUAGAAAUCUUGAAUAAAUAAAAUUCUAAAAGAUCAAAUCAAUAGAUCCAAGCAGAUAAUUUUUCAGGAUACUAGAUACCUGAGUUAAUGUCAGCUUUUUAGUGAUACUGUCAUUUCCAGCUCGAAUUUUACGAGUGGACAUAGCAGUCACUAGUUGAUUUGCAGUGCAGCCUAAUAGCUUUGCAGCAGUAGACAACCCUGUGAAUACAUUGCAAAAUCAAAUGUCUGCAUUUUGGGGACAUUUUCUACUGGAUAAGUCAAAGAAAUAAAUGGAAAUUAUAUACACCGAGGUUAUACCUUCAUUUGAAACAACUUCCACAUGGUUUUCAUUAUCAAUCACUGAGAAUGAUAUGUUUCCCAGCCACAACACAGCUGCAAGCAUAGAAAAUAAUUUCAUUUGGUCUUCCUUAGAUAUUUGAAUAGUAUCCAAUGCAUCCUGCACAUGAAACAAAGGUUAAAUGACAAAUAAGAUAAAAUACUAGCACAGCUUUGGUUGGAGAAGUUAUUUGGAUUUUCCAGUAACAUUACCACUAGCACUGUGAAUUUUUUUGAAUCGUCAACACCAUCGAUUUUCAAGCAAUUACUCUGCUUCAAGUAAUUGUAGUCACUGGCGCUUUUCAGAAACAAUUUUUCUGCAGUAGCAUGUGCAUGUAACAGAAUUAGGAAGUAAGAAAAUGAGAGGGAAGAUGAAGAUAGUUUCACAGAUCACACUAAAACGUAUAAGAUGUAAUACAGGCAGAAUGUGGCACACAAUUUUCUUGACAGAAGCACCAUUCGAAACAAUUAAAUUGUAAUAUAAGCACAUCAAACAUGAAGGUAUGGUUACUUUUGAGAAGGGGAGGAGCUCCAGAGCACAGUUGAUAGAAAAUAUGGUAAGAUCUCUCUCCUUGUGCCCUUUGAACCACCCUUGACUACAGGGGAAGACAGAGCAUAUUAGAGCUUGCAGAAAUAAUAAAAUACGGAUUUGUUAGCAAUGCAUGAAUUCCCUUACCUUCUCAAGCAGGACUGGCCCAUGGGAUUCAGUAAGAGGUACGUGCACAGCCAAGGAAAUAAGUUAACAGGGAGUUCAAAAAUAUUGUAACUAGCCAUCCAAAUAAUAAAUGGUAGAGAAGGCUUACAGGUCUGGAUUUUAGCGCCACACAUUUUCCCAGUUUCAGAAAAGUGUAUCUCAGUAAGCUUGCCCUACAUCAAAAUCAUCACAGCACCAUAAGAAUAACUCCAGAAAGUUAGCAGCGGCCAGUGUGGCAAUGAUACAGGAAGAUAAACUCACAAAUCGGCUUGAGUUAUGGUUUCGUGAUGUUUUUGCAUUCCCCAAUGCUUCGAGAAUAACAUUGGUCUGAAGAACCUCAGACUCCGUACCACUAGCACCCCCAAGAUCAGACAAAUAUUGCAUUGCAAUUUUAGCCGUCUCAGUUUUUCCUGCUCCACUUUCACCACUGAAAUGUGACAAGGAGCACAGAUAGCAUAUUUAUAAUUUGGUAAUCCAGACCCCCAGGGUUGACGAGAAAGAAGAUAAGUCAUACUAACCUUAUUAUUAUAGAUUGGUUUAUGCCAUCUGCAGAGUAUCAGGAGUUGCAUUAAACGACAGUUCUUGAAAAAUAUUAUAAAUCAUAACUGUUCUUUUUAGCACCUACCUCGCAGCAUCUCAUUAAAUGCCAAAUCAGCAACUGCAUACACAUGUGGGUCAUCGUUGGUCUUUUGCUUGUAUUGCAUGAUUGAAGACUUCCCAUAGAGUGCAACUUCUUUUAAUGGAUUGACAGCAAUCAGAACAGGUCCUGCCUUUGUCUACAAAGUAAAGUAUAUACAAGUGAGGUCCUGCCUUUGCCUAGAGUAAUCCAUAUAUCUACUCUUAUAUAGCACGAUGAAACUAUUGCAUAGUACUUACAUAGAUAAGAUCGCGAGAAUAUCGCAAUUGCAGAUUGUGAAGAACUGAAGGUCCAUUCAAGUAACUCAUCUGGAUUAAAUCAUCCACUCCAUCGAGGAUAUCAGGGUUGGCAGGCAAGAGUUGUUCUGGUGACACCGUCAAAACCUAAGCAAAUAAACAUUAAGAAUUGUACAGGAGUUUCCCCAAAUGAGUAUAUCGCCGUGGCAAUAUAAGACACUCACUUUUCCAUUAGCCAAGAGUAUUUCAGCAUCAUCUCCAGAUAUUGAUUGGAUCUGUCCAAGUUCCCACUUUGCAUUUGGUGAAGAACACCAAACUCGUAGCUUCUGAAAAAACAUCCAAAAACUAUUAGCUCGUAUGUUUCUUCCGAUCACAAUAUAAAUUCAGAUAUAUCAAACUCAAACCAUCAAGGGAUAAGAGAACUAGUUCCUUGACACCUAUACUGCUGUAAGAAACAACACUUUCUGAUUGUCCAGUAUCCAUAUGUCCUAAGUCCUAAGGUUAAAAACAACAGGUUCUUUCACCUGAUAUCCACACUUAAAAGGUUUAAAGUAACAUGACAUGCCAAACUAUUUGUGGAUGUAAUAAACAAACUGAACAAAACAAGUCUGAAGUAUGAGAUCAAGAAAAUCAUUAAAGUGGUCACUAACUGUAUCUUCUGGUAAAUGUGAAACAACAGUAAGUUCAGCAUAACCCAAACAUAACUGCGAUUUCACAUGAAAGUCUUAUUCACAUAUAUCAUAAAAAAACGAUCUUUUCAGCAUAUAACAAAGAUAUGUAAGCAACACUUUGAUCAACAUUUCCUGUUUUGACUUGUGAAUGAAAUUUUGACAUCAUGUUCAGGUUACUUGCAUUUGUUCACAUUGCAAUAACAGAAAUAAUUCUAACAAAUUCCACAAUGAACAAGGCUCUCACCUUCUGUAGAACAUAGUCCAUGAUAUUUGUACAUGCUAGCUUCCCAUUCAUCUUUAUCGCUGCUGAGGAAACAGAGGGGGGAUCCUUACAAACUGCUGUACCCUUCCUCUCCUCAUGAAAUGCAUCAACAUAUGGCGACUCCUCCAGCGCUUCUGUGUUAGGGAACUUCCUCUUAGCCCCAAAGAUGGAGACUUUCACCGGCUUUUCCUCCUUGGCCUCCAGCACAGCAAUCUCCUUAUCAUCAUCUGCCUUCUUGUCAACCACUGCAGCUUCUGUGGCAGUAACUGUUGCCAUUCCAUUCUCGAGCUUAAAGCCAGCAGGCAGUGAUGGCCUUCUGGUGGUGGGCAGCCGGCCACGGCACGUCGGCCGGGCUGGCAAUGUUGGAGGCGCAUCCUUGGGCUGCUCAUCACGCUUCUUCAAAGUCUCAAGCAACACCUCAAGGGAGCUCUUCUGUGUGGCUGCUGCCGGCGCCAUCACGGCGGCCGCAGAGAGCAUCACCACCGGCGAAUCAAAAGGCCACCAGCACAGACCGGUGAUUUAUACCAGGGCUCAAACACCAACUCGCCAAAUCCAAUAGCCGGACAGCACAGGGACCAGAAAUUUCCCCAUUUCGCAUCAAAACGGGCGAUAGCUUCAGAGGAAAUGGCCCCUAACUCGCCAAGGGCUGGAAACUGGCAACCCCCAGACCCCAAAUUCCACACCAGGCUCACAAUUCCUCCAGAAAUCUCUCAAAAAUCCAGGUUCUGAAGCUCAACUAAGCGGCAAUCGCACGCCCAAGGAAAAAUAGCGGCGCUGCCCGCACAAAGGGCUGGGUAAAACCCCCCACCCUAUGCGCGAUUUUUGAAGGGGAAAUAGCCGGGCCAAGGUUGGAAUCGGCCGGAGAAGAAAAGGCUGCGGCCGCGAAAGCUGCAAUCUUUGGCCAAAGGAAAGGCGAAAGAACCCGAAACCAAAGCAAAGCCUCUGCCGAAUCAAAGCGCUGGCGUACUAGCAGCAGCAGCAGCACACGCAGGUGGCCACGAAAUCAUCACCAGAGAAACAGGAUAAUUCCCCGAACCCGCACGGCCGCACCGCACACCCCCCUCUGCCCCGCCGCUGCAAGAACCAACAGCGAGCCUGCCCACUCCGAACCGCCGCUCCCCCAAAUCGAAAACGGAAACCCGCAAGAACGAAACCGAGAUUUUUUUUUUUCUUUUCUGGAGGCUUUUUGCUUCUCCCUCACAUUUCAAACCUCUCCGCUCCCCUCGUCCCCAUAUCUCCGUGUCUUUUUCUCCCUGCCCCCCUUGAUCCGUUACUAGGCAGUGCGAAAAAAAAUGUUUAGGACAAAGCAAGCCAAAUGACGCCUGUACCCUCGCGCCCCCUCGCUAAUUACGCCGCGUGGCCAGUGGCGUUUUCGUUAAUCCCGCGGGGAUGGAGGGCUGGUUUCAUGGAUGGGCGUCGCGGGUUGGGGAGGCGCGGUUGGGACCGUUGGAUGCGAGCGGCUGCGGCUGCCGCCUGCCGCUGCCGUUAGAAGGUUUCUCAGUUGAGGUGAGAAGUUACGCAACUACCCCCCAGAGUUACUGCGCUGGCACGUCGUCAUUUUGGGCUCUUUGAAAACGGGAUCUUAUUUGGAUGUUGUUAAUCUUGUGUUGGAUGUUGUGAAAAAAGAAAGAGGUGAUGGAGAUUUUAUAUCCGGAAGGAGAAAAAUCUUUGUGUUGGAGAGAAGCUUCUGUUAGGCAGGUCUCCCUUUUGUUUAUGCCUGUGUGGUAUGGUCAACAGGGAGUCGAGAAAGACCCACGUAUGAUUUUUAGUGGAAUCAUACAAUACAAUUCGGAAUACAUAAAUUUUAUAAAAUUUCAAUACAAUACAAUUUUAGUGGAAUCAGAUUAAUUUUACAGGAAAAUGAAAAAAAAUACUCACGUUCUAAGUAGGACCUAUAAAUUUAUUUCUAUAGUUGAUUUUUUUUUGUUGUGUAAAGGUUUUUUUUUCUGAAAAGUAGUGUUUAGCUGUUUGCCAAUGUUUUUUUUUUGCUUGCUGGUACGUACUUUUGUUGCCAGGCUUUUGUUUAGUGGGGGAGUUUGCAAAGCUCUAUGAGCUAGGAUAGUGUGCGUAGCGUAUGGAUUGCCUAAAUUAAGAAAAAUUUCCGCCAUUCCAUCUCCUUGGGUGAUGAAACCGUCAAGGCGACGCUAGAGUUUGGAUGUAGAAGCUGCUCCCUCUGAUUACAAAUUAUUUUGUAUUUAGCCACUUUUUUUUUACUCCAUCCAUCCGCAUAUGUAUGGACUUUAAUUAAAAAAAAUUGAGGCCAAAUUAAUCAAGAGCGAAUACUAAUCUUUAUGCUACUCUUAAAGCUGCCCGGUCACCUCCUGGCGCAACUAAUAGUGCUCAGGACUGUUCCUAAAUCCUACUGUAAUUUGACUAGUCUAAAUAUGAAAAGUUCUUAUAUUUGUGGACUUUUUCCGCCAGCCAGCGGUGUUAUCAGCCGUACUUUUUCUGCUAGCCAGCAGUGUUUUUUUCUCACAAUAAUAAGUCAAUAAUAAUUUCAGCCAUGACUUUUUACACCAGCGAACAGUAAUGAGUCUAUAUGUCAUUAAACUUGCGAGGACGAAAUGAAAUUUACUAGUGAACUUAGGUCGUCGGGCUUUUCAACCUGUUUUAGCUUAAAAAGAAAUUAAAAUUCAACCAAUAGAGUUUUUCCAUCCAAAACUUUGGUCAAUACAAAUUUCAUGGCACCCUUACUCCUGCUUUUUUAUCUACUGUGGCUUCCAGUUUUUUCACAAAUUACCUUGUCCCUGAUUAUAUUGUGUAGGGUUCGUCCCCCCCCCCCUUCCCAUUUGUGAGACUGCGAUGUCUCUUUCCCACACGACUUACCGCUGCCACAACAUGACCUCUUCCUCGACACGGCUAGCCGAAAGGAGAGGAAGCCCAGGUCUAGAUCAAGGUGGCUCCAGUCGGCGGCUGAUGCGGACGCCGCCACGCCCAGAAGGAGGAGGAGCGCCAUUGCAAGCUUAGCCAUGGAGCGAGGUGACGAAGGAUGCACGCUGACAAAAAAGAUAAAGGAGAAAGAAGUGUGCGGAGGUUGUGAACGGGAAUGUGGCACCUCCUGCAAUCGGCAGACACUUCUUCGAGUGAAUGCCUAAGAGACUUUUGAUAGCGAGUGGCGCUUCUUUAGAUGAGGUCCCCGUCGGAGUGUCACCCUCAGCGGCCUCUUGCUCUUCAUGCAUGACAACUAUUAGAGGAAGAUGAAACACACAAAAAUAAAGUAUAGAAAUAUAUUAUUUAGUGAUUGGCAGGGAGGCACAUAUGACAUGUGAGGUUGUUGGUAGCAUUUUUUUCAUAAGCCACAGUUAUACAACCAAAUGACUUUAGCUUUCUCGCAACCCACAAGUCGGUAGUUUUAUGCAAUCCACGAGCUUGUUUUUUCAAAACCACAACUCAACUAAAUAUGUUCAUAGGUUUUUCAUAUUCUUCUAGAUUUAUAUACUGAGAUUUAGCAAUUUUUACCAUUUUAUUUAUGGUAGAUACAAGAUGUGUAUGAUGACUUCCUUAACUUAAAGACUCGCUAGCUUAGUUUUUUUUUAGGUUUGUGUAAUUCGACAAAGAAAAAAAGAAAGAAAGGUAGGCAGACAGGUUAAGCCUAGUGAACGGGAGAGGUCCUCUAAUUAAAAGCUAUUAAUUACUCUCUCAUCUUAAAUUAUAAGGUAUUUUAAGAAUCUUGAUAAGUCAAAAUAUCUUAAGUUUAAUCAAUUUUAUAUGAUAAAUUAAUAACAUUUAUGAUGUCAACUAAGUAUCAUUAAAUUUUUUAUUAAUUAUAUUUUUUUAUGAUAUACUUAUUUAUUAUCAUAAAUUUUUAUAAUUUUUAAGUUUAAUCAAAUUUAAGAUUCUUUGAUUCUCUAAGAUAUUUAGAAUGUCUUAUAAUCUAAAACGAAGGGAGUAUAAAACUACCUCUAAACCUAAUCGAAGAGCGCUGCUGCCUGCUGCGGGUGUCCACACGACGCCACGGGUGGUACCAGGCAAGCGCUGCGUGCUGGUGCGGCAAAAUUCUCCAGGGCCGCCACCGCCCACCCGGGGUCCGGGGACGGACGACGUACAGGCGUAGCACGAAAAAGUCACGGCCACAGGACGUGGUGACGACUGACGAGGAGCAAGAAGCACGGCCGGUGCCGGAGCAGGAGCACGCGACGGCUACGAACCGAACGGAUAAGGGAUAACGCCACCACGCUGCGAGCGAGGCCGGCCGGAGGCCCCUGGAAACCAUUCUCCGGAGGCCCCUGGAAACCAUUCUUUCUCUUGAUAACUACCGCUGGCAACUGUGGCACGUAGUACCGCUACCAAACGAAGGAAAAACGAGCCCAAACAUACCUGCCGGAUGCCGGCUGCAGUAACGCUGAAAUUCCUGCCGGUUGCAGUACAGUGUUUUUCCCCCCUUUGGUGAAAGCUACCCUCGUGGCCAAUGUCUAGUUCCGAAUUUUUUUUUUUGGAACUGUGGCAUUUUUAUUUUUAUUUGACAAACAUUGUCCAAUUAUAGAGUAACUAGGCUUAAAAGAUUCAUCUCGUAAUUUACAGGUAAACUGUGCAAUUAGUUUUUAUUUUCGUCUAUAUUUAGUACUCCAUAUAUGUGUCACAAGAUUUGAUGUAAUAGAAAAUUUUAAAAAAAAAAUUGGAUUUUAGAGUGAACUAAACAAAGCCUAACUCGUGGUGGCAGCCGGAAAGAUCGAAGCGGAGAACGUGUUGCCCAGGGACCAGGGCAGGGUACACCGUACACGGGGAGUACGAGGGCAAGUGAAACCAGUUCGCUCAUAUGAAAAAUUAUAGUUGAAAGUAUUAUUCACUAAUCUAUUAUGAGAAAAAAAAUAUUGUUGACGGUUAAAAAAACCGACUUAUAAAAUAAGUGAACGAAAAUCUUGUAAUGACCACCGUAUGCAAGCCAGGCCCAUACACUAGCGCUACAUACGGUGGCCGCUAGACCGGCAGGCAGCGGCUGACCAAGCUACUUAUUUAAGCUUAUCAGUGAAAUCUAUUAGUCAUUAAAUAAUAUUUUUCUGUUUACAACAAAUUACUUUUUGUCGUAAUUUAUCGCUCAAACAAACAAGGCCGAGGGUCGCGAUGUGGCAAGGCACGUGGGGUGUGGCAAAGCUGGUGCCACUCCUUCCUUCGCAGCAUGAGACUAUCUCCAACAAUCGUCAUCCAAAAUACAAGACCAAUUUGUCCUUUGUGUAGUGCUACAGAUAAAAAGUUACGUACCUAUUUUUAGUCUUCUCCAACAACAAGACCUAAAAGACAACACUCUCUGCAAAUGGGUCUCGAGGAGAGAGAAUACCCAAAUUUGGGUUAUGCCUCUUCUGAUACCCAAAAUAGGUCUUGUGUAUGGGUACUCUGUUGGAGGCUAUAAGUAUUGUGUUGGAGACCCAUUUUAGGUCCUGUUGGAGACAGCCUGAGUGGAUGAAGAGUAACCGCCGGUUGGAACGGGAACGUGGUUAUUAGGCCUUUAUCUUUGCGUCUCUGCAGCUUUGUUUUUGUUGACAAUGAAAUCUAAACAAGAUCAUAGAGCCAAAGCUAGUACUAGUACUACUAACCGUUCUGGUAAUUGCAAGGGACAGGACAGUUGCUUUUCCUUUUGAUGAGAACAGUGCAGGGAGCAGCUGGGCAAGGGCCGUGCAAUUCUAUAUUCACAGUUCACUUCUUCAGGUAACACGUAAACAGCCUUGUGGUCAUGGAGCAGCGUGGGUCAGUGGUUGCGGCUGGCACUCGGCACUCGCGGCAGCAAGGGGCUUUCGAUUGGCUGCUGGACGACGGGGAAACACAUGAGCGCGGAUCUCCUGGCCGCUGUCGAGGUCCCAUGCCAUGCAGGCCAAAAAGCCCAUGGCAUGCUUGAUGCGUGACCCACCCUCACCCGGAGCCAGAUUCAGUGACUUUAUAGAGCAAAGUUACAAUGUAACUUUGUCUCAAUCUCCACCUUCCAACUUGCAUCUAAUGGCUGCAGAGAUUUUCAGGUCUAUGAGCCGACAGCAGACAGGUCAGCACAAGGCAUUUCAAGCAAAAUCUUCUAUAUAUUUUAGGUCUUGUUUAGUUCUCACCCAAAAACUUUUCACCUUAUUUUAUCAAAUAUUUAGAUACAUACAUAGAGCAUUAAAUUAGAUAAAAAAAUAACUAAUUACAUAGCUUGUAUAUAUUUUGCAAGGCGAAUCUUUUAAGCCGUCCAUGAUUAGGCACUAAUCGCUAUAAUCCAAAAAGUUUUCACUCAUCCCAUCGAAUGUUUAGACACAUGCAUAAAGCAUUAAAUAUAGAUAAAAAAAACUAAUUACAUAGUUUGGUUGAAAAUCACGAGACGAAGCUUAAUUAGUCUAUAAUUAGCCUUAAGUGCUACAGUAACCCACAUGUGCUAAUCACAGAUUAAUUAGGCUUAAAAAAUUUGUCUCGCGAUUUCUAAACGAGUAAUGUAAUUAGUUUUUUUUAUUAGUAUCCGAAUACUACUUCUGGUAUCCUAUGAAACAUUUGAUGUGACACCCAAAAACUUUUCACUCCCGAACUAAACAAGGCCUAAAGAGAAAAAAAGAAUCUUCAUUUUUCCUGUCCGCUAACAUUAGGGAAGCUGCCUUUGAGAUUUUCAGUUUAUUUUAAUUUUUUACAUUUCCCCUCACAGACUUGUUAUCAUUUUUUUCUCAAGUGUGGAAAUAUCGAGAGUUAAUGGGUAAGGUUAGGAGUAAGUUAUUUUUAUUUUUUUACAUUUCCCCUCAUAGACUUGUUAUCAUUUUUUCUCAAGUGUGGAAAUAUCAGGAGUUAAUGGGUAAGGUCAGGAGUAAGUUUUGGAAACACUUGGAGAAGUGGACGGAAUUGUUUUUAGAAUUAUACAGUACAAUAUAGACGUCUACAACACGUAUAUACACUCACCCAAAAAAUCACCAUAGACGUCUUGCUAUUUUACAGAGACGUUGCCUACUACUGAAAGCGUAGCGCCUGGAAUAAAUCCAGGAAAAAUACAAGCACCCGUGCCAAGUCGAGAAUUGAACCUAGGUGGACAAAUUCCACCACAAGGAAUCCAACCAACUGAUCUAAGACCAAAAAAUUAACCAAAGCAAGUUCUACUAAUCAGUGUUGACAAAAAAAAAAGAAAUAAAAAAAUUAAAAACAUACCAAGAUCAAUAAACUUCUAUUCAGGUUCUCAUCAGCCUGUUCGUUUGAGAACGAGCUGCUACUAGUGCGCUAGUCAUUUUUACUUCAAUCUACAAACUGUUAGAAGCUUUUGUUUAAAAUCACUUGCGCUGGCCUGCUGUGAGUGGUCUGCUAUGUGAGCUGAUGAACCUAGAAGUGUCUGCAGCCGUUAGAUGCUACUUGGAGGGUGGAGAUUGAAGUAAAGUUACAUUGUGACUUUGCUCUAUAAAGUCACUGAAUCCGGCUCCGGUCUGUUGGAAGGUGCCGUGCAGUGCAGCAGCUGCUGGAGUCGCUGGCUUGGCCAAUGGUCGUCCAGGUCCAGGAUCCCGGAUACUGUACUGGAGUACGGAGUACAAAAAAAUGUUGAGAGCUAGGGUAACGUAUAGGGAUGACAAGUGAGCUCUCUCUUGAGUCUGGAUACCCAAGCACGAUCACAUAUAGCUUUCUCCUCCCCAGUGCCCCACCGUGGAUACUGGAUGAAUAGGGUGGUCCAGGACAGGCCUCCGAAACCCACACGAGCAAGCCACAAAAUCAGCCUGCUCAUCGAGUGUCAAUGCCUUGUCCAGUCACGCAUUAUGGCCAAACGGUUGGUGGCAUCUAUCAUCAUCUCGCGGAACGUACUAGUGCUCCAACGCCUUUUGCAAACUUUGCUAGUACAGUACUACUACUAGAGGAUUAAUUAACAGUGCGGAGGAUCUGCUGAGCCGCCACUAGCCUGCUUAAUGAUCCAGAGAUCAUACAUAACAUAAUGGCCACCCCCAUGAGCAUGAGCCAUGAUGAGGAAUCCUCUGCCGCUGCGUACCUCGUGUGGGCAAUGCCGCAAUGGAAUGGAAACACACCGAAGUCCAUCGCCGGGCGCCCGUGCGUCUCCAUGGGAUGAUUUGGUGUGGCAAAGCUGGGUCAGGAUCAUGAUGGACGCGGCAUCAUUCCAGGGCCUUGCUUGCAAGUGAGGGCGCACCGGGACUACGGCUACGGCGAGGGCAGGGCAGGGGGACAGCCAACCAACCAACCAACCAACCAACCAGUGCAUCCAAUGCACUCCAUAAUCCUGCUCUGCUUCUAAAAUUCCAUUCAAUGUGGGGCACGUUAUUUUCGACCGGGACCACGCGUAUCUGUUACGUGUACUCGCAACUCCACUUCUACCGUUCUGCUGCCAUCAUACUAGAAAUUUAUACUACCUUCAGUCCUUCAUCGUAGCAGCCUAGCAGUAUGUACCUACCUGUGGCGGAGUGUGGCGGAGUUAAAAAGUUUUAGGAGCUUAGACGAUUUUCAUUGUGCAUGAAUAUUCAUUUAGAAAUAUAUAAUAUUUUUUUACGAUAAAAAAACUUUGUACCUUACAGACGAGCCCAGCCGGCUGCCCAGGUCACGGGGCGGUGGCUCCGCUAGAGUAGGAGUGCUUUUUCCCAGACUGUGGUCAAGGAGCAGUGCUAUUUCACAGCCACAGAGCCAACUCACCAAAUGACAUCCGUGUUGAACUGGACCUGGUUUGUCAGCUUAACUACCUUGGUCUUUUUUUGUAGAAGUCAAUUAAACACCGCUAUAAUUAAAACCAGCCAUGCAUUUCUCCGCGCUAUCGCAGGAUCGGAUGUGCCGGCUUAAGAUGUGAUAUUGCAUAACGUCAAGACACAUUUUCUGAACAACUAAACUAGCUACUCAAGCUUAAGAUGUGAUAUGGUUGACCCAGAGACGAACCAACGUGUCAUCAAAAGGCACGUGUCUUGGGCUCAAGAAUCGACCAAACACAACGCUCUCUAGUCCACAUAAUCUCAGCCUAAAAUACAGCUAUUACGAACAUUUAUCUACAUCUUUUUUUUUGUGACAAAACAUUUCUCUACAUCUAUAGUGGCUCACAAUAAUAAAAGUGCAAGGGACACACCUAUUAAGGAGAAACGCGGUUGUCCUCUCUCCUGACAGACACUUGUUGACCUGAAAAAAAUUCCUGAAACAGUUAUGGUAGAUGACACCCACCUUUAUAUUCUCUCCGUCCAUAUAUAAAAGAAUGUAAUUCUCAUUCUUUGUGAAGUCAAAAUGUCGUUAGAUUAGUCAUAUUAUAUACUUUUUUAUAAUAAAUUUAUUUUUUUUGUCUCCAUCUCUGUCUCUGCUUGUGGAAUAAUCUCUCAAAGGAUCUCCGUCUCAUAUGUCUUAGAACAUAAAUAAUAAUCUAAUAACGGAAUUCACUAUGCGGAGUUGAGGGACGAGGAUCUAUUGAAAUCCCUAGCCAUAUGAGACGAGUUGAUAUGUUCUAAGACAUAUGAGACGAAAGUGGUACUAUUCCUAUUUUAUAAAAAUUUUUGAAACUAAACGACGAGUUGAUAUGUUUCCAAAGGACGACGAAAAACAACAUACUAGAGGAAUAUACCCCCUCCCCUCGUCUGUCUCUGCUUCUACUCACUCGUUUUUACUUGAACUGAUUCAUGUGUGAAUUGUACGUGGAACAAUAAUACUCUGAUGCAAUGCAAGCAAAAUAUCUCAUUCCACUCCCAUGACCGAACGAAAAAGGCCGAGCGCGGCCGUAGUACGCCAAACGGAAACGAACGGGAGCAUGCACCAUCCAGACUUUCAGAGUGGCAGGGGAAACGACAUGAGCCCACACCUCCCCAUCACGCGCCCUGCCGCCGCGGUUUUUUCUGCGCGUGGCCGCUCCGACGACACGACACGGCCGGCCUGGGCUACUUGCUUCGCUUUGCUUUGCCGUUUACGCUUGUCGUGGCCGGCCGGCCGGCUCGUGGCGCCGCCCCGGGAAAGCGCACCACGUUGCGUGCUAUCUGUCCAUCCUCCACCUCCUCGCGCCCGCCGGCGCCUGCAGGUUUGGUGCGCCUGGCCAAUCACGACGCGCCAGUUUCAGUCCCGUCACCGCGAAAGCGACGCCGCGUGCGUGCUCUGUUUGGUGGGAGUGGAGCUGGGACUGGGAGGAAAGCGACGGCAGGCGAUCGUUCACGGGCGAUCGGCCCUGAUCCCUGAUGAGCGCCUGGCGCACUGGAUCGCACCAAGCGGCCGGACGCACGGCGGCUACACGCACACCGGAUGGGAGCUCCCCGCUGAGGGAGGCACGCCCGCCUCCGCCGGAGCAGGCGAUGGUGGUGGCGAGGAGUGAUUGGGACGCAUGCAUGCCUGGGUUUGUCAUUCGCCAGUGGGCAGUGAUCCGUCCGUAGGACUUGGUCGUCGUCGAUGGACACCUUUAUGGCUUACUAUUACUACCAGUAUUUGGUUGUUCUGCAUUUGUUUCUUUCUUCCAUUUUUCUGGUGACGGCGUGACGCUUUGACGAAAGAUCUGCGCCGCGACGUCUGGAGCGCUGGGAAUUCAGCAGGGGCGAUUUUUCAAUUUUGUUGUGACGUGGGUUGGAGCUCCGACGUGGCGGCCGUGCAGUCAGGACGUUUGACUUCGGGAUGGCAGGCCGACCGGCCGGCUUACGCUUGGCUGAGUUGCAUGCAUGAUUGCCGAUUGGUCACAUGCAUGCUGUAGAGCACAAGAUAAAAGUUCGGCCACCAACUGUCAAUUCUUUUUUAGUUCGUAAAAAUUUUCAAGAUUUUCCGUCAUAUCGAAUCUUUGGUCGCAUGCAUGAAGCAUUAAAUAUAGACAAAAAUAAAAACUAAUUGCACAAUUUACCUGUAAUUUGUGAGAUGAAUCUUUUGAAUCUAGUUACUCCGUAAUUAGACAAUGUUUGUCAAAUAAAAACGAAAUGCUACAAUAGCCAAAAACCAAAUUUUUUACGAACUAAACAAUAUGUUGCCAGCCAAAUCGUCUAGUGAGGCAUUUACGUGCCUGCCUAGUGGUUGGUUCUUGACUUCAUGUGUAAGCUUCGGCUCCACCAACUUGUUACAUGAGAAAUUGAGAAAUUGUGUAAGGCCUUGUUUAGUUCCUAAAAUUUUUCAAAAUUUCCCGUCACAUCGAAUCUUGCGGCACAUGCAUGAAGUAUUAAAUAUAGACGAAAACAAAAACUAAUUAUGCAGUUUGCCUGUAAAUCGCGAGAUGAAUCUUUUGACCCUAGUUAGUCUAUGAUUGGACAAUAUUUGUCACAAACAAACGAAAGUGCUACAGUAACGAAAUCCAAAAAUUUCCACAAACUGAACCAGGCCUAAGGGUGGUUUCAUUGCCGAGGACGAAUCCAAGUUCAGGCCUUGUUUAGUUCGCAAAAAUUUUCAAGAUUCCCCGUCACAUCAAAUCUUUGGUCGCAUGCAUGGAGUAUUAAAUAUAUAUAAAAAUAAAAACUAAUUAUACAAUUUAUCUGUAAUUUGUGAGAUGAAUCUUUUAAGCCUAGUUACUCCAUGAUUGGACAAUGUUUGUCAAAUAAAAACAAAGUGCUACAGUAGCCAAAAAUCCAAGUUUUUGCCAACUGAACAAGGCCUCAGCACUUGUGUAGAUGUGAGCCUUUUUUUCGUUGCAAUGAAACAAAAGAAGAGAAGCUCGUGUACUGUGCAUUGUCGAUACAUUUGAUCUGAAAGCAGGUUUUUUAGGAAAGAACAGUAAACAAAAGAGAGGGAAAAAAUAAUCAAAUGGCUUGGUUCAUAAUUUGUAGUUGGCCCAGAUAUGGAAUGUAACAAGGGCCCAUCAAAAUGCAGCUGAUUCUUCACAACGCCCAGCCCAAGUUGUCGUGUGUAUUUCCGGCUUCCAACACUUCCGGCCUCCGAGUUCGAGAUCACCACCAAAGCGCCGAGAAACCCUAGCCCCUAGGACCUGGACCAGCAGGGCGCGCCGCGCAGCCAUGGCGAAGAACCGGAACAAGAAGAACAAGGCCAAGAAGAGCGGCGGCGCCGCCGCCAUGGACACCUCUGAGGGUGGCCCCGCUACAUCCACCGCCACGGACGCCCCACAACGUAGUUCCCCCCUGUCAAUUUUUUCUUUUAUUUUUGGCUUCCGUUCAUGAUUUUUAUCCUUUGCCUGGCAGCUAUGGAUACGUCCGAGGGAAAGCAGCCAUCGUCGGUCACCGCGGCGCUCGGUUCGAUCAACAAGUAAGCUAAAAAAUUGCAGUGCAGCAAUUACUAUUACUUUUAUAUAAUUAUAUAUGUGUGCACAGAGGCUCGUUCUGUCAAUUAUUAUUAUGAAGGACCUUCAAUAAUCUUCCGUAUUAUUGUGACAUUGUUUUUGGUGGAACACUGGAAGUCAAUCCAACAACAAUAAUAUGUGAUAUGGGUUGAUAUGCUCGGCAUGCUGUUUUUGUUAGCUAGGUUGCUUUGGUAGGUAGGGAAACCUUUAUCAGCCGUACUUUUUCUAUCAGUCAGCAGUGUUUUUCUCUCACAAUAUAUCAGACAACAGUAAUUUCAGACAUGACUUUUCAGACCUGGGACUUCUCUUGUGAUGAUCUCUCUAUGUAUGAUUGUGUGUCAACUGUCACGGACACAAUUGAGUGCCACAAGGGGCACAUGGGCAAAGUGUUGGAAAAUUUGAGGUGUUUUCACAUAAUUUUGAUUUCGAAUUUGGAAGUCAAAUUUGAAUUAGAAGGAAGUUUACAGAAGAAAGGAAAAGAAAAAUGAAAAAAAAGGAAUAAGGGGAGCAUUUGCUGCUAGGCCACUUGAAGGCCCAAGGCCGAGCGGACCAUCUGCUUGCCUGCUCUGAAGGUGCCUUAGCCCUUCCUCGUUCCUCGUGAAGGAACACAGUGGCUGCAGCUCGUGUCUAUGUUCUAACCGGUUGCUGGCUGUGGUCAGUGGAGAGCUUACCCACCUUCGCCCUAUGCGGCACUUCUGAACAAUGGGCGUGGAGUGGCAUGCUAUCAAAAUGUGAAAUCUUGGCAAUCAAAGCACAGAAACCUCCCCAUUGCCCACCUGCUAUCCAUCUUCCUGUACAGUGAUGCUUCAGUGCUAGGCUGCUAGCCCUGUUCGUAUUUGUCUCCUCGUUCUGCACAUGGCGCCUAGUGACUGUAUGUUUGUGACUGUGCAAAAGCACAAGAGGGCUGUGGCGUGCUUGUGUCCUGGUUAGAUCAGUAUGGUUUGUGCCGGUCUCAUGUGAUCCCUGUGACUCGGUGGUGGUGCUCAGCCAUGGUGUUAUCUUGGUGAGCUUGCAGCCUUAAGCAGUUGUUGUUUUGUGACUGCGCAUAGCUGAGGCAUGGUGACAGAGCUCCAACAGCUCACUGGCGUGAGUGAUGUUGUGCAUGCAUUGUGCCGUGCUUGUGUCGUGCAGGGAUAGGUGACCUCUGGUUGGCACACAGCCACCUUGCACAGGAAACACAAUGUCCAUACUGUGGUUGUGAUAACUGCUGGCACAAAAGCACCAGGGCCACACCCACAUGCACAGCACAGCAUGAGCUUGCCAGCACAAUACCAGUGAGCUGCUGAGCUUCUGCCACACAGCCCAAAGUAGCACAGGGAUAGCAGCGGCACCGGAUGACAGGGAGAUGUGGAGAUCUGGUGGAGUCGUGGAGAGUUGUGUGUUCUGAUGGAGAAGGGAGACUCUGCUCUGUGUUUGAAGCCUCUCUGGUAGGGUUUCAUAGCCAGCUGAUCCGUGCCCAUUGUGGAGAUAUGCCACAGAUGGUGGAGGCAGGAGCUGCUGCAGCUGCUGCCUUCCUUCAUGAGGUAAGGCAUGGGUGGAGCAGGCAGCAGCUGGCUAACUUGCCCCAAACAUUGAAGUGGCCCAGCGCCAGCCUCCCCAUAUUGUCCUUUUUUUUCUGGAAAUUUCCUUGUAACCCAAAUUUGACUUACAUUUAUAAAUUUGAAACCCCUCAGGUUUUCCAACAUUAGAUACCUCCUCAAUUUUAUGUCAAAAAUACACUUUAGCCACGAAUAGUUUCUCAAUGUGUCAUUACCUUGAUUUAUAUGCCAAAUUGUAUGUGCACUUCAUGCAUGCUGUUCCAAAUGACUAGGAAAUUGUUUGUGCAAUGCACCUAUGGAUGUGAGGAUUGUGGAUUUUUCAAACAUAUUGCUCUGACAGUCUGACUUGGCUUGUGAAAUGUGUUAGUAUAAUAUGCUCCAUUAAUUGACAUAAAACAGCAACAUCUGGUUUGGAUAUCAUUCUUAUGUGUUAUGUGGAUUAUUUAAAAAAAUUCAACUGAUUGGAAGUUGUUGAGAAAAGUCAAAGUUUUCAGAAGUCAACAAAUGGAAAAUAAUUGGCAUCCAUGGUAGUUGUGGAGGACUUGUUUAGUAGUUAUGACUGAAAGAUCAUAACUACAAGUAAACUGUACACAUGUGGGUACACCUCUUUUGUAGCCCAAACCUGCUGCAUCUACCAAAUACUUAUCAGUGUCUCAUGAGGCUUCACAGCUCAGUUUGUAGCAUGGAAGCUUGCACUCAAGUUGGGUUAACUUGACUUUCUGUUUUGACCUAAUUAGCAUCUAUAGUUCACUAGUAGAUUCCUGAGGAUCAACAAAGUUUUUUUUUCUAUGGCCAUGUAAGGUUGAGCUGUAGUCAACUGCCUAAAUGCUUCAUACAUUAGAUAUUAUAGGCUACUGAGAGUGAAUUACUGAAGUUACUGCUCUCCUAUCCCCUUCAGUAACUACAUUUGAAAGUUUUAUUAUAGGACACUAAAAGUGAAUAUUUAAGGAAUUCCCUAAAAAGCUUGUCCCUUCUGGUAUAUGCUUAGCUGUGUUCCCUGAAAUUUGCGUUGUUGUGGACUAGAUACAUGUCCUCAGUCUGUUCUUUGUCUCUUUAAGCAGGAAAAUAAAAAAGGGAGUGCAUAUGAAAAGGUCACAGAAUGCUAGGAAAAUGAAAGCAAUUGCUAGGGCUGUAUCAAAGAAUGAAAAGUCUGAGGAGAAGAUCCAGAAAGCAAAAAGCAAGAAGACAAGAGUUCAGUCUGCCAAGUCUUUGUAUGACUAAAUAUUUUGCACUAAGCAGAAUUUUGUGUACCCGUAUAUUUCUAGCUUGUAGAGCAACUGAAUCUGUGCUUGACAAAGAAAUGAAAACAUGCUUUGCUUACAAAUCUUGCUGUCAGUUUCUUUACAAGAUUCGGGAAUUGCCUUCUGCACUACCUGGUGAUAGUAUCAUAUUAAGGUUUGAUUCUUUGAUAUUGACCUCAGGAUAUAGUGACCAAGUGUGGUCUAUUCUAAAAUUCUGGUGCCCUUUGCUGAAAUGGCAACAUAUUUUCACUCAGUCCUGUUAAAAGUAUUUACAGUGUUCAAGGUUCUUUCUUAUGUGUACUCAUGCAAGGCUCCUCUGUAACCGUAGGCAAUCUUGUGGAGUUUCACCAUUUUGCUAUUUCUUUGAGCCUGAACCGAAGUUGUAGGGAAGGAUCUGGUGCUUACUGGACCGAAGUCGUAAGGAUGUGUAAGCAUGCUGCUGAUGACAGGGUUAUACCAUGUUCUAUCUGAUGGAGAAUCAAUAUGGUCGUAGGUACAUACGGAUUUAUUGCAAGAUGUGUUUCCUGGAAUGGGCUUUUUGCGAUAAUAAAAAGGUAAUGCAAAUCUCCUUUUCUUCCCUUCCUGGAAUGGCUUUUUUGCGAUGAAAAGGUCAAGCAUAAAUACGGCUUUAUGGCAAGAUAUGUUUCGUGGAAUGGCUAUUUUGUGAUAAUAAAAAGGUAAUGCAAAUCUCCUUUUCUUCCUGGAAUGGCUUUUUUGCGAUGAAAAGGUCAAGCAAAUCUCCAUUUGUUCCCUUUUCGUUUCGGCCAAGAACCCAAACAAACUCCAAAGGCCUUUUUCUUGAAACCUUUGAAGAUUUAUAUCUGCAUCUGGGAUGUUCAUAGGGCGUGGAAUACUGGAAUGGUCCUUGCUGUGUGGUCCGUUCUACUAAUUUGGUAGUGGUACUCAUUUGCUAUGCCGAUAGUACUCAUUUGUGUUAUGCCACGUGCUGUUGGCUACGCCAUUUGUAUGUAUGUUUAUAAUACUGUUGUCCUGUUCUGAUUGGCUAUCCAUCUUGUUGGCUGAGGAGAAAAUGGAGUUCAGGUCCGGUUCUAAUGCAAGAUAGAAACUGUCUGUAUAGGGCAUAGGCUCCACUCCUGAGUUCGGAGCUCCAAGUCAUCUGUUUUGACAAGCUUUAUGCCCUCUGUAUCUGAAGGACAAAAAAGAAGUCGUACGUUUUGACAAGCUCAGGUCCCAUUUUAGGGGCAGAAAUAUUUAUACAGUAUAUAUGUAACUCAAACGAUUGAAAGGUCAAUUCUUGCCCACUCCCUUUGAUCUAAGAUAUAUAAAAUAAACGUCAGCCCAUAUGCGAUAGUUUGGUCAAUAUUCGAUGUCCUGCAGAUUAUAUAACUCACCUUCUCUGAUGUCAUUGAUGGUUUUUUUAAAAAAAGUGUCCCCUUACUUCAAUCUGUGUCCUUUUCGGUGUGGCAAUCGUAGUAGGCUUUAGGCCGUGUUUAGUUGGCGAGGAAAAAAUUUCACGACACUGUAGCACUUUUCGUUUGUUUGUGGUAAUUAUUAUCCAAUCAUGGACUAACUAGGCUCAAAAGAUUCGUUUCGUAAAUUUUAAUCAAACUAUAUAAUUAGUUUUUAUUUUUAUCUAUAUUUAAUACUUUAUGCAUGCGUAUAAAGAUGAUAGUGCCCUAGUCAUAGCGUCGCAAGGAACGGUUGUAAAGCUAGAGGAUUCGUGGAGCAAAAGGUCUUCCAACGUUUGCUCAGCCAUGCGUUUUCACACCCGGGAUCGCGUAUCGAUCGGCCGGCGUAUCCGAGACGCACCGUCGUCUCCUUGCUCCCUUGCGGUUCCGGACCGCACCUCUGCCGUCGUGUUCACCCAGCGCCGUUUUCGUUUGGCAUCAGGGGGAAGAAGCUGUGGUGACAUCGCCGCGUCCCUAUUGACGAAAACGACUUCCUGAUCAUCAAAGGAUUGGUUCUUUCAGUCACCAGUGACACUGACACUGACAUUUUUUUUUCGUUUUCUUUACUUGACAACCACCGCAUUCACGUCCAGUUCCUCGUUUACAAUUUGCUCGCUUGCUUUAAGAGGUAUGCAUCUUGGUUUGUUACGUCAAUUUGUUUCUCUCUAUCGAAAAAAACACAUCUCCACAUUUGCAUCAAGAGCUAACUACAUAAAGAAUAACUUGUUACUUGUUAUGCUUUGUAAAUAUAUGGUACAAUAAAAAAAACACUAGUAGUAAAAUUUUUGUUUUGGAGACCGGUUGAUACCCAAAAGAUCAAAUUUUAUUCUGCAAACAGAGUACAUGGUUCCUCCUCCUUAGGUCUUACUCCCUUCGUUCCAAAUUAUAAGUCAUUCCAAGAAUCUUGGAGAGUCAAAACAUCUUUAAGUUUGACAAAAAAUAUAGAGAAAUAUAAAGAUUUAUGUUAUAAAAUAGGUACACUAUGAAAAUAUAACUAACAAAGAAUCUAAUGAUAUUUGGUUGGUACCAAAAAUAUUAUUAUUUUGCUAUAUAAAUUUGGUCAAAUUUGAAAAACUUUGAUUCUCCAAGAUUCUUGGAAUGACUUAUAAUUUGGGACGGAUGGAGUAUUUGGAUCCUAUGGCAAAACUUUACUCCUACACUUUUAGCUCUUUUUUUACCAUGAGGAUCCAAACGGGUGUGCAAAAGAUGGACAAAUGGGUAAACAUUUACUCUACUAGAGACUCUAAACUAGGCUAAAAGUGCAGCACUCUCUUUCUCUCUCCUCUUCUUUUCAUCUUUUAACACCUUCAGCCCCUAGAUCCAAACACCUUACUUAGGCUAAACUUAAGCACCUUUAGUGCAAAGGGCUAAACUUUUUGCCUAUGGCAAAUGGAGCCAAACACCACCUAAGCGUCUUGACAUAACAAUUCUACGGUCCAGGUGUUAGUGUAUUACAUUAAUUAGUGCCCAUUUAAGCAGGGGAAAUCUUAUACUCUUAUAAAGCAAAAUUUCACUACCUAUUUCUCUCAACAUACAAGCUAUUUAACUACGCAAUCCACUAUCACACACAAUUAAAAUUGAAUAGCUAAUACAAUUGUAAUAUUCACAUCAACAAGUCACCUAUUUCUAUGAACAUGCAAGUUGUCCAACUAGGCAAUACACAUUCUAACAUAUUUAUAUUCCUUCUUCAUACCCGCGGCAACGCGCGGAAAAUCCUCCUAGUAUGAAAGAUUGAAGCAACCAUAAGCCUAGGCGUUCAGUAAACUCGAUUUUUUCGGUUCAGGUGAUUCAAAAUUUGGGUAGUGAAAACUGCUACCCGAUAUUAGUCUAAAAAAACAAUACCUGUAAUUUCGGGUACCCGAUACUUUGGGUUCGGAUUUGGUUAUUCCCGAUUUAACUGAAUUUUCAGAAAACAACAAUUUCAAUAGCAAUUUAUAUAUAAUUUCAGCAGCAAUUUGUAUAGAAUUUCAAUAGCAUUUUGUAGAGAAUAAUAUAUUACGGUCACUUGUUCAAACAAAAAUAAUUAUAUUCUAAUAAAUUGAUAAGUUUUAAUGUUUAACUAACAACACAUGAUAAAUACAAAAAUAUAGACAAAUGUUUGGGUAAUUCGGAUAAAAUUACCUAAAUUACCCAAACUAAUUUCGGGUAAUCAAAAUCGCUCUAGGAUUGGAUACCUCGGGUCUGCGUAAUUCGGGUACGGAUAAUGGUUAUCAGGUAUUUUGCCCGGGCUUAAGCAACCAUUCAUCUGUACUCCGUAUAGGGUGUGGUGAUGUCUUGUCCGAGGCAUUACAAUUUAAUAAACAUUUAAUCACAUUUGAAAUUCUUCACGUAUUUGUAGUAUUUUUUUCUCAUAACAAAUCAGCGAAUAAUACUUUUAGCCAUGACUUUUCUGGCAAACGAACAUGCUCUCAACUUCUAGAAUCCGUACCGAUCAUUUUUUUUAAGUUUGACUAACUUUAUAGAAAAAAGUAAUAACAUCUAUAACAUAAAAUAGACAUCUUAUGAAAAUGUAUUCUAUGAAAAAAAAAAUCUAAUGAUACUAAUUUCAUUCUAUAAACCUUAGUAGUUUUUACUAGAAAUUUGAUAAAAAUUUAAAAAUUUGACUUAGAACAAUUUUAAAAGUUGAUUUUUUAAGAUGACCUAGGAGGGACCGUAUGCCACCUUGUAGUUCUAGCUAGGGAUCUCCUAACAGCCAACAGUCUCUCUCUCAACAGAACUAGUGUGUUGUGUUGUGUGGUUACUAAUUGAAACAAUUUGUGGUCGAUCUUCACUGCAAACCGUUUGUUCACUUAGCUAAUAAGUCAUGAUUAAAAAUAUUAUUCACUGAUUUUUUUAUUGGAGAAUUCAAUAGAUAAACGCAAGCCAACAGGCUAUGCUGGUCAUGUGCUCAAUUAAUAUGCUGGCCAUGCGUGAUUACGGAGUUUAACUGUAGGCUUGCCAUCUAGUAGGUUUGAUGCUGCUUCCUAUGGCGACAGUUGGAGCAUGCCAGCGAGCCCCACGGCUCUGGUGCCUUUGUCUCUACGCCUCUAUAUGCAAAUAGAUUCAACUAUCCAAGAACGUGCUUAGGGCCUACCUUUGUCGAAUUUCACGGGCUCAUGCCCUGUGCCUCCUGUCAUCCUGCCCACUAGUUGAGACUUAUUAAAAGAGAAAUCCGGUUUGUUUAGACACAAUAGUCCGUAUAACGAAGAUGAACUCUGGAUAUUGGCUAUACGUAUUUUGUUGUUGGUAGCUCACGCGUUGUCCAGUUUAAACAUCUAAUUAGCAUAAUGGGACAAUAAUGGGACAGAGAUGUCAUGGCCCUGUUUGGAUCUAACAAGAUUUAGACCUUGUUUAGUUCGUGAAAAUUUUUAGAUUCAGCUACUGUGGCACUUUUCGUUUGUAUUUGAUAACUAUUGUCUAACCAUAGACUAACUAGUCUCAAAAGAUUCACCUCACAAAUUACAUGUAAACUGUGCAAUUAGUUAUUUUUAAUCUAUAAUUAAUGUUCCAUGCAUACAUACAAAGAUUCGAUGUGACGGAGAAUCUUAAAAAAUUUUAGAACUAAACAAGACCUUAUAGUUAGCUGCUAAUAAUUAGCUCACUGGAUCCAAACAUGCUAGCUAAUAGUUUAGGUAAUCGUUAGCUAAAUAAAUUUUUUUGACAAAUUGUUAGCUGAAUACUUAACUAACAACUAUAUAUUUCACUAGUUGGACCAAACAAGCUAAUAGCAGGUAAUAUUAACUGUGGCCUAUUAGAGCAACUCCAAGAGUUCCCACCUCUUAAUCCUUAGUUUUUAGAAAGAUGAGAAAAAAUCUCUCUCCAACAACUCCCAAAACAAUCUCCUAUCUUUUAGGGCUUGGAAAAUCUCCCUCUUUUCGCAUAACAUUGCGCUGUCGAAGCCACGUGAGGAUACGGUGUUCCUAGGUGGAGUCCUUUCCGCGUCUUCUUUUGUCGCGGCUCCCUCCUUCCCGUGCUCCUCCACCGCGACAUUCUCCAUCACUAGUUCCACGAUAGACUCUCGCUAGUUCCAGGGUAGGUGAUUGACGCCACCGUAGACGUAGCGACGAGGUGCGUACUCCAUAGAUGAGGAGACACAGCACGAAGAGUUCUGCCCGCCAAAAAAAAAGAGCCACAAAAAACAAAUGGGACCACAAUUGAUUUUUUUAGAAGUCAAAUAUUAGAAAUUAUUGGAGAUAGCCUUCUUUUUUUCCCCUAAUACCUUUUUAGGAUUUGAAAAACAUUGAACUUUUUAGGAGGAAUAUUUAUAAAACUCUUCAUGCUCUUAGCUAGCUAUUUAUUAGCAGAGAAUUGAUCCAAAACAUAUCCCAAGUCUCACGUGCCACCUAAAAAUGGUCUAGUGAGCCAUCAAUGGCAGUGUGUAAUAUAUAAACUGAGAUGAUGCUAAGCAUAGCAUCUCUUCUGCUGCUACAAAACAAGAUAAUGAAUACUUCAUAAAAUAAAAUAAAAAUUUAGGCACUCUAAAUUUGAUUAUUGGAAGUUAUUUUUCCUACAAAGGGAAGGAAUUCUAAUUUAGAAGACACCCACCACUUUACCUACCAAGAUCCACCCGAAGAAUUCGACGCAGCAUCCUGUUACCUGUACUUCUAGAGGCUUAGCGGUGAUCUAUGAUCUGGAUGGAGAAUAGCCGUCAAUAAAAGUACAAAAUUUGGGAGCAGCCUCCCACAAAUUCCCAAGAUUAUCUGGAUUUCUUUACCAAAACACCAUUAAAAUUCCUACACACUGAACCGUUACAAAUACAACACACCAUACACCACACGUACACACAUAUACAUACUCCACACGACCACACGCAUACUCUCCGUUCUAAAACAGAUGAUGUUAUAGAUAUGUCUAGAUUAAUUUUUUUUAAACUUUAAUUAAAUUUAUAGAAAAUACAUGUAAUAUUUAUAUCUUUAAAUAAAUUUAUUAUAAUAAUAUAUUUAGUGGUCUAUCUAAUAAUACUAAUUAUAUAUUAUAAAUAUUAAUAUAUGUUUAUACACAAGUGUUAUUCUACAUUUUAGGUGUAGAAUACUAUUCUACACCGAACUGUUAUACUAAGUAGAAUUCAAUAUCGUUUAGUAUCCACGUUUCAGUAUUGUUCGGUAUUUCAUGGUCCUGAGUGUAGUAUUAGAUGAUACUAAUGUGGUUCAGUACUGUUCAGUAUUUUUUCUAUUCAGUUUUGACUUAUGGUGUAGAAUACGGCGUAGAAUAGCGCUAUAUAGUGAGUUAAAAUUAAGAAAAGCUAACUUCUCCGCUAGAAGAGCAAAUACGGAGUCCCCAACCAGAAAGGCGCCAACGAGGAUAUAUAUUUAACCGCCCCAACCACGCACCUUUUCUCCUCGCCUCGUCCCCAAACCUCUGCUACCUUCGCUUGGCUUGGCUUCCAACCCCAUCGAUACUUCCGAGCAAGCUACACUACAAGCUUGACCAGCCUCGUGCUUCCAUGGCCGAUCCCCAGAAGCCCCAGGCCGAGGUCCUGACCGAGUCAGUGCGGGUCAACAGCAUCGAGGCGGAGGCCACGCUCAGGGGCGGCGAGCUGGCGUGGCGCCCCGCCGCCGCCGGCGACGGAGAGGGGCAGGAGCGGCGGCUGGAGCUGGAGUCGGAGGUGCUCGGGUGCCGGGUGGACGGGAGGAAGCUCAAAUUCGCGACCUUUGCCGAGACCGGCGGCGGUAAAGGAAAAGGGGGAGGAGGGGAUGGGAAUCGGAGGAGAGGGGAGGUCGUGGUGGAGAUGGAGAACGAUGAUGCCGCGUUGCGGUGGGCGGACGCCAUCAGGGAUCGUUUCGCCUCGCUCGGUAAUCAGUAUCAGCUGUCACUCUGCUAGUUGUAAUUCGACUAUUUCAAUUCUCCUGCAUCCUACUAUUUUUUUUGAAAAAAAAAAUUUCUCCUGCAUCUUGGGAAUUGUGCUUGGCUCGUGAUGUGAUCGAUGUGGUCACACAACGAUUGCUUUUUUUAGUUCAAUCGCGUGGUUGGACUUUUGGCAUUGCCUGGACGCCUGGUUCUUGAUCGGGUAGGCGGCGGUAGUUGCGUGGCGGACUUGAGGAGUUCGUUGACUCGAUUGGAUAGCUGGGAGAGAAAAAAAAAAUCUGCUCCUGAUAGUAAGGGGAAAAAAAUCAAAACAAAACCAGAAGAAUGUCCAGUCGCUUUGGUUCGAUUCAACAAUAAUAGUUUGAAGCAAUUGGUUCUCGAUUGUAAUGGUCGUAUGCGUGAAACCGUGCAGUUGAAUAGCUGUUCUUCUGGGCAUGCCCUGGUCAAAGCGUCAAAUGUACAAAUGUAGUAGCAUGCAAGGUGCCAACAAGUCGAGUCCUACAGAGGUCUGGUCUACUCAAUUGCCACGGUUGACUUCAAAUGGACAUGAUGCUGAUAGUGCACAUCGCACAAAGCCUGCAUUUCAACUAUUAUCACCUCGAACAAGUCAGAAUCGUGUAUGUCUGUCUAAAUGAUACUUUGCAGUAGUAAUGUUAUGCCUGUUCAUGUUAUGCAUAUUUUCUGCAUCCUUUUUUGUUCUUUUGUGAGAUUUGGCUGAAUGUUCCUCUCAGUAUCACCCAUUGCUAUUUAACAUCACCUUUGAAUGUUGCAUUAGCCAUCAUAUUCGUAGGAUGCAAUGGUGUUUUGUGUGUCAACUAACUUAGUUCAUUUCUCCCCUUAAAUUAAUUACAUGGCAUGCCAUUCUAGUUCCUUUUACCAAGUUCUGGGUCAAUCCAAUGACUCAGAAUAUGGGAUACUUGCAUCCCUAGCUAUCAAUGCAAAAUAUCAGUGCUGUCCUUUUUUUGCUCAAUUAGUCAUCAUUGAUAGUGCUGAUCUAGUGCUCUCUCCUGCAUAUUUCUGUUUCAUUUCUAGUUGGUACUAGUUCAUGUUUCUCUAACUCCUUGAGAAAAGCAUAGUAGAUUAACAACUGAAUUAGAACACCAGUUUUACCUACUCAUGGUCCCUUAGGUAUUCCUCCUGCAAUAUUGCUACAGGCCGGCCAAACAAAUUGUUCAUUAUAGUGAACCCUUAUGGUGGAAAGAGAAGCGGACGGAGUAUUUUCCAGAAUGAAGUCCUCCCCCUCAUUGAAGCUUCUGGCGUGCUUUAUACGAUGCAAGGUCUGGUGGUCUAUGUUUAUCCAUCGUAUUUUUGGGAUUGUAAUUGUGGUGCCUGUUACUCUGUAUCUAAUUUCAAAUUGUGAAACAUGAUUAGAAACCAAGCAUCGCCUUCAUGCUCAAGAGAUUGCACAUUCACUUGAUCUUAGGAAGUAUGAUGGCAUCAUUUGUGUUAGUGGAGAUGGUGUGAUGGUAGAGGUUAGCAAAGAACCACAUUUUCCGUAUGUGAAUGCAAUUCUGUGCAAUUUGUUAUGCUCUGAAAAUUUGCUUGUUUUCAGAUAUUUGAGCACUGUUCAUUCUAUUUGCUUGCUUGCUAUUUUUGGUUCUUUCUCUUAUUGUUAUUUUAUUUUGUUUUUAGGUUGUCAAUGGUCUCCUGCAAAGGGAAGACUGGGAAACAGCAAUAAAAGUGCCCCUUGGGAUCAUUCCAGCAGGUACAUUAUCAUAUGGAUGUAAUGAUGCACAUUAGUGAGUAGUACUGUGUCUUAGGUUCAUUUUCAUAUGCAAUCAUUAUAAAAGCCGUUUAACCAAGAUUAGUUAGUUCUAGCUUGUAGCUUUUGCUGUUUUUUUCCAGAUUCUAGCAUUUAUGCACUUUAUUGUCAUUAGUGCUUUGGGCAGACUUUUCAAACAAUAUAAUGUGCAACAGGUACUGGAAAUGGAAUGGCACGGUCUCUACUGCAUGCUGCUGGUGAACCAUUCUCUAUAUCUAAUGCUGUGUUUGCAAUCAUCAGAGGUCCUUUGUCCUUGUUUUUUGCUACCUUUCAUCUAGCAGCCACAUCAUCUCUCUUCAUUAUCUCGUCCAUUCGCUGAUGCAGCUUCUAUCUGUUACACAGGUCAUAAACGUGCACUUGAUGUUACUUCUGUUGUGCAAGGAAAGACAAGGUUCUUUAGUGUCUUAAUGCUUACAUGGGGUAUGCAGCAUACAAUCUCUAUGCUAACUCUUUGAAAACAACAGCUAAUAACAUAGGCCACCUUCCUCAGAGAUUGCUCUGUCACUUUCUCUUUUGCUGCAGUAAAAUUUAAUUGACAAGCCUGAAAAUGAUCUACGAAUUGCAGGUCUGGUGGCUGAUGUUGAUAUUGAAUCAGAGAAGUAUAGGUGGAUGGGAAGUGCUCGCCUUGACUUUUAUGUAUACUUUCUACCCUAAAAGCUUAUAUCAAGUAGUUGUGUUUUUUUUUCGUAUCUGUAAGUUUCUCUCUCUUUUUAUAUUUAAUGGACUUAACAGAGAGGUGCUGCAGAAAUUAGAUGCCCUUUCUGGCUGAUCUUGCACCAGCUUGGCAGCAUCGAGACAGAUGCAUCUCUUGCUUUACUAAGUUCAAAGCUCUAACUGCAGGAAAUUGUUUUUUGAUUAUUGUAUAAACUUAGAUGUGAAUUCAUGCAUUGUAGCCCUAAAAUAAAAUAUCAUGGUUACCAUACCUGAAAAAAAGUGAAUCUUCUGCAAUAUGCUGGUUGAGCUCUAGUACUCAUAAUAGAUGCAGAAGAUAAUGAUAUCAUAUUGCAUAAAUCGCUCUAGCACCUUUGUGGCUUUAUUAUGUUAAUCAUUCUCAGGGUAUUUUUGGAUCUGUAGAAGCUCACAAUGUGCUCUGCCAUGUGCAAUGCAACUUCUUUUCAGCUACUACUCCGCGUGCUGAACCUGCGACGGUACAAUGGGCGCAUCCUUUUUGUUCCAGCACCAGGAUAUGAAGAAGUUGGUGAUCCUGUGGAUCAAACUACCGGUUCCGAAACAAACGGGUUUAGCACGGGCAUUCAAGAAGACGUAGCAACUGACAGUAAUGGUGAAACGCGUGGCUAUGUUGGCCCGUCGGUCAAAGAAUCCGAUCUUAGAUGGAGAUCGCUGAACGGUCCGUUCGUUUCAGUCUGGCUCGGCAAUGUUCCUUUCGCCAGUGAAGAUGCCAUGGCAGCACCAAAAGCAGAGGUCAGUCUCUCGCCGUUUCGUGCUUGGGGAUUCCUCUGUGCUCCAUAGCUUGAUCCGUACUUGUUUCUUGCCAUGCAGUUUGCGGAUGGCUACUUGGAUGCUGCCAUAAUCAAGGAUUGCCCACGGCGGGAUGUUGUCGGCCUUUUGUUCCAGAUGAAGGACGGCGCCUACGUGAACUCGCCAUGCGUGGAGUACUUCAAGGUGCGUUGCUUAGCCCAUGCGUUCUACCCACCAUGUCCCUGAACUCUGUCAUCAAAACAUAACGAGGUGUGCUGGGCUGGGCAACUCUGACGAACGACAGGUGAAGGCGAUCCGGAUCGAGCCGGGCCUGCGCGUGGGCAGCAGCACCAAGGGUGGUAUCAUCGACUCGGACGGGGAGGUGCUUGCGAGGGGCGAUGAUGGGUCCCACUCCCGCGCCGGCGACGAGCCGGGGCACCUGAUGGCGUACGGCCCGCCCAUCCAGCUGACGGUGGACCAGGGGCUGGCCACCAUCUUCUCCCCGAGAUGACGAUUCUUCUCCCUGUUCUCCACUACACUACUGUCUGCGAGUAAUUUCCUUCGUUUGUAGAAUCAUGUGCUUCUACUGUAUAUGUAAAUAUACUCACACCCCACUCCAGUGGAUGAGCAAUGAGCCGAGAGGGACGGAUCCUGGAUCUCCGUCGAUAAAUUGUUUUCUUUUCACGGCCCCAGCCCACAUGGCUGCCGCUUUUAGUGCUGGCGCGAGAAAUGAGAAGUGGGCAGUUCAUAAUCUUUUUUUUUAUUGUUGGCCGUGUUGUUGAUUGUCACUUGUACAAACAGUUGGACUGUUUUCCUGCAAACUUGUGCUUCCAUCUAAAAAGACCUUGACACUCUAGUUUAAGUCGAACUAUCUUAAUUAAUUUUGAUCAAGUCUAUAUAAAGAACCAAUGUUUAUAUCGAGAAAUAAGUAUCACUAAAUUUAUCAUUAAACAUAUUCUUAGAAAUACCUAUUUAAUGUCAUGCGUAUUGACAAUCUUCUAUAAAUUUGGUCAAAUGGUAAAUAACUUUGAUGACUUGAAAUGAUUUUUUUAAAAAAGGGAUACUACUACCUCCGCCCAUAAUUUUUUUGGACUAACUUGGAAAAUAUUAUUAAUAAUUGUAUAUGUAAUGAUACAUAUUGCACGUCAUAAAUAGUAGUAAAUUUUUAAUUAUAUCUUCUCGCCUUCUGAGUGUUGGUUGUCUAUCUGGCUAUCUAUGUUGUAGUGUGCUAUAGUUGGAGUUCGUGGCAGAGGAUGAGACCAUCAACAUCGUUUCCAACCUAAACGCCUUCGACAUGAUCAGCAUGCAUAUGCUGAUCAACACUAAUUCCUAUCUCUUUCAACUCUCGAUGCCCCCACCUAUUAUUAGCCUCAUACCGCUACCACCGUCUUUUGUAUAAGCUUUGUCUAUGCACACUUAUAUCCAAUUCAAUCGAUCUGUGUUGUGGUGAACUGGGGUACAACUAAACUAAGGGCGUGAGCUACGGAAAAACUGUUACGAGCUGUGUGAUGUAAAAAUGUUGUAAGCUAUUUGGUUGAAACAAUUACAAAACCUACCCACUAUCUUUAUUUAUCUUGAAAUAACUAUAAAGCAUCCUGUAUUUUUCACUCAUUUGUGAAAAUUAAAAACUGAAAGCCAAAAUCAGCACCCAACUAAGUUAAGAAAAUUGUACUACUCGAAAGGUGAGUAUGUUUCUAGAAAAUCAGCUUCAGAUUCCACCUAUUUUGUUGGUGUUCUGUUUUUAGAGGUAGAAAUAUUUUUCAAAAGUUGGACUAAACACAACAUAAAUUCUACUCUAGUCUCUUCCAAAACAUAUGAAAUGAUUUAAAUCUUAUACGAGUUUCCAACGAGCCCGUACGGGGAUUUUGGACCCUUCUUCCGACGACAGAUUCCCCACUACCGUUUGGCUCGCCGUCGCGAUCAAGAAGCCUAGCAGUGCACCGUCCUUCACAUAUUUUUUUUUCUUUUGAUUUCAAAAAAGGAAGCGCCGUUUCCCGAACGAAGAAAAAGAUAAGGUAUGGAACGAGUGACCGCGCGAGGCAGCGCGGGUGGAGUGGGCCCCAGGGCAGGGUAGCCGCCAAGGCAGGGCCGUCCGUAGGCGCUACGAAAGCUGGAGGAGUUCCUGUUCGCAUGAUGACAAUCGCACGGCCACGGCAAACCCUAGCCGCCGGGCAGGUCGGUCCCCGCGCGGGGGGCGGCGGCGCGGGGGGCGCGCUAUAUAAACAGAGCCCUUCAUCCGAUGCCUCCAACCCAUCUGGCGACCUCGAUCCCCUCCCCUGUUGGUUCUGUCUGUUGACUUCCCCCCAUCGAGGUAAAGUACUCGCUCGAUUCCUCUUCCGUCCUCCGAUCCGGGCGGGGUGCUUGAUUUGUUAUCAUUCACGGUUCUGAUUCAAUUGUUUCUAUCAAGUUUUGUCCGAAUUCUUUGAUGCUCGAUUCAUUAUUAGUCUUCAAAUUUCUCUGAAUUGUUCCCUAGCUUUUAUCCUCCACGCAUAUGUACUAGUAUACUAGCAGAAUUGUUCCAUAGCUUUUGUCCUCCAUGCAUAUACUAGUAGUACCCAAAAUCUUGUGCUGGCCGAUCGCUCUUGUCCCGCAGCAAUCAAUCGUUUUUCUUUCUUUUACUUUUCUGAUAAUAAAGCAGAUAGAUCAAAUCAAAUAGUUAUGAUACACAUAAUAUAUAUCAUGGCAUCAUCCACACUUGAUUAAAUCCAAAACUGGUAUACACAUAAUAUAUAUCAUGGCAUCAUCCACACUUGAUUAAAUCCAAAACUGGUACUGGAGAUGCGACUAGUGUGCCCAUUGUCUAAUGGAAAAGACAGAGGGUCUCGUCUCCUAUCUCAUCGGAAGGGGCCGGGCCUUCUGAUAUAGGUUCGAAUCCUAUUGGGUGCUUCUAUUCUAGUUUCUGCAUCUCCAGUUUAAUUUGAUCCACUGCCAGGUCAGAUUGCCACCACUCACUCACAUAACCUGCUUAUAUCUGUUACUGUUUUUGUUGCUGUAUGUUUCUUUAUAGUAUAUUCAUUUGGCAAUUGUAUUGAAUAAUCAGGUCGGUUGCUAUGAAUUACUAUGGAUGAAUACUGACUUCAGGGUCUCUGUUUUGUCUCUGUUUUCCUGAUCACUUUAUUCUAAAUAAAAGAACAAUUAAUCUAGCAGUCUGCUUAUGUAUAUAUGCUUCUAAUUUACUGCUAAAAAAUCAAUCUAUCAACUAGUAUUUUUGUGUGACUGCGUUCUCUAUGUAUCCUUCUGCUGAUGUUUGUGAAUACAGCUAGCUAGUCAGCUGGUCCCGUUGCCAUGGGGAAGGAGAAGGUUCACAUCAACAUUGUGGUCAUUGGUCAUGUUGACUCCGGCAAGUCCACCACCACCGGCCACCUCAUCUACAAGCUUGGAGGCAUCGACAAGCGUGUCAUCGAGAGGUUUGAGAAGGAGGCUGCCGAGAUGAACAAGAGGUCCUUCAAGUACGCCUGGGUGCUUGACAAGCUCAAGGCCGAGCGCGAGAGGGGCAUCACCAUUGACAUUGCCCUGUGGAAGUUUGAGACCACCAAGUACUACUGCACUGUGAUCGACGCUCCUGGGCACCGUGACUUCAUCAAGAACAUGAUCACCGGCACCUCCCAGGCUGAUUGUGCGGUGCUCAUCAUUGACUCCACCACUGGUGGCUUUGAGGCUGGUAUCUCCAAGGACGGCCAGACCCGUGAGCACGCACUCCUUGCUUUCACUCUUGGUGUCAGACAGAUGAUCUGCUGCUGCAACAAGGUAAAAAUCUGAAAGUUUGAUUGAUGCAUUUUAUCUGCCGAUUUUUGCACAUGUCUAGUAUAUACGUAAUGAAAGCUAAUAACUAUCUGUUAUAUACUGCAAUAUUAUCUGUUAAUAAUUAUCUGUGUAUACUGCAAAUUAACUGAACUACUGCUAAAUCAGAUGGAUGCCACCACCCCCAAGUACUCCAAGGCUCGGUACGACGAGAUCGUCAAGGAAGUGGGUUCCUACCUCAAGAAGGUGGGGUACAACCCGGACAAGAUCCCCUUCGUGCCCAUCUCUGGGUUCGAGGGUGACAACAUGAUCGAGAGGUCUACGAACCUGGACUGGUACAAGGGCCCCACCCUCCUUGAGGCGCUGGACCAGAUUAACGAGCCCAAGCGGCCCUCGGACAAGCCCCUGCGCCUUCCCCUGCAGGACGUGUACAAGAUCGGCGGCAUCGGCACCGUCCCGGUGGGCCGUGUGGAGACCGGCCUCAUUAAGCCCGGCAUGGUGGUCACCUUUGGCCCCACGGGCCUGACGACGGAGGUCAAGUCGGUGGAGAUGCACCACGAGUCGAUGCAGGAGGCGCUUCCCGGCGACAACGUCGGCUUCAACGUCAAGAACGUGGCGGUCAAGGACCUGAAGCGUGGCUACGUGGCCUCCAACUCCAAGGACGACCCCGCCAAGGAGGCUGCCAGCUUCACCGCGCAGGUGAUCAUCAUGAACCACCCCGGGCAGAUCGGCAACGGCUACGCCCCGGUGCUGGACUGCCACACCUCCCACAUCGCCGUCAAGUUCUCGGAGCUGCUCACCAAGAUCGACCGGCGGUCGGGCAAGGAGCUGGAGAGCGCCCCCAAGUUCCUUAAGAAUGGUGAUGCCGGCUUCGUCAAGAUGAUCCCCACAAAGCCCAUGGUGGUGGAGACCUUCUCGGAGUAUCCUCCACUGGGGCGCUUCGCUGUUCGUGACAUGAGGCAGACGGUUGCGGUCGGUGUGAUAAAGAGCGUGGAGAAGAAGGACCCGACGGGAGCCAAGGUGACCAAGGCGGCUGCCAAGAAGAAAUGAUGAUGAUCCUGCAUAUCCAUGGUUCCUGGUUUCUUGCUGGUUGGAUUAUAUACAUGUCAAAUAAGUGUCCCUAUUUUGUUGGGUGGUGCUAGUAGUAGUUACAAAAGAACAAUUUGAUGGUUCAGUGUCUUUACAGUAUGUGUCGACGGUUGUGUUCGUGAUUGCCUACCAUUAUAAUAUGCCUACCAUUAUAAUAGUAUUUAUCAGUGACAUGUUUGAUGUUUCUAUGAGGCGUGCCAUGUGCAGAUGCCGAUUGCUUGCCUUUUGGCUAAUUGGGCUAAUGGCUACACAUGAACGCCCAGCAGUUAACCUGUUGUGUGUGUUGUGCUUGGUACUCAGCAAGGCGUACUUUUUCUGCCAAGUAUUUUUAGUCACAUUCAUCGAUUAGUACAUCUACUCAUCUCAUCUCGUGUAUGUCCGUGAUGAAGUCUUCACUCUUCAGCUUGGGUACAAGUUAACUUAUAAGUUGUAUAAUAGUUAUUUUUUAUUUAUCAUAUUUUAAUUAUUUGCCAAGUAUUUGUUAUGGGAAUACCAUUCUCUGCUGCACUGCAAGUCUGCACCCUCCUCCCUAUUGUUCGUCCUCGCCGCCCACCAUCUACCACGCGCAUCCAGCAGCAGCACCGCGGAGGGCUCGUGGCGGCGACGCGUCUCUGCCUCCCGCGCGUCGAAGAAGGUGCCGGUCUUCCACGCUCAUCCAGCGGCACCGACGGGCGCGGCGGCGGCGCGCCUCCGCCUCCCUCGCGUCGAAGGCGGCGCCGAUGUGAUAUGCCUGUCUAAUCUGAUGCCUGUUCAUUUCAUGCAAUGCAGCUGAUGGCAGUAGUAAUGUUAUGCUUACCUGCUCUGUAGGCCCAUUUUUUUUUUCUUUUGUGAGAUUUGGUUGAAUGUUCCUUUCAGUGUCACCGUUGCCAUUUAACAGCACCCUUGAGAGUUUCAUUGGCUAUCAAUUAGGAUGCAAAUGGGUACCCAAUGGUGUUUUAUGUGUCAGCUAAUUUCAUUUUUCUCUCCAAAAUUAAUUACGUGGCAUGCCAUUCUAGUUCAUUUUAUCAAGUUUUGGGUCGAUCCAACGACUAAAAACAUGACUUGCAUCCCUAGCUAUCAAUGUAAAAUAUCUGAGGACCUUUUCUGUUCAUUUAUUUAUCAUUGACAGUGCCUCUUUUGUUCUGCAUAUUUCUGUACUAGUUCAAGCUUCUCUAACUGCUUUAGAAAAGCAUACUAAAUUAACAACUGAAUUAGAAACAAUAGUUUUACCUACUCAUGGUCCUUUAGGUAUUCUUCCUGCAACAUUGUCACAUGCCGGCCAAAGAGAUUGUUUAUUACAGUGAACCCUUAGGCGGAAACGGAAGCGGACAGAGUAUUUUCCAGAAUGAAGUCCUCCCUCUCACUGAAGCUGCUGGUGUGCUUUAUACGAUGCUAGGUUUGGUGGUCUAUGUUUAUUCAUCGUGUUUUUGGAAUUAUAAUUGUGAUGCCUGUUGCUCUGUAUCUAAUUUCAAAUUGUGAAACAUGUUUAGAAACCAAGCAUUGCCUUAAUGCUCAAGAGAUUGCACAUUCACUUGAUCUUAGAAAGUAUGAUGGCGUCAUUUGUGUCAGUGGAGAUGGUCUGUUGGUUGAGGUUAGCAAAGAACAACGUUUUCCGUAUGCGAAUGCAAUUCUAUGCAAGUUGUUACACUCUGAAAAUUCUCAUGUUUUCAGAUAUUUGAGAACUGUUGAUUUUUAUUUGCUUGCUUGCUAUAUUUUGGUUCUUUCUCUUAUUGUUAUUUUGUUUCGUUUUUAGGUUGUCAAUGGUCUCCUGCGAAGGGAGGACUGGGAAACAGCAAUAAAAGUACCCCUUGGGAUCAUUCUGCAGGUACAUUAUCAUAGCAACUCCUUUAUCAUAUUUAUGUAAUGAUGCACAUCAGUGAGUAGUACUAUGUCUUAGGUUCAUUCCAUACGCGACCAUUUGUUUAACCAAGGUUCCCUGUUCGGUUGCCUGUAAAAGCGGCUGAUGCUGAUUUGUUGUGAGAAAAAAACACUGUUGGCUAGCCAUAAUAUUCUAGCUGAUAAGUUCAAGAGCUUGUAGCUUUUUCAGUUUUUGUUCAGUUUCUAGCAUCUGUGCACUUUAUUGUUGUUAGUGCUCUAGGCAGACAUUUCACGCGCUACAAUGUGCAAUGGGUACUGGAAAUGGAAUGGCACAAUCUCUAUUGCAUGCUGCUCAAUCAUCAAAGAUCAGUAUUUUUUUCCACGUUUUUUGUCACCUUUCAUCUAGCAGCCCCGUCAUCUCUCUUCAUUAUCUCACCCAUCUAUGUGUUUGAACAAUUGCUGAUGCAGCUUCUUUCUGUUACACAGGUCAUAAACGUGCACUUGAUGUUACUUCUGUUAUGCAGGGAAAUUGGGAAAGACAAGGUUCUUUAGUGUCCUGAUGCUUACAUGGGGUAUGCAGCAUAUAGUCUCUAUGCUAACUCUUUGCAAACAACAGUUGAGAACUUAGGCCACCUUUCUCAGAGAUUGCUCUGUCACUUUCUGUUUUGCUACAGUAAAAUGUAAUUGACAAGCCUGAAAAUGAUCUAUGAACUGCAGGUCUAGUGGCUGAUAUUGAUAUUGGAUCAAAGAAGUAUAGGUGGAUGGGAAGUGCUUGCCUCGAAUUUUAUGUAUACUUUCUACCCUAUCAAGUACUUGAUUUUAUUUUUCAUAUCUGUAUGUUUCUGUAUUUUUUAUAUAUAUAAUGGACUUAACAAAGAGGUGCUGCAGAAAUUAGAUGCUCAUCAUCGAGACAGAUGCAUCUCUUUCUUUACUACUCAGUUCCAAGUUCAAACUGUUAGAAAUGUCUUUUUUAUUAUUGUAAAUGUUGUAUAGCUUUAUUUAGAUGUGUGUGCAUGCAUUGUGGCCAUAAAAGAAAAGAUCAUAGUUAUAUACAUACCUGAAAGAAUGAAACUUCCACAAUAUGUUGGUUGAGCUCUAGUGCACAUAAUAGAUGCAGUUUUUUUAAACGUAACAUAAUAGAUGCAGAUGAUAUUGAUCUCGUAUUGCAAAAGUUUCUGUAGCACCUUUUAUGGCUUUAUGUUACUCUUUCUCAGGGUAAUUUUGGAUCUGUAAAAGCUCGCACUGUGCUCUGCCAUGUGCAAUGCAGCUUCUUUUUAGCUACUACUCCGCAUGCGAACCUGCGAUGGUAAAAUGGGCAUGCCCUUUUUGUUCCAGGACCAGGUUUUGAAGAAGUUGGUCAUCAUGUGGAGCAAACUACCAGUUGUGAAACAAACGGAGUUAGCAAAGUAUUUUGAGAAGACAAAGCAACUGACAGCAACUGUGAAAGGUGUGACUGUAGGCCCGUCGAUCAAAGAAGCUGAUCUUGCAUGGAGAUCACUGAAUGGUGCUCUAUAUAAUAGCUCAAUCCCAGCUGCCAGGCGACUGAAAUCGACGGCCUGGGCUGCAGUGAUUAACAGACGGCAUUGGAUAAUGACAAUGUGAUUCUCAAUUCUUGAUUCUUGCACCAAACUGUAAAAACGAAACAAAAUUCUUGGAUUCGCAACAUUGCCAAAUGAGACUACCAGCUUUCUGUUUAUCAAAGUCUGACAUCAUUAUGCUUGUAUUAAGGCACUUUUGUUUAACGUAUUGUACAUAGCAAAUAAAUGCAAUCGAUCAGAUAGUAAAGGCUGAUAGAACUAUUACUCCCUGUCCCAGACGGGGAACCAAUUGAAUUACAUUCCUCACAAGAUGUUUAAAAAUACUCUAUCUGUUUCAAAUUAUAAAACAUUUUGGCCUUUCUAUAUAUAUAAGUUACGUAUCUAGAAAGAAGCCAAAAUAUCUUAUAAUUUAGAACGGAAAGAUAACAUAAUUAGUCGGUGAGCUUUUCGAACAAACUCAAAUGUGAGGUUGAGAGGCUCUUCUCGUGCAAAAAAGCUGAAGCAGAGACAGACAUCAAAUCAACGACCACCACUGCCUAAAAUGCACAACCAUUUUCUCUUUACUCUUGUUCGACCCAGAAUACCAAAUUGCGGUCGCGCGAGGCUUCAAGCUAUGAAGAGACGACUUUCGCCCGCUCUGGACUGGCCGACUGGUCCUUUUUUUACCUUGCUGCAGGGGUCACGUGAGGGGGUAGACUGGAAGGCAAACGGAAUUCGCCGUGGCACCGUGCCAGGACGCAGCGCAUCGGCUGCCCAGUCUCCCCCUGCCUGCCUGCGCAGCGCAGCGUGCUGCCGAGCGUGACCGGCUUUGGCUUCUCGCACACGCGAGCUGAUCCGGUGACCGGUGUGUUUCUGGUGCUAGGGACUGAAACUGGACUCGGGACGGGAGGCCUCUCUGGCGUGACGCGGAGGAUUCGGGCUUGCCUUGGCAUCAGCCGGGGCGGAUGCGGAUGCAUGCGGCCGCGGGGGGUGCUGGGCUGGUCCUGGUCCUGGUCGUAAAGAAAGGAAAAGGCCCGCCUUGAUUGGCGUAUACUACUCCGUAGUGGCCAGGCCAGUGGCGUUGGCCUCCGCAACGUGCUUGAGAGUAGUACGUGCAUGCGGGCGCCAACGCCAUUAUUUUGUGAGCGAUGCUCGCCCGCCCGCUGGCAACCGCAAGCGACUGAUAAGUGCGGCACGGGCCUUUAAUUCCCUUCGGUUUGGGCGUACGUGUCGGCAGAUAGGACUGGACCCGACUUCUCACGCUAAUCCGAUCCUAGUAUUUUCUUUUCUCUGUUGCAGAGGCUUAUAAAGUCUAUGUUUAGUUCACUCCAAAACCUAAAAACUUUUCGAAAUUUUUGAUCACAUCAAAUCUUGUCGCACAUGCAUAAAGCAUUAAAUAGAUAAAAACAAAACUAAUUACACAGUUUGUCUGUAAAUCACAAAAUAAAUCUUACAAGGCCAAAAUACUCUAUAGAUUUGGAAUUGAGCUCAUGAUUUAUUAUCGGUGAUAACCAUGGUAUACCUUCCGGCUUUCGCACAUCUGUUGCCUGCCGCCAUAUGAACGGGCAGUCCCUUAUAAAAAAUACUAUAUGCUUUUGGGCGUACACCAUGGCUGGAUGCAUGAAACGCAUGGAGUGAUGGGAGAGACCGUGGUACUACUGCUGCUACAGCGACAAUCGACAAUAGACUAUGCAUGCAUGGUACUACUACGAGAGGGCUAGCUGGCACAUGCAUGGCAGGGCAGGUGGCACAUGCAUGCAUGCAUGCCUCGUUUCAAAAGGGGGGCUGGGGGGCGGGCCUGCGUGACAUGCAUGCACCAUGCAUGCGGAAGAGCUGCCGUGGCAGAGUCCUCCUCUGUAUCUGCAUGUACUACUCCUGUCCUCUCUCUCUCCCUCUGCGCCACUGAUCCUCUGCUCUCAAGGGAGGCCGACUGGGACCGCGAUGGAUCGACGGAUACAUACAUAUCCGGCUACACGAUGGGCGAUGGAUAUGAUGCCGAUCGAAUUGCCGAUGCGAUCCAGCUCCAGCCCCCAUCUAAUUGCUUCUCCAGCUGGUCGAUCCAUCCAUCCGUUCCUGUCUCUUUUGUACUACUACAACUCUACUAUUCGUACGUUAUUUAUUAUAGGCUGAUGAGUCUUGCGGACUGCAGAGAGACGACCGUGAUAUAGUAUUCUUUGCUUAUCAGUGAGGAGAGAGUUGGCGGAAUGAACGUGUGCUGCGGAUUGAAUAAUACUCGUUCAAAUCAUGCAUACUUCACAGGAGGAGGAUAAGCUAAAAUUAGAUCGUGUCUGUUAGGAUACCUGGUUCCCAAGAACAUGGAUCCAAAAUUGAAGGAGGCCUACUACACUAGAGGGUACCAUAUGAAUUAUGCAACCUCUUGUUGUGUGGCCAUUUGAAAUAAAGUUAUAUUUAUGACUAUAUUAUAAACUCAUACUGCCAGGCACUGAAACAUUUUUAUAUGUUAUAUAAUUGUAUAACAAUAAUUGGCCCCAGCCUACAAUAGAUCUCCCUCCGUUCCCAUCCCAGCCUCUCCCAGACGUGGGUGCAAUAAGAAUUUCCUUUUUAUAAAAAAAUAAUAUGAUUUUUAAUUUCUUUCUCCCGGAUCAAACUGUGGAGAUCCGAUUGAUAAUCACACGUCCGGCCAGUGGUGCUACAGGUGCUGCCUCUGUUUGAGCGCACCAGGCUACGCAAUAAAAAAAACUGAAAAAUGAAAAACAAUUUCUAUGUGAUGGCAAGUCAUCAAGGCAAACCCAAUCAACACACACACAGUCUCGCAGGCAUGGCAACAGAGACUCCGGCCGUCGAACAUCCAGUGGCUCUAGCGCACACGCAUGCAUGCGUCUUUUGCGGGCCAUGCAUGCACCGAUCCACGCACAGGCACGGCACCCGCCGUCCUCUUGUUUAUCGAUCCAUGCCGUUUUUUCUUUUCCUCUCGUUUAACAGCUAUACGUUUCUUUAACUUUUCUUCAUAUAUUAUGGCCUUGUUUAGUUUUAAAAAAUUUUGCAAAAUAAGAAUAAUAGUAUUUUCGUUUGUAUUUGACAAAUAUUGUCUAAUUAUGAACUAACUAGGCUCAAAAGAUUCGUCUCGUCAAUUCCGACCAAAUUGUGUAAUUAGUUUUUAUUUUCGUCUAUAUUUAAUACUCCAUGCAUGCGUCUAAAGAUUUGAUGUGAUAGAGAAUCUGAAAAAUUUUGCAAAAUUUUUUAGAAACUAAACAAGGCUUAUAUCAUAUGGUUCCUUUUGGCAUAUCUGAUGGUGACAAGUAAACAGGCUACCAUUUCUUUCGAUAAAAUGACUGGACGCGCGCGCGAAUCUGAGCGACGACCGAGCGAGCGAGGUUGUUGCUGCUUCCGGGUUUGCACGCACGAACUCUUUUGUAAUCCAAUCCAUUAAUUAAUUAAUCAAUCGUUUAACUUUCCAGAUGGUGAUUAAUAACUCUGCUGUGGGUGCACUUGCAUGCAUGUUGUAGAUUCGUACUCCUGUACUGUCCCUGAGUAGUUUCGUAGUUCUUUAAGUAAUCCAUUAUUAAUUAAUACUCAUGAUAGUAGAUUUGUAGUUCUUUAAGUUCAUGCGUUGUUCUUGGUGUAUAUAAUUUUUCUCAAUAAUUGGUUUUGUGUCAUGAUAGAACUAGCAUUGCAAAGGAGGCUCCUCUGUUCAGUUGAGAGUCUGUCGACGAAAGCUAGUCGGCAGUCUACCUUGGGGCAUACCCACGGUAGUAGUUUAUCGGUAGACGGUGCGCAAACUACGAACUUGAUGGUGACGCAAGACACGGACAAGCUUUUUAUCGAGGUUCGGCCGCCGAGUUGGCGUAAUACCUACGUCCUGCGUCUGGUUGUAUUGAUUUGUGUUGAGAGAAUAUGAUGUGUAUAAUCUGUCCUCUAGGGGACCCCUGCCCCUCCUUAUAUAUCCUGAAGGGACAGAGUUACAAGCAAAGUAUCCUAUUUGGUACAAUAUCUUGUAGCCUUGCGGUGCACGCCGACCAGUCGUGCGCCGCACGUCUUCAUCCUGUGGGCCGAGCCACCUCUGAUGGUGCGGCCCAUAUAGACCCAUGAGGGUAUAGGGGUUUAUACCCCCACAGAGUCCAAAACAAGCUGUUUUAGCUAUAUGAUCUCUCGAAAUCCUAUUUUACCCCAUGUAAAAACCGGUGGAUAUAAAUAAAAACUUGCUAAGAUCUAUUAAUACGUUUCUAAAUAAAAUCUGUGUUUUCAGUUACACAAUUUUUGGCAUCAUAUUAAUAUUAUUGACCAUUUCAGUUGUGUAUCUUAUGAACCACAAGAAACCAUGUGAUACACAAUGGAAGUCGGAAACAUAUAGAAGCAAAACAGUACCUACAGGGGAGAAUAUGUGCUCACAUAACAAAAGCAUAAAAUUCAAUGUUAUUUCAUAUUUUAAGAGUGGAUGUUAUAUUUUGUCCACAAAUUAUUUGGAAUUCCUCUACUUUACAUGGCAAUCAUAUUUUAAGAAAUUGAUUUAGUUUGCUAAUGUGAAUAACAUAGAUGCAAGAUAAAUGAUAUGUAUUAGUUUAAUUUAUUAGUGGAUAAUGAUGUGAACACUUUUGCAUGGUGGGGUAAUGUAUUAGUGGGAUGAUUUAGUGGAUGUUGAUGUGGACGCUUUGCAUGACAAUAGAUUUAGUUAGUGGGAUGCUCAAGUGGAUGAUGAUGUGGAUGGUUUGCAUGUCAAGAGAAUUAGCUAGUGGGGUUUAUCAAUAUAAGAGAUAUAGAUAUAGAUUAAAGGACAAGGGGUGCAUCUUAAUUGCUAAGCCUUUCAAAGACCACAUGACUCGCAAAAUGGAAACCACACUUGAGGAGACCAACCUAUGCAGAAAGAACUUGGAUCUCAUCACUAUGAUACUAGAACAAUAGAACAUCAAUUACUUCUAUGUGUAGCACAUUUGCUCUCAUGCAUAACACUUGAAUUAAUCUACCUCUUGCGAUAUUGAUUCACUAUGAUGCAAAUGAUAGUUCUGGAUAUUUUUUAAUCAAGCUACUCUUGCAAAAUUGAUAUACUUCAAUGCAAAUGAUCGCUUUGGAUAGUUUACAUGGGAUAGGUGUUGUUUAAUCUAUUUUUGUUUCAUGGAAUGGCAAAGAUUUACCGAUGCAUGUAUAAGUACUUCCUCAGUUGUUUAGAUGUUGUAUUCAUCUUUGGUACACAAACCAAGAAGAUAGUUAAUGAUGGGAUAUGUGUUGUUUUUAGAUGUUGUGUUCAUGAGAUAGGUGUUUGUUUAAUUUAGAUGUUGUAUUCAUCUUUGGUACAAAAAUAAGAACCUAAGUUUGGAAGUAUGUGCGACACACGUUUAGUUUCAUGACUCUCACACCAAAGCUCCACACCAGAAUACGACACGCUUUUCCAAUUUUUCUCCGCAAAAAGCUAGUACGACAUCUAAAGAAACAGAAGGAGUAGCUAGUAACCUUUAAGCCAUUGAUGUCGUAGCCAAAACCGUCAAUAUAAUUAAUGCUAAGUACAUAUAAGAAUUCCCUACGCAUUCUUAAAUACAGGCCAAAUCUUGUGAUACAUGAUUCGAUAUAUUAGGAAUUAGGAAUGACACAUAUCAUUUAUAGGGUACUUGGUUUGAGGAAUCAAGGCAUUAUUCUAGAUGAGGUGGUGCAUCAAGUGAGUCCAUUCUUUAAAUUUGAUAGAAUGACUCUAUUUCUCGUAACAGUGCUAAUUAUUAAUUUACGAGAAAUAAGAUAGGUUUAAUUCAUUCUAUUCCGCAAACCAAACAAAAAAUGAGAAUUGAGAAAAUAAUGGAUUAACUCAUUCCUCGAACCAACCAUCCUAUUAACUUCGCAAAGACAUGUGAUCCACGAGAUGGAAACCACUGAAAACCAACCACUAUGGAGAGGAACAUGGAACUCUCAAGCACUCGAUGAAAAAUGGUUGCAUUUCGCUGAUCAAUUCGAUACUUUUACAUUAGGCACCUGCUAUGUAUUCUCAAACACUGCCCCACAUCUCUCCUUAAUUAUCACACAAAUGAGAAACGUUCGCGUCGCUGAACCUCUCGCAUACAGUACUAUAUGCUAGAGCACGCACACGUACGUAUGGACCGUUUCGCGCGCGUCCAAUCGUAUAUAUUCUCGUCCCCACCAGAGGAAUUGGCACGGUGAGACGUAACUGCACACGUACAGGGUACGCCGUUGGAUCGGAUCGAUCACUAUGCAUGGAUCUAUCCGUCUAAUCGAUCGGUCGAAAGCCGGGCGCUUCUUGCAUGCGGCGUGCGCGCGCGCUCUCGGACACGUACAGGUGGUGCCCACUCUCCCUAGCCAACUAACCCCCCAUCUUCGUGCGUAGACGCGUACACCCGGCGCGUCGAUCCGGCCUGUUCGCCUUGCGGCCACGAUCGCGACGUCCCCAGCCAGGCCCGGGUGCUCUCGCUCGUCGUCAUCGACCUCAAAGCAUUAGCACGACACGUAGUUUCGUUCACUAACCCCGCGCGCGGUCCCACCACCACUAGCUAGUUCGAGCGAACGAAUACUGCAGGCUGAACGCGGAAGUGAAUAAACAAGGGUUUCGUCGCGAACCACCACCAUGCUUGGUUUCGUUGGGACGUGGUGGUAUGGGCAAAGAAAUGAGCGGAAAGGAGGACCGGCGCGCCUAUCUAUCGCCUACGGGGCUACGGCGACGGGGGCGAGGCCGUGACACGGCACCGAUCGAGCCAGGGCGACGCGAGAGGCGAGGCUGCAGCCCCGUCCGUCCGGCGUCCGCGCGCGGGGCACGAGGGGUCAGGGGUGGGGUGCCACCGGGCGAGCGCACCGUGCACCGGCGCGCCUCCAUGCCCGUUGCCGUCCGACUCUGCCUGGCCUGUUGCCCGAUUCCACGCCGCGACCCCGCGCGCGGGGCGCUCCUACUACUACACGCUAUACGCGUACGGCGUACCGCGCCUUUGCGCCUCGCAUCGAUGGGUCCGCUCUCGUCCGAGCCUGAUCGCCUAAAACAACUCCAUUAUUGCGUCGCAAGCUAGCGUGCGUACGUAACGACGUACGUCCUCUUCUACAGCACGGUUGUGGUGUACUAGUACUGUUGAUUUUUAGGAGUAUUCAUUUGCCAGGGAUCAUAUAUCAGCAUCCAGCAAAAUUAAAAUAUGAAAUAUAAUUUUUUUUUCCUGCGCCAUCACGUUGGUGUUCGAUGUGGGUUGCAUUGAGAUUAUACAACAGGGUUGUCCUUUUCGCUAGUUUAUUUUACAGCCUCAUGCAGCCGUGUUUAGAAGAAGGGGCCGGGACGACGGGAGGGCUUGGGAUUGAACGUGCAUGGGUGGAUCCAGCACGUUUUCAUCCGUUUCCGUUUGACUUUUGCAGGCGGGGCGGAUUGAAUACUCUAUCUAUAUAUUUAUAUAGAAGAGUUGCUUAUUGACAAGUCUUAUUUGAGGGUAUCGUCAACAAAUCCUUUUUAGUUUCGGUAUUUUGGCGUUUUAUUUUGUGGAUGAUGACUUAACGAAGGUGAUAAUAAUAUAAUAAUACUAUUUCUAUGCAUGCACGAUUCUCGCGGGACUUACGUGAAGAUGAAAAAUCCGCUAGGCGACCCAGACAUAUCGCCUACAAGCUCUGGAUAACGACAUGAUAGAGUGGUUGGGUUUCUCGGUUGCUCUCGGCGAACAACGCUGUCACGUUCACGAUUUAGGUUAUCAAUCAGUGAUAAUAAACCUAGAAGAAAACAGAGCAGGUUUAGUGAACAAAAAAAAUGCGGACUAGGUUUAGGAAACGAAAGGUUAAGGGAAAUGAUUCGAAUUACUAGUGCAGAUAUACACAGUCCUGGCAGUGGCGUGGUGAGACCCUAGGGGAGUUUGGUGUACACGUAGCAGCAGCGACGCUAGUACUACUACUGCCGCUGCUUUUCCUGCGGCCCGCUUUAAAAGCCUUCUCCUCACCUCCUCCUCCGUCUCCCGUCUCCCGUCUCGUCCUCUGCCCAUCGUCGUUAUUCCUAUCUCCCCCACGAUUCCCACGCCCCCUCCAAAAACCCCCCCCUCUCGCCUCACAGCGCGGCCGCCGGCUUGGUGUGGCGCCCGACCAUGUCGUCCCCGGCGCCGCCACAGCAGGCACCGCCGGCGCAGCCUCCCCCGCCGCCAGCCGCCGCGCCCCCCACCGCCGUGCCCACGACGGUCGUCUCCGCGACCCCCAUCUCGGUGCAGCUGCCGCCUAUCCAGCCGAAACCGCCGCCGCCACAGCCGCAGGCGCAGGCGCAGCAGCAGCCGCCGCCGGGUAGCGCUUCCGGCCCGCAACCGCCGACGCCGGCGCAGCUCUUGAAUCUGGGCCCGCAGCCGCCGCUGUACCGGGGCCCGAUCUGCUGGAACUCCUAUUGCAAGGACCCCGACCCCAACUCUUUCGGCCGCCGCGGCUGGAAGGUCCGCUCGGGCCCGCCCUACUCCGUGUACGCCGACCUCUGCGGGAGAUGCUAGUACGUGCCGUUCCCCUCUUAACCAACUUACUCUCUCCCUCUCCCUCUCCCCAUCCCUCUCCGCUCAAUCGCGCUGUCGGCGAGCCGUCACGCAUGCUCGAAUCGUGCCGGGGAAGCUCGCGCCGUCGGGGGCGGAUUCGCCUAUGGCGCCCACCGGAUCUACGUGGAGUGAUCGCCACGUCGUUGCGAUUUCGUGGGAUACGCGGGGGUUUUAUGUAAAGUUGGUGUGCUUUGUUUGGGUGCUUUGACUUGCGUGCGACUCUUAUUCGUGAUAUGCAUGCAUGCAUGUGCCUUACUGCUACUCUCCGCUCUCUGCUCUGUGGCCAGUUCUCAGUUUGAACAGGGGAUAUACUGCGAAACGUUCCAUUCCGAAGAGGGCGGCUGGAGGAACUGUGAAUCCUGCGGGAGGGUACGUGUUUUCUCUUGCAUGCUGAUUAUGCCUACUGGUGGUCAUUCUGCUUUUGUACCUGCUGAUUGCAAGGGGUUUGUGUUCUGAUUGAGCAGAGGGUACAUUGUGGCUGCAUCGUGUCCAUCCACAAGUAUCAGCUCCGCGACGCUGGUGGGGUUGACUGCGCCAAGUGUGCUCGGAGCACCCGUGCUGCCAUGGUAUGUCGUGAAAACUUUUUCAUUUGUCAAGAGCAUUUACUAUUAUUGGGGAUUGGGGACGAUGUGAUGGGGGUGUUAAGUGCAUGCAACAUGAGCCACUUGUACCCAUGGCUGCUUGCUGGCUUUUUGAGUUUUUGAGGUUUCAGACAUGCUGCUAUUUGGUUGGCAGCAUUAGUUAGGUGGAUAAUAUGUUGGUAAUAUCCUGCUUCUACAUGCUAGUGCCAUUAAUUAACUUAUUUAGUUAUGUUAAUAUGUCAAGGAUGUCAUGUCACAUAUUUAUUGAGACCAUGCCAAUGCUAUUUACUGAAGCUGACAAUUAUUUACAUAGAGAAUAUCGAUUGCAUAUUGAAGAGGCUUCCAUUUAUUAUAUUAACUGAAUAGUGGGAGUUUAAUCAUAUAUGUUCUCUUCAAAUUUAGUUCAUGUUUUGAUCCCUGAUUGACCACCAUUGGCGCUUGUGCUUCAUAGGCACCACCGAGUCCAGUAUGGACCGCCCCUAUUCAUACUUCUCAAAAUGUAUCUGAUAGAAGAGACAUUCCUGUGAAGAGCUGGAGACCUCCUGCCGGGCAAAUUUCAAGUCAGUGGAGACAGACUAACCUGUGGAGCAUGUCCAGUGUACAGUCAGACUUGCAGCAGCGUCUAGCUUUUGAGUUUGAUAGGCCUAGUGGUAGUGAAAAGUUACUUCCUGGGCGCACUUUUAUUCAUGCCCAGGAAAGGAAAUUUGAUGACAUGCAUGACAGACCAACAACUCCUGUGGGCAUGAACCACAUUAUAAGGGAGAGAGAUCCCAAUGGGCAUGGCCAGCCCACCAAUAUGGAUCCAGCAUACUCUUAUACCCUCUAUCACAGAGAUGGAUCACAUCCAAAUAAUCUUCAUGAUCCUAGUCACCCUGGUGGAGAAAACGACUCUUUGUCUUCCAGAAAAGUGGCAAUGCCAGAAGCUUCUACAAGUGCAGAUGCUGGCUUCAAGCUUGAUUCACAUCAUCCGUCUAAUUUAAAGGAUGAUCCACCAUCCCUUUCAGUUGGUCUGGCUUCUAAUUUUGCAUCACAGAAUGGACAGAAAGACCAUAUCAGAAUUGCACCUAGUCAGCAGCAAGCACAAAUGGCUUCCUCCUCAUUGCAGAAACAAUUCUAUUCUCACACUGUGACUGGUUAUAAUGAAUUCCAAGCACAGUUGCGCAAUGGAAGACCAAGAAUGGAUGCAAAGGCGAGAUCACAGUUACUUCCCCGCUAUUGGCCUAGAAUAACAGAUCAAGAGCUACAGCACUUAUCUAGCGAGUAUCCGACAUAUUCUACUUGCAUUAAUGAGUAAUUUUCCUUAAAGAUAUUACUUUCUAUAUUCAUACUUCUCGUAGAUAUGUUAUUUAUUUGAAUUCUAUUGAGUUUUCCCUUAACUUUCAAACAGUUCAAAUUCUGUUAUUACUCCUUUGUUUGAAAAGAUGUUAAGUGCUAGUGAUGCUGGGCGGAUUGGUCGUUUAGUUUUGCCAAAGAAGUGUGCUGAGGUGAGUUAUUAAUUUGAUUGCCAUUUUUUGUUUUGAAAAUUCCCUGUGAUUAUAUUAUCCUAUGGUGUAUUGUUAUUGGGCAUGGAAAAUUGCUUCUCGAUGUGUGUGUUUUUUAAUAUGAAAAAUAGGUUUACCACUUAUCUUGUGCCAUGUCAGAAAGUUUAGUUUUAUGAAUCUAUGAGCUAAAAUUUAUCUUUGUUUGUUAUCCUGGGCCAUGUCAUAAAUUGUUAAUAGUUAUUGAACUAAAUUUGGUCGGAUGCGUAACUAAAUCACGUAGUAUCUAUGGAAGGCAGCACUUGUUUAAGACAACUCUGUUGGGAAUUCUUUUCGUGGGGUACAAUCAUAUUAUACACUAAUUAAAGUAGCACUUGUUUAAGAUCGUUUUUUUUUGUGCCUUAUCCCAAAAAAGUUCCCUAAUGGGAAAAUAACAUUUUGGACAGGCAUACUUCCCUCCGAUCUCCCAACCUGAAGGGCUCCCUUUAAAGGUUCAGGAUGCCAGUGGUAAAGAAUGGAUAUUCCAAUUCCGUUUCUGGCCAAAUAACAAUAGCAGGAUGUAUGUAUUGGAGGGUGUCACACCUUGCAUUCAGGCAAUGCAGUUACAAGCAGGCGACACAGGUACAUAUCUUUUCUUAGACAAAUUGAUACUAUAGUAGAUAGUAUGUAGUGUGUCUGUAUGGCAAAACAUACAUAAACAAAAUGUCCUAGUCCAUUACUUGGGGUUCAGCUUGCCCAUUUUAGGGGCACAUGUCUAAAUUGUUCAUGUACACGCGAUGAGAUAAACAUUUGUUUUAGUUAUGUAUAUGUAUUCCCAUCACCACUGCAUGUCUUAAAUACUCCCCCCAUCCCAAAUUAUAAGACGUUUGACUUUUUUGACCUCAAAUUUGACCACUCAUCUUAUUCAAAAAAAAUAUGCAACCAUAGUCAAAUUUAAGUCAUUUUUGAAGAACUAUUAUUAAUAAACCAAGCCACGACAAAAGAAGUGAUAUUUUGCACAAAUUUUUGAAUAAGACGAGCGAUCAAGCUUGGUGUCACAAAAGUCAAACGUCUUAUAAUUUGGGAUGGAUUGAGUAUAAAUAUGUGACCUGUCUGAUCUUUUGCUGCAAUGAUAAUCUUAUUACUUUAUGAUCUUCCAAGUAGGUUUUGUUUUAUUUUCCAUACUUCUUUCGUUAUCCUUGUAGCUAUCAUGUUUUUUCUAGUUUUAUUAACCCUAUGCUAUUUUUUUCUGUAGUUACCUUCAGUCGAAUAGAUCCAGAAGGGAAAUUGAUCAUGGGCUUUAGGAAGGCAACUAAUAAUUCUUCUGAACAGGUAUACACAUUGAAGUACUUAGUUACAUCUUAUUGUUCCUCCAAAUAAAAAGGGCUUUCAAAAAUUAAACCUCUAGCACAUUGAUUGCACACACUUAAUACUGUUUUUGAACUGAUAAGUCAGAUGCAUCGAAUAGUGUUUGCUUAUGAUGAAAUGCAUAUUACUGUCCAUACCCAUUUAAUCUUCACAACUUGGUUUGCAUGCUGUACUAUUCUAAUUUCAAGAUUCAAGCUCACCUAUGAUUUCUUCUGAAUUCUUGUGCAGUUCUUUCCCCUCAAUGGUGGCUAGACAUUCCUGAUUAUUAAAUUUAUUUUUUCUUCAAUAUUCUUGAGCAGUUCUUUUCCCUUCAAUUCUAAUACAUGCUGUAUCACAAUGGCAGAUAUUUUUUUAAAGAUCUGAUCCCUUCAACUAUAUUAGUAUUCUACAGGCUGUUAAAGUUUUAAUCUAAAAAUAAUCCUCGCCCAUUGUCUCAUUUUAACAGGAGCAAAUUACAAAGCCUGCCAAUGGUGCCCCGGCAACUUCAGAAGCAAAUGGUAAAGUUUCUGGUGCAGAUUCUAGUCCAAAUGCUGCAGUUUCCCGUCAAAACAAGGUCAACAUAGAGACCAAAAGUUCUAGCCCUGUGGAACAAGCCACUGCAUUGAAAAUGGAUAAGGAUGGAUUAACACAGAAGGAAGGGCCAGGAACUGCUAGUUCUUCCCCAGGUUCUGUCAAGAGAAAAACAACUAAUCUUGGUCAAAAGAAUAAAAGAUUACGGAUGGAUAAUGAGGAAUCAAUGGAGUUGAAGAUAACGUGGGAGGAAGCACAAGAAUUGCUUCGUCCUCCUCCUAAGGCACCAUCCAUUGUUAUUGUUGAUGGCCAUGAGUUCGAGGAAUAUGAGGUAUAACAAUCCUUUCAACACAUUACUUUGGAUUUGCAUUCUGAAAUUGAAACUUGUUUCUGAGAAUGUCUGAAGGACAAUAUUUGCAUGCUUGGCUUCUUUUGCUGUUUAUUCUUAUUGCUUAAUACAGAAGAAUAAAUCACACAUGUUUCUGUAUUGAAAUUGUGUGUUUUUCAGGAGCCACCGGUACUUGGAAGGAAGACUUAUUUUGUAGCAGAUAAAUCAGGGUAUUUUUUUUGAACUCAAAAGCUUCUAAGUGUGACUUUUCUAUUAAUCUAAAUUGGGUGCGAUGAACGUUAACUGCUUCUGUUGAUGUUCAUGCUAAUACCAUUUGUUUUCCUACCAUGCGUAUCAAGCUAUCUGCUAUUUGUUUGUGUUUUUAUAUAGAAGUGGUUCAAAUUCAAUGUGUAAUCAGCUGUUAAUGCUUCCUAGAUAUGAGUUAUGAAGUGAAUCAGUGGCACUAAUUUAACAAUACUUUAACAGUUCGGACCAUCAAUGGGCCCAAUGUGAGGAUUGUUCCAAAUGGAGGAAACUCCCAAUAGAUGCCCUGUUGCCCUCCAAAUGGACCUGCUCUGACAAUAAAUGGGAUCCAGAAAGGUGAUCUUCUCUCAAUGUUCCUUUAAGGCAAUUUGUGCCCAUUUUAUUUUUGUGGCAUAUGAAAACAUGAUGAAUCAUCUUUGCAUCCAUGGGUCCCACAAGUCGACAAAGUAUUUUUUUUUUUUCGUUCAAAGCAUUUCAUUCAAAGUGGUGUAAUUGGAAAUAAAUCUUAACCCAAAAGGUUGUCUGGUGAUCUGGUCUUUAUGUAUAUGUUAUAUUGAUUGUAAUAAUAAUUUAUUCCAUGUACAUGUAAUCAAAAUCUGUAGCAAAAUGUUGGACAAAGAAUCAGUUGAUAUUGUUUAAUCUGAAUUCAGAAAUUUGCUAUAUGAAAAGAGGCAUCACAUAGAAUUUCAUCAUUGAACAUGUUCUAUGAAGUAUAUGAUGACUGCAGCCUCCUGACAUAUUCCAGCUGCACAUGUACUAGAUAGAAUGUCUGUACAGAACACCACAUUACAGUUUUCAUUGACUUGAUGCAACUAUACUUGCAUGUGCACAUAUAUUUUUAUUCCUCAGUAAGUUAUCAAAAUUAGAAUUUCAUCAUUGAACAUGUUCUGUAAAGUAUAUGAUGACUGCAGCCUCCUGACAUAAUCCAGUUGCACAUGUACUAGAUACUAGAUAGAAUGUCUGUACAGAACACCACAUUACAGUUUUCACUGACUUGGUAUUCUUUUAUGGGAUUAUUUAUUAUUUAUGCAUAGGGACACAUUACUUGCACCCAGUGCUAAACACAUUACAUCAAUCAGGUCAGUUCCCAGACUAGUUUUGCCUAGCCUUGCCUGCACAAGUGAGCUCACCUGGCCAGCUCGGUCGAGUUAAAAUCGCUCUCCCACCAUAGCAAGCAAAAAGCUUGCCAGUGUAGACUCCGAGGAUGAGUUGCAUGAAAUCCAAACACCUUCCUUUGGUCACCUAGCUAGCUCAAGGCGAGGCAAGGAUUCAUCCAAGAACCAAAUGUUAGAUGCAUUUUUUUAUGAUAGAUUUGGAAAUUUUUAUGCGAGUCUGUAUGUAAAGUGCAUGCUGAAGAAUGCUGAUAGCUUUCUAUGCAUGAGUAAACCUAGGAUUAAAGUAUCACUACUGAAAUUGAGCACUGGAGCUGCUUAGGAUUGUAUGGAAUCAUUUCCUGUUAAACUGUGUUUAGCACUGGGUAGAAACUGGAAAGUAUUAAUUCUAUUUCUCGGGUGUUCUAGAAGAUAUUCAUGUAUGGUGAUACGCUAAUUACUCCCUCCAUCCCAGAAAAAUUGAUGUUCUAGGAUUAAAAAAAUGUCCAAAAAGAACUUGAUGUUUAACCUCUUGGACAAUAGAUUUUGCCAUAUUAGUGUGAGAUUGCAGUCAUGUUUAUCUUGAAUAAAUAGAUUUUGCAACUGCUUGGUUUACUCAUCACUACAUCUUAGUUAUUUGGUUAAACACCAGUAUUUUUUUUUUCUCUAGGUCUUCUUGCGAACAUGCACAGGAAAUAAGUAUGGAGGAGCUUGCAGAAAUCAUUCCUAUAAAAUAUGGUAUGGUACACACGCCCUCUGUAUAUAUAUAUAUAUAUAUAUAUAUAUAUAUAUAUAUAUAUAUAUAUAUAUAUAUAUAUAUAUAUAUAUAUAUGUGUGUGUGUGUGUGUGUGUGUGUGUGUGUGUGUGGAAUUUGCAUUUUCAUUGGUCUCUUUCUAAAUAAAAAUGCCAAAGAUGCAUUUCAUACAGAAAAAGCGGAUCGAUCCACUAUGAACUUUGUACUCUGCAUAGAGCUGUAACACAAGAAAAGGUUUGGACCAUGAAAGAUGCUGAUCACUACUGAUAACGAGGCAUGCCACAGUCCUAGUGCAUGCUAUAGCUAGGUACUUAGCUGCAUUAAAAGGAAAUCCAAGCUCCUCUUGUGUUUUCAGAAAAAUGCAUGGUGGAGCUUGCACAACCCUUUACAUGAUGGGCUAUGUUUAUUUUCGUUCUGUUGGGUCCUUUUGUUGGUAGCAGUGUUGGGAUUUCUUGCAUUGUACUUCCUCCGUUGUAAUAUAUGAUGUUUAGGACAAGCUAGCCAGUCAAAGAAUGAACUAAUCAGCUUGUCCUAAAGGUCAUAUAUUUAGAAAUGGAGGGAGUGGGAGUCAUGCAUUUUAAAGGUAGGCCCAAUUUGCAUAACAUCCCUUCAUUAUUCUAUGUAAGAUAGUUUGUGUAAUGUCUACUACUCCGUUCCAAAUUGCAAGUUGUUCUGGCUUUUACAUAGCUUCUGCUACAUGCCUACAUACCUAGAUGUUUAGAUACGUAGCAAAAGCUACUUCCUCCGUUCCAAAUUUUAAUUCAUUUUAGAUUUUUUUGAAAAGCCGGAACAACUUACAAUUUGGAAUGGAGUAUGUUGGAAGUUUCAUUUACCUGUACGAUAAUCUAUAACUGUAUUUAAUGGUUUGUUGUAGCCAAAAAGCCCAAAUCGAGGAUGGAAUCUGAUGCUAUUGAUGCUUCGGAUGGGCUGGACACACUUGCAAACCUUGCAAUUCUUGGCGAAGGUGAAGCUCUUCCUUCGCAGCCAACAACGAAACAUCCUCGCCAUCGUCCCGGCUGUUCAUGCAUUGUCUGCAUCCAACCACCAAGCGGCAAGGGUCCAAAGCACAAGCAGACAUGCACCUGUAACGUUUGUAUGACGGUUCGCCGCCGGUUCAGGACGCUCAUGCUUCGACGUGAGAAGAAGGCGACAACAGAUACGCCUCGCAAGAAAGAGACAGGCCAAUCCAGUGAGAAGGUCACACAAGCUGUGUCCACCCCGCCAGUAGCCAGUGCCAGUGCAACCAGCCCCCCUCGGAAAGCAGAUGGAAACGCCGAUGGGGCUGAAGACAUGGCCGUGGAUCACAAGGUGACAUCCUCUCCCGUCAAGAACCAUAUUGACCUGAACAUCCAACCUGAUCGGGAUGAUGAGCAGUCACCGAAAUCUGGUACGGCUGGUUUGUUGAGCCGAGACAAUCCAAGUUAAGAGAGUGGGUCGCGUGGAUUGCCUGAUCAUUCCGGUGAGUGGACAUAGAUAACCGAUCGAACCCAUCCUUCCGAAUGUCUAUACCCAUUUUUUAUGAAAGAUGUGGCGUGAGCCGUGAGGUGUUAGUGUAGCUGUUACCUGUUACCUUCCCAUACCAUAGAGCCGGUUUCCUUUUUCCCUCAGACUCCAGUGGUAAUGUUUAUCGUGUAUACCAUAGGGCAGGAUACCCGUAGGUGUUGCAUGGGGCCUUGCAUACCCCUGUAUGCAUGUAUGUAUUGCAAGACCAGCUCGUUUCGGCUGAAUGUAAACCGUAAGUUGCUAAUGUACCCUGCAUAUAUUUCUCCCGGAGUUGGCAGGAAUUGCCACAUUCGUAUGUGUGUUCAGGAUGAAUGAGCUUUGUCUUACGAGUUUGCUCCAUUGUUUAUGUGAAAAUGAUGCCAUUUGCGGGCUGGCAAUGAAGAUUGGCGUCUAAAGCUAAGCCUAAGAGCAAGUAUAACAAGAGGUUGUAUGCUGACGUCGAAGAAAGAGAAGAAAAACGAGCUGUAAGUUUAAGAGUUAGCUUAUGCAAUAGAACAAAAAACCAUUAUAUGAGUGGGUAGAUAGAUUUGCUGUAAGUUUACCCAACGAGGGACAAAUUUGUGAGAGAAACAAUGGGUCAUAGGUAAGCUAACGUUAUACGAGUAUUGAUGGAUUUGCUGUAAGGUUAUCACCACGGUUUGGGCAAACUUGAGGAACAAUAUCCUAACUAGACUGGUUAAACCUACUUCAAAAACUAAAAUACAUGGCCGGUGGCUGAAUGGCGCGAUUAAGGCCCAAGUGCGACGUUAGUCGGUAAACCGAUUGCGUUGUGUGAAUUCAAAGUCUGGCCUCGCACGGCCGGUCAUCCUCACCUCCAGUGCAGGCGAGUGUGGGACAGAACCUGCUCUUGCCGGGGAGUAGGAGGUCCGCACUGAUUGCAGCAGUGUAAAGAAGAACACAGAAUCAGCAAAGAACCAACGAAAUAGGAUGCGACGAGCAGCAACUAGAGUACCCAAAAAGAGGUUUGGGGAUGUUCGGGCAUCAGUAACCAGCACCUGUCACUGCUACCAAGUACAAUCAAACUUGUCCUUUCUCUUGUGCAAAAUCUAUCACUAUCACCUUGUUUACUUGACAAAACCAUUUACGAGUUACUUGACAAAACCAUAUCUUACAGAGACGAAGAACUAAAAUCGAGAACGAUCACGGAACAAAAACAAGGCAGAACCCUUCUUGCGAGCCGCAGCUCGCUAUAUUUGCAGCAAGUCUUUCAGUAACGGCUGCCCCUGCCAAGCAUGUCGUUGUAGUGCUUGAGCGACUCUUGCCGCUGCAGCCGCAUCUCCAUGUUGAACUUGUGGAUGAACGCCUCCACGCGGCGGUUCAGCUCGUCCUGCCCCAGCGACGGCUCCCGCCGCACCGGCACGGGAGGCGCCGCCUUGCUCCUUCCAGCGCCACCAGCGUCGUUGAAAGUCUCGGCCUUCCGCAUCGCCGCCCCCGCCGGGGCGACGGCCGCUGGAUCGACCUCCCCGCUGCUGCCGCCGCCGGACGGACGGCGCCCCGGGCGGGUGUCCCAGGUGUCGGACUUCUUGAGGUGCCGAGCUAGCGGCGGGCCCCGGCCCUCCGUGAUGGCCUUCCACGUGCUCUCCAGCGUCUCCUCCUUCCGCGGCCGCGCUACCCGCAGAGCCCUGCUACCUGCAAUGCCCAGAAUUGCCGUUGGUACUCGAACAAACAAACAUUCGUAUCUAUAUCUUCGUUGAAUUCGACCAAAAAAAAGGGCGCAAUUCCUAGAAAACAGAAUUGCCAAAGCUGAGACUUUUCAAUCGUGCUGAGGAUUGCAAAAAUGCGUGACCAACCGUUGUUACCUUCGGGGCUUGGUUUGGCGGCCUUCCUGCUGAACCUCGCCGAGACCAGCGGCUUCUCCCUGGAGUUGGUCAGGUCCGCGAACGGCGGCACCUCAGUCUCCACAUCCGCGGCCACCUCCGGCUCCGCGCCCCUCCGACGCGGCGUCCAGGUCGACCUCGAAAUCGAAAAGUCCUCGUCCACCUCGUCUUCCGGCGCCGGCGCCGGCGCCACCGCUACAGUGUGGAUCUCCACCACAGGCUCCUCGACAGGAGCGACCUCCGCGGCCUUCACUGCCACCAGGGGCACCACCGCAGGCACCUGCAACGCAACCGCCGGCUGGAUCCCAUCCCGCACCAUCUCCUCCCCCGCUACUCCUCCUCCUCCUCCGAUGGCGUCGGCGUCGGCGGCGGGGGCAUACGAAGGUGCCGACGGACGUCCGCCGCCGCCGCCGCCGCUCGGCUGGAAGCGCGACGAUGCGGCGAUGGAGAUGAUGAUGGCGUUGAUGACGAGGUACAGGUACGGCGGCGUGAGCCAGGUGGCGGCCACGGCGCGGGCGCGCGGCAGCUCCUCCGCCACGAACGCCGCCGCCGCGGGGCCCAGGAACCGCACGCCCACGGCCGUCAGCAGCGCCGCGGCGGCCGCCGCCGCCGCCUUCACCGUCCGCGCGUACCCCAUCGAUCUGCUCCCCGCCGUACUCUUCUCCUCCUCCUCGCCCGCGGUUCCAGCGCUCCUCCCCCCCGAACCCAGCACGAGCCAAGUGCCGCACCCUUCCCGUGUCCUCGUCUCCUCGACCGCUGCUGCUUGUGCGGCGUCCGCGGCAGCUAGCGAAACGGAGGCAAGCGAAGCGGCCGAGCAGGGAGGUGGGCGUGGUGGGGCGAGGAAUUUAUAACGAGGGGGGGCCGGGCCGAUGGCGAGACGCGGGCCAUCGGAUGAGGCCCGCGUGAACGGUGGGAGAUGCGUGUGGUGUGGUGGCGUGUAGUGUAGUGUAGAGCGUCUGCGUGCCUGUGCCUGGGCAUGGCUUGCUUCGUUAGAAAGGUGUCCAGGUCGAGAGAUCAGCAUCAGCCAGCGGCAGACCGGCAGUGGAGGGGAGUGUGACCGUGGGUACGCCAGGGUCCAUGGCCGGUGGCGACUGGCAAGUGGACGGCGACCUCCCCGGGAGCCGAACGCCCACGGGAAUUCCACGACGGGGUCUGUCUGUCCACCGGCCACGCAGUGAUCAGACGGCUCGGGUCGAGUGAGUGAGUGAGUGUUGCAUGGGUCUUGUUCCGUCGUUCGACAGCGCUGGAACCGUGUCAUGGGCAUUGCAUUCGCACAGUUUUUGGGCCAUGUGGGGUUCGUUCGUUCCAGCAAUCAGCAACCUGUGUGUGUCCCGGACGGACUCCGCAAGCCUGCUGGGUGGUGCGGGACACAGCUCCAUACGAAACUGACGCGGGGGGAGCCGAGGGAGGAGGACGGCGGGCGGCCGAGGUUCAAACGGUCAGAAAAAUAACCGUUGGGUGCGGUGGGGGAGAGAGAGCGGGCGCGCGGGCCCGCGCCGCAGGCGGCCACGUUUCUGGUGGGCCUGACGUGCAGCCACGUAUGCGGGCCCCCUCGCGCCUAAACUAAACGCGGCCUCCCGCUUUCUCUGACUCCCGGGCCACGGCCGAGCUGGCGGCGACGUGCGCCCGUGCCGCCGUUUCCAAGGCUACGGCGAAGAGCCCAGCCCACUUCUGAUCGGUGUCGCUGUAUCAGUGCUCGUGUUCGUGUCUAUCUUGAGUUCUUGGCUCCACCUGUUCCCCGGCCGUCCUGCACCCGUACCGUACGUGCAAGCUCCAGGCUUCCAGCCGUCUGCCACGCCGAUUAAAAAUGCACACACUAGGCCAAUUGUGCAUAAAUUUGGACCCAAGCAUGAUCUUUGAUUGCUAAAAAAUAAGCAAGAUAGACAGACGAGGUAGGAGGCUAGGAGCAGAUGCAAUUCUCUUUUGGCAAGAAUAUGAGGGGGCAUGCAUCCUUCUGGUCACAAACACAUGCCGUUUUAAUUUAAUUAGAAUAGAGUUUGGUGUACAGAUACCAAAAAUUUGUGAAUUAUAUAGUGAAUACAUUAUGUGCAUGGUCUGUACUUGCACGCACCAUGUGCUCUCGCUUUGCUACCGUACAAAAAGAAGUCACGAAAGACCGUGUCGUCGAGACGUGGCGUACACGUGUUCCGGUGUUCGUCGUGGUGGUACGGAAAUACGUGUGGCCCGUACGUACGCGGUGCACGAUGACCUCAUGCACGGUGGUGUGGCGCGCCCCAAAUACGUACAGCGUACAGGUGCAGCUCGGAGGGAUUGCCUGCCUACUUUAGCUUGCCCAUACAGCCGUGCCUCGCCGGAUUCGUAUUGCGCUAUGCAUGCGCCGGAAGCUAGGUCAGGUUUUAUUAGGUGGUGAGCCGGUGGAUCCAUUGGAGUGGCCUAGUUCGACUCGCCAUCUAUCUGAUCCGAUCGACGACCCCUUGCUCUGUUGCGCACGCAUGCCGUAUGCCUAGCCUGCCGCUUUCGCCUGCCUAGUGCCUACCACGCCCGCCUCUUCACCUGCAGCCACAAAAACUACGCCUGUGCGUAGGGGGGACUAGAGGCAGCACCACCGGCCGGAGGCCGCCGCCGCCGCCGCUCUCUCCCCUCCCGCGCGCGCCGCUGCGAUGUGUCGCCUCCUCUGAUCCUCACACGCACGUCUCUCGUGCGUGCCACACGCUCUUGCGCCACAAUUUCCGUCAAAUAAAGGACCGUGCCGGCGCCGCCACUCAGUAAUUUCCUCCGACUGUACUACUGCCAUUAGCUGAUUGAUUAGCACACGCGAUUACGAGAGUUUGUGACGGCGCCGCGGGAAUAUAAAAUUAGUUAGGGUACUCACAAUGCAAGACUCUAUCACAGAGUCCAAGACACUUAAUUACAUAUUAUUUAUGGUAUUUUGCUGAUGUGGCAGCAUAUUUAUUGAAGAAAGAGGUAGAAAAAAUAAGACUCCAAGUCUUAUUUAGACUCUAAGUCCACAUUGUUCGAGGUAAUAAAUAACUUUAGACUCUAUGAUUUAGUCUGUAUUGUGAGUGCCCUUAGCGGACGACGUACGGGCACUGCGCGUACGUGCUGGAAGCGCAGCGUGGAUCGGCACCGCCUCGUUCGUUUGGCACUUUGGCUGAUAAAUUAUGAUAAAAAUUAUUAUUAGCUGAUUUGUUAUAAGAGAAAAACACUGCUGAAUAGUCAUUAGAUAUUGAUUUGGCUGAUAUGAAAAUUUGACGAUGAGCGCCUACCUGAUAGUUUCUGGGCUGUGUGUCGCUGAGAUGUACGAGUACAACACAGUACAAUACAUUUUUUUUUUCGCCAGCGUGUGCAAGUGUGUCCAUGCAUGAACUACUCCGAGUGUGGAUUUACCAACAUUUGCAUCGUUAGAUUAGACAGGCAGCCGCGGGUGUGUUUGGUCCGGGCUGUUUCCUGUGAUGACGAACCCUGCUGCAUGCAGAGUCGUCCACUGUCGUCACCAAGCACACACGUAAUCACCCGUGUUAUGCAAGUGUCUACACGGAACAGCGCUUCUGGCAGCGACGUUAAUGAAAUUCAACUACCAAAGUAUCUCCGGCCGGUGCAGUAGCUAGCUAGCUUACUAGUACUACACGUCUACUCCUACUAUACAAAGUUUUUCUGUCGUUAAUUAUUCCGACUGCUAGUAGCACUUGUAUAAUUUGAAAAUUAAAGUGUAGGAGGUGUCUCUGUGGCUAGUGUAGUGUAGUAGUAUAUGAUUGAUUGGGCUCCCUGCGCGGAUCUCCGGGAGAGCGACGGUUCCCAAACCCGGCGACGUCGGCGGCACUCGAUCGGGAGGCAGCGGAAGGGGCGACCUGGCGCCACCGCGCGACGCUUGCUUCCCGCCUGCGAACUCGUUCGUGUCUCCAAACCAACGGAGCAGCGCUACCGGCCUGCUAGCUAGUGCGUCGACUUUUAGAUCCAGACCGCUCUGUUUUACCAUACAAACGUCAGCAAGUCAGCAUGCACGACGCAAAAGCAUGUACGUAUUAUAUAUUGUAAUGCAGAAAGUAGUGUGGUUUAUAUAGAUAUUAGUUGUAGUGUCAAUUAAGCAUUUUGCUGAUAUGGCAAUGUAGUUAUUGAAGAGAGAGUAAAAAUCAUAGAAACUGAAACCAUGUCUAUACAAAAUCAAAGACAUGAAGUGAUAUAAUUGGCUAAGAAUAGAGAGAGAAUGAAUAUGAUUGGAUAAAAAAAAUAUUCUAUAGAAAUUAUCCAUUGAGACCAUAGUUUUUAUAGUUUGUAGCAUUAGAAGUGCCCUAAGCCUUGGCUGGAGCUAGCGUAGUAGUAUGUAUAUUUUUUGGACCAGUACGUACGUUAGUCAGUGUGGAGGAUGCCUGUUACAUUAGGGCAGUCCCAAUGCAUAAACCUAGGUAGUUUCUAUAUUCUAGGAUAUUGUACCCAAAAAACUAUUUUUCCCAACGUAUCUACAGAUUUGCGGAUCCAAAUAACAAUCUGACUACUCAUCUCGUGUAUGCUUCUCUAGAUCCUGUGUGGACACGUUGCUACAUAUUAGCAAGAAACGGCGUAGAGGCGAGACCGCGAUGCCGGAUUUGGAUGGCUAGAGCGUCGAGCAUGCUUGGCAUGGUGAGCUGCGGGAGGUGCCCCUGCUUUCUGCUAGCCUUGGGAGGCUAGGAGCAUGGAAGGACGUAGGUACGUACGUAAUACGUAAGGUGGCAACUUUUUUUUCUGAUUGAACUAGCUUCUUUUGUCUUUGCGUACACAUGAUACCCCCGUCAUCUGCUACCGCGUGGGAGCCAACUCCUUUGUGCAGCACAGCAGCGGCGUAGCUUGUGCGACCUUCACGGCAGCGAGCGCGGCAGCAACAGCCUACUGCAUAGCAGGUCGGCGCUGCGGUAAGAGAGGAAGACACCACCUAGGUCUCCCCAACGCAAUUUUCACGGUUUCCUACGUCUCGUUCCAUGCGUGGACUCCGUUUCUCCUCAAAGAAACGGUUUCCUUCUUGUUGCCUCUCUCUCUUCAAUUAAUUCCUUGACACAUCAGCAAAAUAUUUAUGUAGAAACCACCGGUGGAAGUUUUAUCUGAGUUUCAUUCACAUUAAAUAGGCUGCCACAUAGGCAUUUUAGAUGACAUGCCAGUGUAUUUAAGAAGAGAGAGAAGAAAUGAGUUUCAUCUCUCUUGGCACGGUUACCAACUCUAUAUGAGUCUUGAAAUUAAAUGGCUAUGAAACUAUGGAAUGAAACUCUCCAUUGAGAGUGAGUGUUUCAUCCAAGUUUCAUUUCAUUUUAUAUGACAUGGCAACUUUGGAAACAACGCUAUGAAACUCUCCACUGAAACUGGCCUAAAUAUGCAAAUUCAAUGCGCUGAGAUGGCUAAACAACGUGAUGUACGUCAAAACACUUUUGGUCCUUGAUCAAAUGAUCGUGCUCUCGGGUUGUGUGGCCACAUGUUGCCAACCCGGGGCCCUGGGCGCCGCGCCCGGCGUCGGAGCGAGAGUACUUUUCCUGAGGACGUGUGGAUGCGCUGCGUGGCGCGUGUUGCGUUGCCAACCUAGCCGGUCGGGCAGUGUGCAGUGUGCGUGUGCUUGCACGCGCGGCCGGCCGGGCCGUGCCGAGAGCCGUGCAAAUUAUGGAAACAGCUGGUUCGUGAAAAAAAAAAAAAGAGGAUACGCGCGCGUUCGGUCUGUGGCCUGACCACCUGACCGCCUGACCUACCUACUGUACCUACCAACUACUACCAAGCCAUGAUUAGUUUGUCAUUUCCGGCAUGUGAGUCACCCUACCAGCGGCAAGGUUAGCCGAGCCGGGCCCAUGUUGUGCAGGGCCAGAUUUAGUAACGACCUGUAGUUCUUGCAAGGAAUGGUUAGUUGUUUAGACUAAUAACCAUAUAGGAAGUACAUGGUGCAUGGAUCAAUUGACUGGUCACCAGCCAGCUGGUUAUCCAGAGACGCGAGCUUUCUGAUCGCAUUACGAUUCGGUUUGCCGUUUUCGAUGAGCCGAAAAGGGUAUGUACUACUCUGCCGAUUAAUUCUAAUCUUUAUACUAUAAAUUUGUGUGGUAGCCUUGCAGUACUUGCAUAGUUGCAUCUAUCGAUUGCUUUGCUGAAGAUGAUGAGAAAGACCGACGCCGAGUGAGUGGCUCUGAGGUCGUCGUCGACGUUGCGUCCGUGCCUUUUGCGUAGUUGUGUUGCCUGUUGCAUGCGCGCGCGCACCGACCUUUUUGGAGAGUUUCUCGGUUCUCAUCAUUUGCAUCGGCGACGGACCACGGAAUUGGUCCGUCCUUCGUUCGUCAUUCAGAGACCAGAAGUGCGUAGUGAUGCUGUGGGCCGUGAAUUAAUUCGCCGUGAUCAGUCGCCAUUUGAUGCAUGAUUUGGUUGCCGCAUGCACGUCUUGGUAGGAACGGAAGCUGCUGGAGGAAUCCUUUUUCACCGUACCGCCCACACACGCCUGUUUAAUUAUUCAACCCAGCGUCUUGCAUUUGAGAUCGAGGAAUUAUUGUUUCCAGUGUUCUGGCUGUUAGGUGUAUGCGUGGACUAGCUGCUUGUGCCGUACCCAAAGUGCCUAGCUAGGUGGAACACACGACGACGACGCAUGAGAACUUUUCGUCACAAUGACAGGCGGCUGGCGGUCAUCGAGCCGGCAAUUGCUCCCGAGUAACCACAAGGUCUUUCUAAACUACUCCUAUUCCAAAUUAUAAAAUGUUCUGAUUUUUUUAUAUACCUUGAUUUUGUUAUGUAUCGAGACAUAUUUUAUAUCUCAGUGUAUAAGAAAUUUAUAAAUCUAGAAAAAAUUAAAAUGUCUUGUGUAUAAAGCUAGGCAUGUGAAGUACGUAGGCACGAGAGCAAUAUUGCUGCCCACACCAAGUAAUUAGGAUAAGUUAGGCUUGAUGUUAAGAAAUAUGAAGGUGUUAGCGCUCGGACGUCCAGACAAUAGAACUUAGAAGGUCACAAGUUUUUUAAGUGCAAGGUGAGGAAGAGAGAGAGAAAAGAAGAAAGAGGGUUGAGAGGAGGACAAUUGGAGUGUCCAAGGAGGUCAUAUCAACCAUGAAGAGCACAAAAAGGCUUGAGUUUCAAAGAAGUAGAGUCCAUGGGACUCCGUGAAAUUGGAGACUUGGCAUAAUUGGGAUUUGUACCGGGAGUGGGUUAGUGAAGAUUUAUGACCUAAAUUCUCCAACUCAUGUUAGGUAAGCCUAUUCGGGUUUUGGAGUUCUAGAACUAAAACUCAAAUCACACCUUGAACUAAACUGCAUUUUGGACCAAACUAAACCCUGAAAUCCAAAUAUACCAACAAUUUGGGUAACAAUACAGGUCCAUUUUGAUUUGGAUUUCAAUGUCAAAAGUGUCCACUCUUUUUUUGAGCUUUUAUUAUUUGGCAAAGCCCAGCCAAAUUCAGGCCUUGUUUAGAUGCAUUUUUUUAGAUUUUAACAUUGUAGCAUUUUCGAUUCGGCAAACAUUGUCCAAUCAUAGACUACCUAGGCUUAAAAGAUUCGUCCCGCAAUUUACAGAUAAACUGUGCAAUUAGUUUUUUAUCUAUAUUUAAUGUUUUAUGUAUGUGCCGCAAGAUUCGAUGUAAUGGAGAAUUUUAUAAACUUUGGAUUUUUGAGUGCAUCUAAAUAGGCCCUCAACUUAUAGACGGUAAAAAGACUUUUUUUGCCCUCUCAGCAAACUCAACUAAUGUAAGCAAGAGAAUAAUGUAAUGCAACAACCAUAAUAAAUGCAAGUGCAAUAUGGCCCUACAACCACCUAUUCCCUGUUUAGAUCCAAACCGGCAAAAAUCUCUAUCUAAAAGUAGUCAGCAAGUUAGUACUCCUAGUUAACUUGUCUAAGUGUAUUGCCGGAGAGAUGUAUUUUUGGGAAGAGCAGUUAUUAUAGUUCAUCUCUUAUAGCAGCUCAGUUAUCUAUCAAACCUACGUGCAUGGUGUAGUGAAGCAGAGGAUCGGAGGACCCCAAUUCCACUUCUACGGUCGUUCAGUGUUUUCUUUCCGAGCGAACGAUCAGACCAUCUCGUCUCCUUUCCUUUUCGGCAUUAUUUUAUUUCCAGUUCCCUUUCCCUUUGGUCAGUUGUCGAGCGUGAGCAACCCACACCCACGCCACCCCGCUAUCUCCCUCGGUCCGGCCUUCUGCGCCUCUCUCUCCGAAAUCGACAUCCCUAUCUCCACCACCAUCUUCUCCGUCACCAUCUUCAACUUGUGAAAAUUAAGUUAUGCUACCAACUUAUUCUAUAUAGUCUUUUUGGUGCUAUGUUAAAUAAUAGAGUUGUUUAUCUAUUUUUUAUUUUCAUAUAAAUGGUACCUAACUUGGAUCAUUAACUUAUCCAUAAGAGUCAUAUAUGUAACUUGUGUUUUCAUGUUGUAUGCUACCUAACUUAUUUGAUUAAUUAAGUUAUACUGCUAACUUGUGUAAUUAAGUUAUACCGCUAACUUGUGAAAAUUAAGUUAUGUUGCAAACUUGUUCUAUAUAGUUUUUUGGUGCUAUGUUAAAUAACAGAGUUGUCUAUCUGUUUUUUUAUUUUCAUGUGUAUGAUACCUAACUUAAAUCAUUAACUUAUUCUAUAGAGUUAUAUAUGUAACUUGUGUUUUCAUGUUGUAUGCUACCUAACUUAUUUGAUUAAUUUACUGUACAGACUUAUGUGUGUAACUUAUGUUUUCAUGUAUUUGCUAUCUAACUUAUUUGAUUUACUAAUCAGAGUUAUAUUUUUAACUUGUGUGUUUUUAUGUGUAUGUUAGAUAGUCAUCGUAUGUUUUCAAUUAACUUAUGUUUUUUCUUGUUAUCAACUUUGUUUUUACAGUUUUACUUGAUAUUUUAAAUAUUAAAAUAUUUUGUAGAUAUUCCAAGUGAAGACAAAUAUACUCGAUGUCAUAAUUACAGAGAUGCUGAGAAUAUCAUAUUUGUAGAAGUUAUAAAAGUUAUUAUAUAUAUGGUUUUUGCAAGUUUUCAUUAUAUUAUGGAAUCUCUUUUGUAUACUCCCUCACCCUUUUUAAACCCUUGUCCUGUAUUCCCGAAUGAUUAGUUUCUGAAAAAAAAAGAAAAAUUUUGAUGAAAUAUAAAGAGAAUAUAACUCUCAUAACAACUCUCAAAGUUUCAAUUACGACACAUUUUAGUUCGCAAAAAAGAAAAAGUAAUGUUGUAUAACUUUGCAUGUUUAAUUUAUUUCUUAAAGUUUAUGCUGGGCAUCUCAGCUAGUGUAAGUUAUGUGCGCGCUUGUCAAAAAAUUCACAUGCGUGAGAGCACGAAAAAGAAAACUAGCUGCACGUCAAACGUACGAAAAGAAAAUAAGGCCCACGCGAACGUCUGCUUGAAAAGAGAAAGAGAAUGGAACGCUAUCGUACUAUCCUAAAAUGGUAUUAGGCGGGAUUGAUUGUUUCCUAAAAGGGAAAUAUGAUUGGUCGGAAGAUCGUUCGCUGAAAUCAGUUUGAAUGAACGUUCGCUAAAUAGUGGUGUCCAGGACACGUCCAUAUAUACAUCGUCGCCGUCAAGUCGCAGCGAUAAGGAUCACGGCAUGAUGUGUAUCUAUCUAUCCGCCUACCGCGUGCGGGCGGUGGCCGGUGUGAGUGUGAACAUACCUCAUUGACCAUGGAAACUUCACUAGUAGCUAUCGGCGGGCACGUUGCAUAUAUAAGCGAAUCAUCAGCUGUAACCUGUAAUGUAAAGCAUAUAUAUGCGCAUCUCUAUCCAAUCCAGGCGGAAUUACUACAUGAUGAAAUGGUUGGUGGAUGGAUAAUCUUAUCGACGCUACUGUCAUGUCAUUGUUUCCUAAUCGACUGCCUGCCGCGCGCCCUCCCUGUACGUCGACGCCGGCGAGCCAAAACCCGCUCGACACAUGCACAAGCGCCCGAGAGCCGGGAUCUUGCGCGUCCGGGGACUCCGGGGCCGGCCACCUGCACCUGCUGGUCGUCGACGGGCCGGCCGAUCCAAAGUAGUACAGCAAAGCCACUAAUAUAACUAAUUAACCAGCCCGGGUCAUGCGCGUUUCAGACGAAAUUUCUACACGACCUGUGACGAGAGUACGUGCACCGGCCUGCACUGCACGCACUACCAGCAGCUCCCCUCCCAGCUGCAUGCACCCCUCUCUCUCUCUCUCUCUCUCUCUCUCUGUUUGGAUAAGGAACACUGCUUCUUCAUCAACUUCCUUUUUGUCAUAUCCCCAACACACGAUGUCACGAAUGAUGAGCCAUGGACAUUGUUGUAGGUUUGUGCCGACUACGUACGGAGUAUAUAUCUAUAUGACUAUAUACGUGAAUGUAGACUGUAGUAGUAGUAGCCCAGCAACGUGUAUGGCCGCCGGUACUAUACGCGAUCAAGUACGUGCGCAAAAAAUACGGUGUCAUUGUUCAUGUACGUACUUGGAAUCUUGGACUGCUAGCUGUAGUGCUACUCGCCGGUACAUAUAUAGUACGUGUAACAAGCUGUCACGUCAGGGACGUUAAUGCUCACGUCUCGGGAUUAAAAGGGGGUGCACGUCGCUGAAAAGGAUCGCAGCGGUGGACAGAGAUCCCUCCGUCACGCCCUCGCCAGCGGCGCCUAGCAAAUCCAAUAUCAUAUAUCAUAACAAUGAACUCAUGCUGAGAUGGUCUAUAUUCUUUUACUACUAUCUCUUGGGUACGAAGGAAUCACGUAUAAUUGGUAAUGCUACGUACGUAGAAUACUAGUAUGAAGACAAAAACGGUGCCAUGGAGUCAGGGACGACGACUUUCAUGCAAAGCUGACGCCAUAUAUGGUAGCUCCAUCCUCCAUCGCCUCCAAAACGAUAAGGUGUGGCUUCAUUAGCCAGGUCCAUACCUAUCUAUUCACAACGCCGUACAUGACCCAUUGACCAUGGAAAUGAUCCAACCUCAUUAAUUAUUAUGAUGACCUUAAUUAAUUAAUUAAAUCACACCUGAGAGCACUUAACUUGCAUCAGCAAAUCAAUCGUACGUAGCGCGUACAGCAGGCUUAUCCGGAUCUCACAUGGAUUCUUAAUCUUUAUCGACAUGGACACUCAGCUAGUUGCUACUAGAUUGCCUCCUAACUUCCCGGCUAACCACCACGUCGCCGGCGAGCCAAACCCUGCUCGACACUUGCGCAAGCCCGGCCAUGCACCGGUUGACCGCGUUCGGAGGUGCCUGGACACAUUCCAAACGACUAGCUCGUCAGAAGUCAAGUCGGUCUAUCAAAAAAAAAGAGGUCAGGUCAUCAGUCGGCAAAAAAGAGGCCACGUCAGGUCAGACGGCAGAGUACACCUGCAGUGUCUCGCCGUUUCUAUCAAAAAAAACUUUUUUAAUUUGGGUUAUAGUAAUUUCGUUUGUAUUUGAUAAUUAUUGUGUAAUUAUCAACUAAAUAAACUUAAAAGAUUUGUAUUGUAAAUUACAAGUAAAUUAUGCAAUUAAUUAUUUUUUAUCUAUAUUUAAUUUUCAUACAUUUGUCGUAAGAUUUGAUGUGACGAGAAUUUUUUUAAAAAAAAUAAUUUUGAAUGUAACUAAACAAGGACUAAUUUUUAAAAUGUUCUCGUCACAUCAAAUCUUUGGUCAUAUGUAUUGAGCAUUAAAUAUAAAUAAAAAAUAACUAAUUAUAUAGUUUAUUUGUAAUUUAAGAGAUAAAUCUUUUAAAUUUAAUUAAUUCAUAAAUAUUAAUUAUUACAUAUAAAUAAAAGUACUACAAUAACAAAAUUAAAAUUUUUCACGAUCCCGCUGCAUCAGUGUACGAACGAUCAGACGACUGGCAGUGGCUGUGUCGGUUGUACCGCAGGUUUGUACCGACUACUGUACACAUGCAUGUACAGUAGUGAGUAGUCGAACGUGCAUGGCCGGUGCCCUCUGGCUCUGGAUCUCCUGUGCGCAAUAACUGUCAUUGUUCAUGUAAAUGCGUAGAGUGUCCUGUAGUACUCCUCUACCGAGAGUAUAUACAGAAAGUAACUGCCAUGUUAGCGUCUCGAUCGUUAGCGAAAAGGAUUGAAGUCGACACAGAGAGUCUGGGAUGUAGAUGUAUAUAUGUAGACCGGAUAAACAAGGAUACAACAAUACAAGGACAACAACUAACAUGGUGCCUUUGACAAAAUAUGAAUCAGGAUAUGGUUAAAGAUGUAAAAAUAUCUCAAAGUGCUAUAUAUAAAAAUGUAGUGAAAAAGGAGGAAGUUGCAAGUUUUCGUUUCUUCGAAAAUUAAGUUAAUUUCCGCUAUAAGUUGUGCACGCUUGUCGUCAUCUCUCUAGGAAUAUUCGUGUAGAGAAACUGAUUGUGCGAGGCUUAUACAUGCAUGCUGAAUCCGAGUGUGACGACGCGUUUGCUGGAAAUAAACCUGCGAGGCUAAUUAGUUGAGCGCUUUUAAUUUGCAUGAGCAGAUCAAGUCAAGUGUGUAAAAGCACGGGCAUUUUUAAUUUGUCCUAAUCUUUGCAUGGCUCAUUAAUCUUAUCCUUUGAAACUUGCAUGCAUGCAGGUCACAUCGCCGGCGAGCCAAACCCAGCUCGACACUUGCGCAAGUCGCCGGCCAUGUACUGGUCGACGGCGACUGUAGGCACAUCCAACGACCAACUAACGCAGCAAAGCUUUGCGCGUUGCAACAACGACGACUCUUGAGAGAUAUAUAUAGGCCUUGUUUAGUUCUAAAAAAAUUUGAGUUGAGAUUGUAGUAUUUUUAUUUUUAUGUAAUAAAUAUUAUCUAAUUAUAGACUAACUAGACUCAAAAGAUUUAUCUUGUGAUUUAUAGGUAAACUGUAUAAUUAGUUUUUAUUUUUGUUUAUAUUUAAUGUUCUAUGUAUGUGUUUUAAGAUUUGAUGUGACGAGAAAUUUUGAAAAAUUUUUAGCUUUUUGGUUGAAGGCCAUACUCCGGCACGCAGAUGAACCGCGUAUACUCAAGUCAAGUCAGUCGACAGAGAGUACAGGUGCACGCAUGCAGGGCCUGAUCAAUGGACUGUACGGUGCCCGCUCUACAGACACGACGAAGGAUCGUAUAUACCGCAUCGGCAGUGUGGAAGGUAUAGUAACCGUGUGAUCGUAGGUGUCGGUCGUAGGUUUGCACUUUGCACCGACCGUAUAGUCGUAUUCCUGUGCGCAAAAAAAAAAAAGAAGAAGUCUUUUUUCAUGUGCUCCGGAGAGUAUGCACAGGACGAGGCAACCGUCGUGUCAGCAUCAGCGAGAAGCUAGGAUUGAAGUCGACAUAGAGAUAAAUCUUAGAAUGGAGACCGUCUAACAAGAAGUCAAGGAUGACAGGAUAAGUAUAGUAAGCUACUAGGUAGCUUGACACUCAAUGUCAGAUCAUGGCCUACCAUUUACAGAUGAAUGAAUGAUGAGCAUCAUUAUUUUCUUGUUGAAAUAAUCUAGGAGAAUAUGAGCAUAUAUUCUAGAGCAUCUCCAAGACUUUGCCAAAACUCACUUGCUAAAUCUUAUGAUUUGACAAGUUGCUAAAACAUAUAGCAAAUGAAAUUUUAUAGUCUCUCCAAUAGUUUGCCAUAUAAGCUUGUUAAAACUUAAAAAGUAGGCCCACUUCUAAACCUCCGUCAACUAAUUUUGUUCAAGGCUUCACUGGCCGCCCGCGACACUCCUCGCCUUGCCGCGCGCCGCCACACAUCGCCGCUUCCUGCAGCCACCCAAAUCUCAUCCUCCGCUGGCCCCCAACAUCGAUAUCUGAUCCAGCCGCAAUCCUGUUCAUCGAGUCAGCGAGUCCAAGGCAAGCCAGCAAGCCAGCGGAAUCAUUCAAGGCAUAUGAACCAUCAUCGCUAAAUCAAAUCAAGGCAUAUGACCCUACGGGAACCAAAUCAAGGAAUGGAGUUGGACUGAGAUCAGAUCAAGGAUGAUGUACCUCAGGAUCGGGAGGAGGGCGACCACCGUGACUGUGUCUGUUCGAGUCCAGGAGGCACUUCGCGAUGGGAUCUGGAUCCAAUCCUCACGAGGAAGACGCCGGCGCAGCUGGUUCUUCGAGUCGCGACAGGAUAUAUGAAGCAGUACGAGGCCUGGUGGCGCAGCAAAUGCAGGGUGAAAGUUACAUCUGCGCGCGGGAGAGGAGGCGGGGCUGGCGAUUCACGGGAUGGCAAGUCCCCUGCCACUCGCAAAUAUGCGCGUGAACGACCGGUGGAUGGCAAGUUGGAAAAAAUUACCAAGCCAUAUGCCAAACUGUUGGAGUUUGAUUUUUCUAGUUUUGCCAAAAAAACCAAGGAUAGCAAGUGGUUUUGGCAAACUCUUAGAGAUGCUCUAAGUGUGUGUACAAACCUAAGUAGACAAGUUCCACCACAAUAAUCUUUCAAGCCUGCUGAUCUAUACCUCAGCUAGAAGUUUUUUUCCAAGGUGGUUUUAUAUAUUUUUUAAGUUUAAAAAUCUGGUCAAUACCUAAUGAGGAUCUUAUAAACCAUGAAAUAUUUAAAGAUCAUUAAAAUAUCUCUAAAAGCUUCCAACUAUGUUUAGCUCAAUCAAAAUAAGAAAAAUAUCUAGAAAAUCCAUAAAACAAUUUAGUUAAUGUCUAAACAUGUUUCAGAAACUUUCCACGAUAAAAUAUAAGAUGCAACAUGUAUGCAUUCAAAAUUAAAAUUAUGUUGAAUUCACAAUAUGUUGUGUUCUGAUUAGUUGAAUAUCAUUUAAUUAUUCAUAAAUAUUUUUUUAAAAAAUAAUUAGAGAUAUUUUCAUAGGCUCCAAAUAUUUUACUUGGGUUUUUUCAUGUCCCAUUAUAUCUUUUUCUUAGAACUUUUAGACGCUUAGAGAUAUUUUUUCAUGGUUUAAAAAUCUUAUUAGGCAUUUACCAUAUUUUUGACAAAAAUGAUGAGACCACCUUAAACAACAUUUUUAAACCCAUGUAGAGAAGUAAUUUAAACAAUUUUAAUAGUUGGAGGAUGUACUUCCUUCGUUCCAAAGUGUAAGAUAGAUAUAGUGUAUGACUAAGUGCAUAGUAAAAUCUAGAAUGGAGAAAAUAACAUGUUUAAUUUUAAAAUUUAAAAUAUAAAAAUUAAAAUCACAAUACUAAUUCUGGAGUAGAAUAGACACUUUUUUCCAUCCGGUCUAGCAAAAUGGGCCAAAAGUGGCCGGAUCCACUACCUGCGUGCAGACGGGCUGGUCUAUGCAAAUACAACUCCGUCAUGCUGGUCCAACCCAUCGAAUUUUUUCUAGCCUUGUUUUCUUAAGUCUAGCCCAACGACGGGGUUGGUCCAUCCGUCAGAAUAUGACACACCAUCAUCGCCGUCGCCUGACGCCGCCGCUGACACCAGCCUCUCCGAGUGAGCUCUUCCAAUCAUAUUAGUUGUAUUAAUUGCCCCACUAUUUUACUACUGGUAUUAGGUUCGUGGACUUUAGAUCCAGAAUUCAUUUUUUUCCUUUGGUAAGAAACCCUAACUUGCUUGUUCCCCGAUGAGCAAUCACAUCCCAUUUCCACUCCUCCAUCGGUGGCGUGACACUAAGGCCUUGUUUAGAUGUAAAAAGUUUUUGGAUUUUGGCACUAUAGUAUUUUCAUUUUUAUUUGACAAACAUUGUCUAAUUAUAGAGUAACUAGGCUUAAAAGAUUUGUCUCGUGAUUUACAGGUAAACUGUGCAAUUAGUUAUUUAUCUAUAUUUAAUACUUCAUGCAUGUGCCGCAAGAUUCGAUGUGACGGGAAAUCUUGUAAAGUUUUGAGUUUUUGGGUGUAUCUAAACCAAGGCCUAAUCCAAUCGAGCAUCCUUUUUUCUAUGGGUUCAGUGACGGCAGGUGCUCCAUCUCAUGUCUCGAACUCUGAAUUGGCCCUAGAGGACUUGGUUUCCGUGUUGAAGUCGUCCAAAUCACUCAAAAAAAAUUAGGAGUUUAAGACAACUAGUGGCAGAGCCAAAAAUUUUAUAAAGCCUAUACGUAAUAUCAUAUUAAACAAGAUUAUAAGAGGGGUUAAGUGCUAAGUGAGAAGUGACUUAGUGACUAAGUUUAAGCAUGCUUAAGCGUUCCUAAUCUCUUAAGAGUUUUGCGAUGUAGUAGACAUUACAAUUUUGAUCUUAAACCAAAUAAAUAGAGAAAAGAGUGGAGAGCAAUUGAGAAAGAACAAAUGAAUAUAUGAGCAUGCUUAAGGAUUUCUAAUCCAUUAACAGUUUUGUGAUGUAGUAGACAUUACAAUUUUGAUCUUAAACCGAAUAAAUAAAGAAGAGACUAGAGAGCAAUUGAGAAAGAGAAAAUGAAUACAUAAGUCCUUAUCUAUCUCCUUUAUUUUUUUAUCGGAAAGGUGUGAGGGAAAAUUUUCAUAAUUUUUUCUAAUAGGGUUUGUAUUUUAAAAAAUAUUUUAAAGAAAUCACUAUGUCACAAUGUUAUAUGACUGGACCCUGAAGAUACUAGUAUGAUCCGUAACAUAUAUUAUUUUGAAUAUAUAGAUAUUGACUAUAGAGGUGCUAAUUUGUCAAAAGAUGUUAGAAAGAACAAAAAAUGGAAGUUGCUAAAAAAAGAAAUGAAAAAGAAAAGAGAAAAAAAUUGGUGGGCUUUUAUUUAGUGCACCGCCGUCCGCCGGCUCCUCGCAGACGCUUCUUCCUCGCAGCGCCGCUCAGGCUCGGUCCCUCAGCGCAGAUCUUCUCCUUCCCCAACUCGCGCUCAGGCUCGAUCCCAGGGGUCGGAUCCUCCGCGCGUCGGCGGCGUCCAACGACGGAGGGACAGUCCCAGGCUCGGUGGCGGCGUCGGCGGCUCCCCCUCCCGCCUCUCGCCAGUCGCCUCGCGCCCUCGCCUCCGUCAUCCGCGCACCGGCCGGCGACCCUGCGUACGCACCUCCCUCUCCCCUCCCGCCUCUGCUGUACCGUGGGAGCCCGGCCAGCUGCCCAGGGUGGCCGGGCCUUGGCUCCGCCGGUGAAGACACCCCCGAUGCCAUCAGCAUCUGGGGAGAAGGAUCCACAAGUUACUCCGAGUCCUGCGACGGGGCCUCCUCUGCUGCAGACUCUCAUGCCUGUUAAUGCCACAGGAAGUCCUGCCAUAGACCCGAGGCUGGCGCAGCAGUCUUGGCCCGGUCAUGUAGUACUCCUGCGCCCUUGUGCACCUUGGCCUCCUCAUGUGCCAGUCCCGCUGCUGCUUCCGCAGCAAAAUGUGGUUCGCUCUCUGACGUCGCCGAUUUCAACUCCUUUCUGUCAGUGAGGAACAAUGCCUUGUUGCAGUCUGUCCUUAUGCUGUUUCUUGAUGGGCAGGAUGCUAUGGCGGAUGUGGCUGCAGCAGAUGUUAACCCUGCGAUCGAUAGCUGUGACGAGAAGAUGUUGCCCAAGGUGAAUAUGCUGUUCGAUGGAGAGAGUGAUGCGUAUGAGUUCUACAAUGCAUAUGCGGAAAAGGUGGGCUUCUUUGUCCGAAGGUCAACGCUUUGGACGACAUCAAAGAACAUAAUCACUAGGAGAACCUUUGUGUGCUCGAGAGAGGGUUUCCGGGAGAAGAAGAAGGGAGCAAAGGAAGCCAAGUGUCCGCGUCCUGAAACACGAAUUGGAUGCCCAGCAAGCUUGACCAUUAGACUCACUGCUAAUGGCAAGUACCGUUUGACAGAGUUUGUGCCGAAUCACAACCAUCAGCUGGCAACGGCAUCUACAGUUCACAUGCUGAAAGCAAAGGAAAUCAGGCGCAAAGCACGGGCUGCGAGAGAAAAUCUGGCAGAUGAUACUGUGAGUACACCAGAAUUUGAGAAUGAAGAUGAGGCAUAUGAAUUUUACAGCAUGUAUGCGGGGAAAAUUGGGUUCAGCGUGCGUAGGGCUAGCAUGACGGUGAAUACCGAGAAUGUUAUAACCAGAAGAAUGUUUGUUUGUUCAAAAGAAGGGUUCCGUGAGAAGAAAAGAGGAGCGAAAAGAGUAAAGAACCCUCGACCAGAAACGCGGACUGGCUGUCCGGCAUGUAUGGUCAUCAGGCUUGGAACUAACGGCAAAUAUCAAGUCACAGAAUUUGUUACCUGCCACAAUCACCAGCUUGGGGCUGCAGCAGCUUCUGAUCUUGUCAUGGCAUCUGGGAGUACAGAAAAUGAUCAAGAUGAUGGAGUUGAUCAGGCAGAUAGAUCACCCGAUAAUUCUGUUCACACGCAAAAUCUGAUUAAUGGAAGUGCCACUCUAAAUUCCCUAGAACGUAGAAGUUGCAAAAGAUACAAGUGUACAAAGACUCCACACUCAGGUGAUGUUGGUGCUACACUAGAGUACCUGCAAAAGGCGCAACAUGAUAACCCUUCAUUCUUCUAUGCUGUAAAAUCUGAUGAGGAUGGGAACUUCACGAAUUUUUUCUGGGCAGAUUCAAAAUCUAUUGUGGACUUUUUUCAUUUCGGUGACGUAGUAUGUUUUGAUUCAGGAUAUGCAUUGCAAGGCUAUGAUAGGCCAUUUGCUUUGUUUACGGGUGUGAAUCAUCAUAAGCAGACAGUAAUCUUUGGUGCUGCAAUUAUCUAUGAUGAAAGUAAAGAAGCUUUCAAAUGGUUAUUAGAUACUUUCAAGAUGGCAAUGAAUGGAACACAUCCCAAGACAUUGUUAACUGAUAGAUCUGUUGCCUUAAGUGAAGCUGUUGCGGCCACGUUGCCUGCUACGGCCCAUCGUUAUUGUGUGUGGCAAAUUUACCAAAAUGCUCUGCAGCAGCUGAGUCAAGCUUUCCAUGGUUCAAAAACUCUAGAAUGCAACUUCAAGAGAUGCCUAUUUGAUUGUGAGGAUGAAGAUGAGUUUGUGACAGCAUGGAAGGAAAUGUUGGAAAAGUAUGACCUAGAAGAUAAUCAAUGGCUAGCAGAUUUGUUCUCAAUAAAGGAGAAAUGGGCACUGGCAUAUGGCCGCGAUGCAUUUUAUGCUGAUAUGAAAAGCGUCCAGCAAAAGGAAAGUUUGACAAGUGAGCUGAAGGAACAUCUAUCCUUGGAAUGUGACCUUUUGAACUUCUUUGAGCAGUUUGAAAGACUGUUGUGUGAUCGUCGAUCUGCAGAGCUGGAGGCUGAUGUGAAUGCUAAUCAGAGUACGAAGAAGCCACCUUCUAUGCGAAUGUUAAGGCAAGCUGCCACUGUAUAUACACCUUCUGCCUUUAAAAUGUUUGAGAGGGAAUUUGAAUUAUACAUGGAUUGCAUGCUCUACAUCUGUGGUGAGAUGGGCACAAUUUUCGAGUAUAGAAUAAGUGUCGAGGACAAACCAAGAGAUCACUUUGUUAAAUUUGAUUCAGUCAAUUCCAUGAUGAAUUGUACUUGUAAGACGUUUCAAUUUAUUGGCAUCCCAUGUCGCCAUAUGCUGAAGGUACUUGACACGAGGAAUAUCAAGGACCUUCCUAUUCAGUACAUCGUGAAAAGGUGGAGGAAGGAUGCCAAAUCAGGAUCCUCAAAUGGCGGUUGUGCUUUCUCAUUUGAUGGUGAUCCUGAUUCUGCUCACAUAAAACGUUAUAAUUUUCUGUGUCGGAUGUUCAGUAUAGCAGCUGCUAGGGCUGCAACUUCUGCUGAAUCAUUUGCAUAUAUGGAAAACCACUCAAACAUACUGAUGGAUCAAAUAGAGCAAGUUAUUCAAACCAGGCCCCCUGGCAUAGCUGACCUUAUUGGUGCUAAUUGUGACCGAACUCAAAAUUCAGUUGACAAUAUUGUUUCUGAAGGCAUUCACAGUCAUACUAAUUUUCUUAAUGGCUCCACUGAUGGUAUGUGUUGAAGUAUUGAUUUUCUUUCCAUUUUAAAUACUUCUUGUUGCCACCCAAUAAGCGCAUUUUGUGCAUUGCAGGCUCUCUAACAUUUCCGUUCACAUUGGGUGCUGGCACAUUGGAUUACCGCUGACUGGCACCUACUGUUUGGAUGGUACUGCACUACAGAACAAAGUUAUUUCUGUCUCGCCACGCACAACAUGAUUUGUCAUUUUAAUGUUUCGCAAUGAAAGCAUGCUUGUAUGGCUGCAUCAUUUACUCGUUACUCUAUUACUUGACCUUCUGCCAGAAGAUAUUGUUUUCUUCAUUUUCUGACCAAGUCUUUUUAGGCAGGCAAAAUGACAUAAUGGAUGUUCUACUAAUCUGUUGGUGACUUCACAUUAACUGCAGAGCUGCAAAUACACUGGCACGCCUAUUUCACAGGUCUUUGGCAGGUAGACUUUUACAAUUGCUGGAGAUCCAUUUAGUUGUCCUUAGGAAGUAAUCUCAGAGAUAUAACACAACAAAAGCUUACCUCCCUGCGAAACUACGCAACAUUGCAGGCCUGAUAUUGUUUCUACCAUAGCUUUUCACCAAAAGAAAGAGUCAUUUUUCCCUCCGCCAGCACAACUGUAUAUACUUGCUGGGAAAGGAUCUUUCAUGAGGUCACAUCACAUCACCUGGUUUUCCAGCCUGGUGAUUGUGCACAGGAUGUUCCUGGUAAUUUGAGGGACUACGCGUGUUGCCAGUUUAACAAGGUGAUGCUGCCGAGCUUAACCAAAGCGAGCUGCUGUGUUUUUAACGCGUGCUGUACUGUGCAUGCUGGUUCAGUAGCCUUGUCAUCCCAGCUCUGUAAUAUACAGAUUUUGUACGUGAGAGGCACAUGAAUUCGGGAAAUGAGAAUGAGGACGUGAGGGUGUUUGGACAUAAGAACUAAAGUUCAAGAUGUGUCACGUACUCACGUCGGAUGUUACGGGGUGUUGUAUAGAGUAUUUGGAUUCUAAUAAAAAAAUUGCAGAUUCUAUUAGUAAUCCGCGAGACAAAUUUAUUAAAUUUAAUUAAUUUAUCGUUAGCACAUAUUUUUACUAUAACAAUUAUAGAUUAAGUUGUCAGUAGGCUUAAAAAUUCGUGUCACAAAUUAGUCUCAAUCUAUGUAUUAGUUUCAUAAUUAGUCUAUUUAAUAUUUAAUACUCUAUACAUGUGUGGAGACAUUCAAUAAAACAUCAACUAUACCCUUUUUUUAGAAAAAAAUGUUUAUGAAACACCGACAUAAUUUGUUCCAAAUCCACUAGAAUCUUGUGGAAUAAUCGAAUACGCCAUUUCUGUGGGGUACCUGUUGAAGAAUCGUUUCAACAAAACAUUUAGGCAAAAAAUAAAAAAAAUGAACUCUGUAUUUUUUCCAAGAGAUGCCUGAUAAAAAUUGUUUUAAUAGUGGCAAGUAUAUAUGAAAUGUUGGAAGAGUACGCUUAAUUCAAUGCCAUGAAGAGGUCGCCUGAGUCUCAACAAUACACAAAUGUGGAAACAAAUAAAAAUCCAAUCGUCGUUGUACAGUACAAUACAAAACAAUCUGUAACCAGUAUCGGCAACGCAGCUAAGUCACGACCAAGAUAAUGAAAAGGCUGCAUUAGACUUGUAUAACUGACAAGGUGUAGUCCUCGAGUAAAAGCCGUUGACAUAACCGGCAAGGAAUCCUUCACUUGUAGAAACAACAUGAGCUAUUUUGCGGCAUAUUUCCACUCUUAUUGUCCGACAGCUACAAGGUCAUGUAAUAACUAUUAUAUAUAUCCACCAUAAGAAAAGCUGCCUCAAAAUAAGCAUGCAAGCCCCAUUGUGCUCCCUAAAUCAAUAUGCCUCGUCCAACAUGACCCGGUGGUCUGUUUGGUUUCCAAGCUCAUUAGGCACUCAUCGUUUGGUGAAAAAUCCUUGAGUUAACGAGGAAAAAUCGUAAUCUUUGCCAGAUUGUGAGGGGAGAUUAGAAGAUGCAGUUGAUGCAGUGCCGUUGUUGCUAGCACCUGCUGCCGUGGCCCCAUUUGCUGGGACAGCUGAACUAGUGUUGUACACCCUGCAAUCAACAAGACAUGUCAGCAAAAUGGACAUAUGAUCAACUACUGAGUUCAAUACACAUCUAAAUUUUGUUUACAAAUCCAAUUUGGUGCAGCAUGAAAUUCCAACGACCGCAUUCUGCAACUAGCAGACAGUAUAGCUUACCCAGGUGUGCCAAAACCAAAGGUACCAGAAGAAAAGUCCUGAUUGUUGUUCGCAACCUGUCAAACAGUAAAACAAAGAAAUAUAUAACACGUGGUAAAAUAUUAUUCAGAUAUUAUUGUGCCAAAAAAAUACAUAUAACGUAUUCAAGUCUCUUUACCUUGGUGGCACCAUUCUGUGCUGCUGCUGGAGUCAACCCAGGAUUUUGAUAACCAAGAUUUGUCCAGUUUUGGAAAGGCAAGGUUCCAAGAGGGGGAUUAGAACCAUUAGCAUUUAGCUGAUUGGCAUUCCCUGGAAUCAUUUGUGGUGCAUUUCCAGCUUUAAGAGCAGCCAUUAGAAGAGCUUGCUGCUGAGACAUAAACGCCAGCUGCUGUUGAUGGGCAGCGAAAGGCGAUACCAUAUUGGACUGCAAAACAUAGCUAUUUCUUAGAUAGGCCAUAGAUGUGCCCUUUCUAUUAUGUAGAGCCAUUUUUCAAGAACAAUGUUCUAAAAGGAAUGUUGGUGCUCACCUUCUCAAACAAACUCAUGAUAUCAUUCUUCGCAUUUACUUGGGAAACAGCUGGAGCUGAGGAUAUUGACAGAGCUGGUGAGUCUUUAAAUAGGUCUUCUAUUCCGGAUGUUGACUGGGUCUUGCUUUCUGCCGGUUUGGCAGAAUCUUUUUUCUCUGAGCUAGGUACUGGUUGUGCAGCUGAACAAUUUUGAAUAUUCCACAGUAAAAAAAAGUGACAUGGAAAUCCAUAAAUAUUGUACUAAGAUCCAAGAAAGUGAGAGAGACACAAUAAAGUGCCCACGUAAAUAGAAUAACUCAUCAAUCAAAUAGUCACAUCACAAGAACUCACACUGGAAUCCAUCCCAGGCAUUAUCAUCAUUUGAAGAUGACUCUGACUCUUUCUCUGUUGUUCCAUCCAUUGAUAACAUGUUAAAGAGAUCGGUAGCAUAAUCGACUUUAGGAGGCGGCGCAACUGAUGGCUUCUCAACUUUAGGGGGUGUUGCCUCAACUUUGGCAGGAGAUUUCUGUGGCUGAGGAGGUGAAACCACCUUAGGAACUGGUGGUUCUACCUUUGGGGGCUGAGGUGAUGCCUGCUUCCCAUGCAAUCAUGACAGAUUAGAAGGGGUUACAUUGAUGUGUUAAAGUGAUUCAUAAUUAAGAAUUCUGUAAUGUGGAUUACUCAGUCUGACUUAAAAGAACAAGAGCUAAAAUUUCAAAAGAACUAUGCCUGAAGACACAUCCGCCACACAUUGACAGAUUGAUUGUUGCUUAGGAAAGUUUUGGUGGUGAAGGAUUACCUGAGAGGGUAUCCUUGAAGCUACAGGUGCAACUUUGCUCGGAAGAGCUGUAACACGGUUUUGCUCAAAUGAAGAUCUAUGACCAUGUCCACUCCUAUUAGCACUAGCCAGAGACUCUUGGCUCUUCUCAUCUCGAACACCGGAGGUAGGUCGUGAUGUUCCAUUCCUCGGUACCCAUCUCUUGUCCUCAUAUCUACAUUUCAGACACAGUAUAUGUCACGUGUAAGGAGGAUAAGAAUAAAGAAUGAUAUAUUCAAGUUCAAGGUACUGAAAGAUCUGGAAAGAAACAUACUUUGCACGGAUGAAAUUCUCUAUCCCAACCCUAUCAUAGUUAGGAGGCAGCUCUGCUUCCCAAUAGCUAUUUGCUUUUUCGUUUCCCAUUGCUGCAAGAAGAUGAAUACAAUCAUCAUGAAAAAUGCCAUCAUGGUUUUAUACAACUAAAAAUAUCCUUCAAGUUUCACACCAGAUAGUAAUUCAUACAUUGAAUAAAUGCAACUUGCUCUGGCAGCCAUGUAUCCAGGGUUGCAGAUCUUACCUGUGUAAGAAAAUGCUUUAGUAAAAGAGCAAAAGUGGGAGAUUAUUUGGUAACAUGGUAUGUAUAAUAACCAAUACAAAUGAAAGAAAGCAAAAACAUGUUUUGUUAAGGCAUCAAAAGGACUGUUGUCUUCUAUCUGGCUUUCACAAGCAAUUUGUUAUCCAAAAAAUCAAACAAACUCAAAUGCAAUAAGCAAUGAUAGAAGCAAUGUAACCAACAAAAACAAACAUAAGCACAACUAAAUGCUAAGGUUCUUGCAUGAUAAGUAUAGUUAAGCAUUUAAGCUAAUUACCAAUAUCGGA
rnacentral:lncRNA from 1 species